AGCACGACAUGAACCCGAGCUUCACGCCGUGCGUCUCGGUGAACGCGUCCUUGUACUCGGCGCGCAUCGCCAUCAGGUUGGACAUGUUAAUCUCGUUGAACGUCGUGAGCAUCGCGUACGUGUUUUGCGCCGACUUGAGGCGUUCGCUGAGGACCGUUCCAUACGAAGCGAUGUCGGGGUGGAGUUGAAAGGCGUCAGUUGGCGUUGAAAGGCGUCGAGGAUGGGGAUUGAACGCGAGAGGUGGGCGGAGAGACACGCCGGCGAAAGUCCUUAAGGAUCGGCGUUCACCACGCGAACGCGGUCGUAUGGGGACCAGUGUGAGAAGGACGCGCCUGACGCGCAAACGCAGGCGCGUCAUCUUCACGCGCGUCUCCGUGCGGUCGCCGCCGGUCGGAGGUGGUUUCGGCGGCGCGGGGGGCGCGGCGGAAGCGGCGGGCGGCGCGGGCGCGGGUUUGGCCGCGGGUUUGGCCGCGGCUGCCGCCGUCGCCGGCGCCGCGGAAACCGCUUUCGGCUUCUUCGCCGCCGCCGCGCCCGGAACGAACGUCGCGAUCUUCUGCCCGACCGUCACGGUGUCCCCCUCCGCGACGCUGUACUCUCGCACCGUCCCAGAGCUCGGCGCCUUCACGUCGAUCGUCACCUUAUCCGUCUCUAUCUGCGCGAUGACCUCGUCCGUCUCCGCGCUCUCGCCCGGCGCCUUGACCAGCGCCGCCACCGCGCCCUCGGUGAUGGAGUCGCCCAUCUGCGGCACCUCGAUCGCCACGGGCUUCGAAGCCGCGCUCUUCGACGCGGGCGUUUCGGUUUCGGCGGCGGGAGCGGACGCGGACGCCGCCGACGCCGCCGCGACCUGCGCGGCCGCGCCCUCCUCGAUCUCCGCGACCGCCUGCCCGACGUUCACCGUGUCGCCCUCGCUCACGAGCACCUUCGUCAUCGUCCCCGCGACGGGCGAUCGCACGUCGAUCGUCACCUUGUCCGUCUCGAUCUGCGCGACGACCUCGUCCACGGCGACGGCGUCCCCGGGGGCCUUGAGCACCGCGGCGAUGGAGCCCUCCGUGAUGGAGUCGCCCAUCUGCGGGACCUCCACGGUGGACGGCGCGAGCGAGAACGCGCUCGUCGCGAACCCCCGAGAGGCGUGAUGCAUCGUCUGGCUCGUGAUCUCAGAAACGACGAACGGUCGCGCGAUGAUGGACGCGUUCGCCGCGAGCGCGAGCGCGGGCGCGGUCGCGCGCUGCUGCGCGGGGGAGGACGCGCGCCAUGUCGCCGCGCGCGCGGCGACGUGAAUCGGGCGCGCGAUCGCGCGCGUCUGAGAGAAGAAAGGCGCGCGAUGGGGGCGCGGGGCGGGGGCGUCCGAUGUUAGCGAUCAGACGGCGAGCGCGCGAGAGAUAUUUGCUCGCAUCGGCGGGGUUCGGAGGGCGGCGGCGAUCGCGACGCGGGCGGGGUCGAUCGACGGCGAGUCGACGCACCCGCGACGAGGACGCGUUCAGAAGGGUCGCGAGGCGCCGAGCGGCACCGACGCGGUUCGCCAUCGUCGUGUGCGCGAGCGAGCGAAGUGUUCGCCGCCGAGGCGGGGAAGCGCGUUUUGAAAGACGACCGCCACGACCUUUCACUACUGGCGUAAAAAGUUCGGUCGCGAGGUCGGUGGCACGCGCGGCAGCGCGAUGGACGGCGCGCUGCCGUCUGCGCCACUGGAGAGACGCGCGGGACGGGACGCGCGCGCACGGGAGGUCGGCAUCAUGACGAACCCCGGCAUCGAGCGGCGGCUCGUGACCGGGGACGUCGUCGCCAUGCUCAAGAGCGGGAAGGUGCGCGCCGUUCGCCGCGCCCCGCGCGAUCGAUCGAUCGAUCGAUCGGAUCCUCUCUCCGCUCGUGACUGGUUCCCAUACGACCGCGUUCGCGUGGUGAACGCCGUUCCUUAAGGACUUCGUCGUCGUCGUCGUCGUCGUCGUCGUCGUCGUCGUCGUCGUCGUCGUCGUCGUCGUCGUCGUCGUCGAUCACCGAUCUCACCGCCCCCCCCAUCCCCCCGACCUCAUCACCAUCCCCGCAUCAGGACCCCAAGAUCGCGCCCGCGGACCAGCGUCGGUACGUCCUCGAGCUCGCGUGGGCGUUCCUCGGCGACGAGCUCGACGCGUCGCACCUGGACCGCGCGGUGCGCGUCGCGCUCCCGGGCGACGCGUCCGACGGCUCGGACGGGCCGUCGCUCGCGGCGUCCACGACCGCGGACGUCCUCUGGCUCGUGUCGUGCGAGGUGGAGAUGCAGCCGGAGCGUAGGGCAAAGGUCGUGGACCUCGCGAAGGCGCUGUGCGAUGGCGACGACGCGCUGUGCGCGCCGGGGCUGCUCAUCGAGCGAUGCGAGGGCGAGUUUCUGGAGGAGUGCGGGCUCAUCCCGUCCGCGGUGGGAUGGAAGAAGAAAGAAGUUCGGAUCAACACGCGGCUCGUGUACACGCAGAACAAGUUCAACCUGCUUCGCGAAGAGAGCGAGGGGUACUCGAAGCUCGUCGUCGCGCUCGCGGCGUUCGGCGAGCGCGGGUCCGGGGACGACGACGCCGUCGCCGGCGCGAUUCGAUCGACGCAGGCGCGUUCCAUCUCAUCACGCCGGUUCCCGUACGACCGCGUCGGCGCGGUGAACGCCGAUCCUUAAGGACUUUACUUCCCGGCGGUCGCAUCUCUCCGCCCACCCCUUGCUGCUUUCAAUACCCGCCCUCGGCGCCUUUCAACUCCGCUUCUGACGCCUUUCAAUCGCGCGAUUCGAUUCGAUCGACGCAGUCGCUUAUAGGCUACUUCGACUUGGACCCGAACCGCGUGUUGGACCUGGUGUUCGAAGCGUACGAGCGCUGGCCCGCGAACGACGGGUUCGCGGAGCUGCUGCGGCUGUUCCGAACGGAGAACUUCGCGCAGGUGCUCGGGUUUAAGUUUCAGUGCCACGCCAAGGCGGCGGCGGCGGCGCUCGCGGAGAAGGAGGACGGAGAAGCCGGCGAGGACACGGCCGGAGUCCUUAAGGAUCGGCGUUCACAACGCGAACGCGGUCGUAUGGGGACCAGUGUGCUCUCGGACGGCGCCGCGCGCGCGGAGGGCGGCGACGACGACGCCGCCCGCGAAGAGAAGGACGGCACGAACAAAGAGACAUUCAACGCGAACAAGGACAAGGACAAGGCGCCCGCGACGUCCGAGUCGCUGAAAACAACGCCGACGACGGUAACAGUGACGGCCACGCCGAAGUCGUUAUACGUCCUCGCGGCGACGCUCGUGCGCAAGAACCUGGUCGAGAUGGACGACCUCUACGCACACUUGCACCCCGCGGACGACGUCGCCGCGGAGAAACACGCGGCGGAGGUGAGCCGGCGACUCGCCGCCGCGAAGAAGAUUGGCGUCGUGAACCUUCGCGGCGGCGCGGACGACGGCGCGGCGCGCGGUCCGGACCCGUACGUCGUCGCGGCGACGCCGGUCCCGGACGAGACGAACCAGAAGCUCGGUCUGUUGCGCGGCUUCCUCGCGAUCGGCGAUUUACGCGCCGCCGCGUCGCUCCUCGAGCGCCUCGCCGAGCUCGGGUUAGACCCCGCGGAGGACGCGGAGGUGCGCGACGCGCUGUGCGUCGCCGCGAGGGACGCGCUGAAGGAGGCGCACGCGCGCGCGGCUCCCGCGGGAUGCGCCGCCGCGCUCGAGGGCCGCGGCGACGUCGACGGAAGAAAGCCGCCGUCCGCGGAGGGCUUCCCGCUUCCGGACGCCGCGUUCGAGAUUAUCGCGCUCCUCGGCCCGCACGUCCACCACGACGUGAUUCUGUUCACGAGAAUCGCGCGGUGCCUGAAGCAGCACAUCGCGUGGGCGCGGAAGCGCGGCGACGACGCGUCGGCGCGGAGAGGCGAAGACGCGGUGGGCGCGUGCGUCCUCCCCGCGCUCGGGCUGACGGCUUCGAACCCCGGCGCGGUGAACGAGGUGUGGGCGACGCUGGCGUCGCUCCCGGUCACGACGCGGUUUCGGUUGUACUCGGAGUGGAAGGCGGUGUUUUCUUCGGACGCGGAGACGGGCGCGGAGGUGAAGCCCGCGUUCGCGGCGGCCAAGGCGGUGGCGGAGAGCGAUACCCUCAAGGUGAUGCGUCGUCUGUCCAAAGACAACGUGAAGGAAUUCGGCCGGAAGCUCGGGAAGGUGGCGCACGCGAACCCGCUCGCGGUGAUGAACGCGAUCGUGCGUCAGAUCGAGGCGUACACGAACAUGAUCUCGCCCGUGUGCGACGCGUUCAAGUACCUCACGGCGAUGGGGUACGACGUGUUGACGUUCGUCGUCAUCGAGAAGCUCGCGGAGGGGCGAGAGAAGCUGAAGGACGACGGCCAGAACGUGUCGCUGUGGCUCAGCGCGCUCGCGACGUUCUGCGGGCACCUCGCGAAGAAGUACGGCAACGUCGAGCUCUCCGCGCUGUUGCAAUACCUCGUGAACACGCUCAAGGACAACCAGAGCCUCGAUUUGCUCGUCCUGAAGGAGCUCAUCACGCGCAUGACGGGGAACGAACCGCUCGAGGACAUGUCCGACGCGCAAGUCGCCGCCAUGUCCGGCGGCGAGACGCUCAAGUCCGAGGCGAUCAAUUUCAACAGCGCGAUGGCGCCCAAGGUGCGAGCCAAGGGCGUCGCGCGGCUGAGAGACGCGCUGCAGAGGGGCGCGAAGGGCGGGGACUCGCUCACGGUGCCGCUGCUGAUUCUCAUCGCGCAGUGCCGGCAGAACAUCGUGUUCAACACGCCGUCGAAGCACCUGAAGCUCAUCUCUCAGCUGUACGACGGGUGCCAGGAGACGUUCUUUCACUACUGCGACUUUCUCGCGCAGGCGUACGACGACGAGAAGUACGCGAAGAUGAUCCCGUCGCUGAAGGAGCUCGUGCACGACUACGGCAUCGAGCCCGGCGCGGCGUUUCACAUCUUCCGGCCGGUGUUGAGACACCUGAAGCCGCGCCCCGCGCCGUCCAAGGAUAAGCCCGUCGACGUUUGCAACGCCGCGAUCGCGCUCGACAUCGGCGGCGCGAAGACGACGUGGGGCGAACUGUUAGCGGACGUCCGAGGGAUGCUCCCGGAGGUGACGUGGCAGGCGAUAUCCCCGGAGUUGUACUUGUGCUUCUGGGCGAACACCGCGUACGACUUGCACGUGCCCAGGGCGCGGUACGACGCGGAGAUUGAAAAGUGCCGCGCGUCGCUGACGGUGCUCGAGGGCCUCCCGACGCGCGACGUUUCGUCUUCCGAUCUCGCGAAACGGCGCAAGGAGAAAGACCGUCUGCAGACGCUCGUGGACACGCUGCAGAAGGAGCUGGACGCGCAGGAGCGCGCGGUGAGCAAGAAGACCAAGUCGCUCAUGAUCGAAAAAGACGCUUUCCUCGUGGACUUGCCGGAUAUCAAGUCCACGGUGUCUGUGAUCUUGCAGCGGUGCGUGCUUCCGCGGUGCGUCUUCUCCCCAGCGGACGCCAUCUACUGCGCGCGCUUCGCCGAACGCCUCCACGCGCUCGACACGCCGUACUUCAGCACGGUGCAGUACUACAACACCGCGCUGAAGGACCUGACGCAGCUCAUCUUUUCGCGCACCGAGUACGAAGCCGGGAGGCUCGGGAAGUUUUUGAACGAGACGCUGACUCAGCUCGCGCGGUGGAAAGCGGACGAGACCGCGUACGAGCGCGAGUGCGCGAGCAAGAACGGGUUCAAGACGACGUUCAAGGAACCGUCCGGGGGAACGAACGCGAAGCGGGUGACGUACGAGGAGUUCGUGAAGCUCGUGUACAAGUGGCACCUUCGGCUCGCGAAGUGUUUCGUGCACUGCCUGGAGGGCAGCGACUACAUGGAGAUUCGAAACGCGUUGAUGGUGUUGACGAAGAUCGUCAAGGUGUUCCCCGCGAUCACUCGCAUCGGCGGGCACACGCUGCGGAGAGUGGAGAAGAUCAAAGAGAGCGACGAGCGCGGGGAUCUCAAGACGAUCGCCGCGCGGUACCUCGCGAUGCUUCAGAUGGAGCGCAAGGCGUGGCGGCCGGACAACGCGUUCAAUCCGUACCUCCCGCCGGACCCGAAGCAGCAGGAGAAGGACGCGGCCGCGACCGCGACCUCGAAGGGCGGCGGUGGCGACGAGGAGGGCGCGAUCAAGCCCGAGGGGGGCGGCGGGGAGAAGGGCAGCGGCGCGGCUGCGGGCGCGGGCGCGGGGGCGGCGGCGAAGAAGAGAGGAAGAGCCGACGCCGGCAAACUCUCCGCGGAGGCGCCGGAGUUUACCCCCACGAAGGACGCCGCCGCCGACGCGGACGGCGGCGGCGGCGGCUCGAAGAAGCGCGCCCGCGGCGCGAGGGACGCGGACGGGGGCAAGGACGACGGCAAGGGAGGCGCCAAGGGGAAAGACGACCAAAAGUCCGCCAAAGACGCGGGCGGCGGCGGCGGCGGCGGCGGCGGUCGCGGCGGCGGAGGCGGUCGCGGCGGCGGCGGGAGAGAGUCCGAGAAGGAGAAGGAGGAGCGUCUGCGAGCGGAGGCGAAGAGCGCGAAGGAGACGCGCGAGCGCGACCAGAAGCGCCGGAGGGACGACGAGGCGGACGGGAAGGGAGCGAAUGACUCGAACAAGCGCGCCAGGAAGGGCGACGGCGGGACGCGCGGACGGCCGGAUUGGGACUCGGGGAGGGAGCCGGGCGGCGGCGGCGGCGGGCGCGGGAACCGCGGCGGCGGCGGGGGCGCGCACCGCGACGACGAUCGUCGCGGCGGCGGCGGCGGGAGGGACCGCGGCGGUCCUCCGUCGAGACCUCGAGGGCGGCGAUAGAGCGGCGAGCGGCGCCGGUUGUCCUCGAUGAUGGCGAUAUCCGAAAUCCGAUCCGACGUUUCGACGACUCGCACACCAUCUCGCGCGAUGCACGCGUCGUCGUCGCUCCGCUCGCCGCACGUCGCGCUGACGCGCCGCGCCCCCCGAUCGCGUCGUCGCCGACGCGUCGCGACGGCGCCGUCCGCGAUCUCGAAUCCGUUCGACGACGGAUCGAAGCGCGCGGCCGACCUCAAGGACAAGGCGAAGGGCUUCUGGCAGAAGGAAGUCGUCGGCGCGAAGGAUGCCAUGAAGAGGCGGUUCGGCGGCGAGCCCGGCGCGGACACUUACGCGUGCCUGCCUCGCAUAACCCUCGAGGAGGCGGUCUCGGGCGCGAAGAAGCCGCUGACGUACUCGAGGACGAUCGUCUGCCCCGAGUGCGACGGCGACGGCAGAGUAUCUCAGACGUUCAUCGACUGCCCUCGUUGCGACGCCAGCGGGAAGACGUCGGAGACGACGGACGUGACCGUGACCGUGCCGCCCGGCGUAUGCGACGGCGCGUCGCUGCGGCUCAAAGAGAUGGGCGGCGGCGGGACGCCGCCGGGGGACUUGUACGUCAAGAUCGCGGCUGACGACAUGAGCGAGGGCGCGGUCAUUCGACGCGACGGCGCCAACUUGAUCAGCGAUCUGGUCGUUCGCUUCGAGAAGCGCGGCGAGGACACGAGCGCGCGCGUCAGGACGGUGGAGGGGGAACACGGCACCUUGAAAGUGCGCGCGGACGUGGAGGUUGGGCAGGCGUUGCGGAUCAAGGGAAGAGGCGCGCCGGUCAAGCCAGGGAGCGAGGAGAGAGGCGACCAUCUGUUCGUGGUGAAGAAGAUCAUUCAUUUGGACCGCGGUUCGGGCGACGGAGACGACGACGCGGCGUGAAGGCUCUGUGACAUCGCGGCGCACGGAACGUCGCGAUAUAGCUCACCGCGUCUGCGGCAUCGUGGAGAUAGAUAAGCUAUCAUAAUAACUGCAGUACCGCGUCUAUUCUAAAGUAUGCUGCUACGCGCGCGCUCUACCCCGGUGAUGAUAUCAUGACGUCUGCGACGCCGCUGUUUCUCAUCGACGCGACGCGAGCAACAGUCGGUUCUCGGGAGACACGCUCGCGUCGCAGUACGUCGCGACGGUCGCGUUCUGAAAGCCUCUCUCGCGGAGCCACGCCGCGCGACCGGCGUCUAACAGCGCCUUCACCGAACGCCCCGCCGCGGUCUUCUCCGCCUUCGUGAGCUCGCGAGGAUCCGUCGCGGCGGCGGGGGNNNNNNNNNNNNNNNNNNNNNNNNNNNNNNNNNNNNNNNNNNNNNNNNNNNNNNNNNNNNNNNNNNNNNNNNNNNNNNNNNNNNNNNNNNNNNNNNNNNNNNNNNNNNNNNNNNNNNNNNNNNNNNNNNNNNNNNNNNNNNNNNNNNNNNNNNNNNNCCGCCGCCGCCGCCGCCGUGUUCGCUCGAGCCGUCGGUCGCCCAGGACGACAUCUUCGCCAGGAGCGCGAACUCCGCGCUUUUGAACCCCAACCUCUUCACGAACGCCUUGUUCACGUACGCGCGCCAGUCGCAGCGGUGGUGGCAGCACGUCGCGAUGGCCACGCCUUUGGUCGUGAACGUUAUUUUAGUUCCUCCAAAUCCUCCUCCGUCCCCGCUUCCGCUUCCGUCCCCGUCCCCGUCCCCGUCCCCGUCCCCGUCCCCGUCCCCGUCCCCGUCCCCGUCCCCGUCCCCGCUUCCGUCGCUCGUCGAGCGUCUUCCGAAGACGCUCCGCAGCGCCAAGUCCGUCGCGCCGCCGCACAGGUGCUUCCCCGUAAACACGACGUCCCUCCCGUCCACGACCCCGACGCCGGCCACGUCCAGAUCCUUGAUGUCCACCUUGAGGCGCUCGCAGACGACGGCGGCGGCGGGGUCCGAUCCCGGGUUUUCCGCCGUCGUCGGCUCUCGUCGUAUGCUCCGCUCCGCCUUGUUUCGAUACGUCCUCCGCUCCACGAGCACGACGUCGCGCGGUCCGUACGCCUCGCACAGGAAGUGCGACAGGUACCCUCGCCCGGCGCCGAGCUCGACGUAGACCGGCGGCCGCGCGACCGCCGCCGCCGCCGCCGCCGCCGCCUCGGUUCCGGGGCCCCGCGGCCUCGUCUCCUCCACGAGCCCCGCGGACGCCAUGAGCGACACGAUCGCCGCCUGCUGCGUCGCGUGCCUCGCGUUGAACGGCGCGACGUGCGACGGGCGGCGCGCGGUCGCGGCCGGCGCGGGGUCGGUCGCCGACGCCGACGCCGACGCCGACGCCGACGCCGCGGCGGCUUCCGCCAGCGCCGCCGCCGCGCGCUCGCACGCCGGCGCGAUCGCGCGCGACGGCGGCGGCGUCUCCGCGUCCACGCCCGCGGCGACGCGCGCGGCGCGGACGCGGUCGACGAGCGCGCGCAGCGCCUCCCCGCGCGGCAGCCGCGUCGGCGUCGUCGGGUCGGGGAUCCCGUCGUCGUCGUCGUCGUCGCUUCCGGCGUUGACGUCCUCUCGAAAGUAUUCGCGCGACUCGAGCUCGAGCGCGUGCUUCCGCGCCGGGCAACACCUCGCGUGCUUCUCCAUCGCGGUCGUCGCGACGGCGGUGCCGCAGUGCGCGCACGGCGCGCGAGCGGGCCCGUCGACGCGAUGGUUCCCGCACCGCGGCGGGUCGCCGCAGCCCGGGGCGAUGACUUGCCCGCACGCGCGGCGCUUGCGCUCGAUCCAGUGGUCGCAUCGGGGGAGGACGCCGGCGGCGGUUCGAUCCCCGGCGCCGUCGACGACGGCGACGGCGCGCUUCGCGCGCUUCGCCUCCGCGCGCGCGAGCUUGUUGCCUCCCAUGCCGCCGUCUUGGCGCGCGCCGGCGCCGGCGGGAGUGGUGACGAAGAUCUCGUCAGAUCCUACGAUGGGCUUCAUCAGUCGGAUUGAAUCCACGACCGACGCGACGAGCGCGUCUCGGACUCAGAUCCGAGCGCGCGGGCGCACGGCGCGUCAUGAGCGGCGACGGCUCCGACGCCGUCGCGAAGCCGAAGGCCGCCGCUGCCGGCGGCGGCGGCGGCGCGCUGGCGAGCGCGAGCAAGGAGCAGCUCGUGAAGGCGCUGGAGAACGCGGCGAAGAGGGCGAAGAAGGACCAGGCCAAAUUGGCCGCGCUCGCCGCGGAGUGCGAGCGCCUGCGCGAGGAGGCCGCCGCGUCCGCCGCGUCCGCGACCGCGCCGGCCGAGGCGGAGGCGACGCCGCGGCCGGACCCGGACGCCGUCGCCCCUGAGGUUGUCGCCGCGCUGGAAGCGCGCGUCGCCGCCGCGGAGAGGGCGGCGUCCGACGCGUCCGCGAGAUCGCGCGCGGACGCGGACGCCGCCGCGACGACGACGCGCGCGCUGGAGGAGACGCGCGCGAAGCUCGCGGCGGCGGAGAGAGAGCGCGCGGCGAUCGCGAAGCACGAGGCGGCGGCGCGCGCGGAGGCGGCGAAGGCGAAGGCGGACGCGGCGAAGGCGGACGCGGCGAAGGAUGACGACGCGAAGACGAAGGAUGACGACGCGAAGACAAAGGACCACGCGAAGACGCACCGCGACGAGGAGGCGGCCGCGUCCGCCGCCGCCGCCGCGACGAUCGCGUCGCUGCGCGCCGAGCUCGACGCCGCGGCGAAGACCGCCGCCGCGGACGAGCGCUUCCGCGCGGCGGCGACGACGGAGACCGCGGCGCUGCGCGAGAAGUUCGCGAGCGCCGCGCGCGAGGCGGCGACGACGCGAGAGAAGCUGGCGACGACGGAAGCCGACGCGGCGACGGCGUCGGCGUCUCGCGCGACGGCGACGUCCGCGGCGGAGAGAGACGCCGCGGACGCGAAGGCUGCGCUGCGCACCGCGCUCGAGGACGCAGAGAGGAAGGCCAAGGCGUGGGAGGAAGAGCGCGCGCGCGUGAAGACGUCGCUGACGGACGUGAAGAAGAAGAUGACCAAGCUCGACGCGCGCGCGACGACGCUGAAGGCGCGUCCCGUUUGUCGCGCUAGUCCCCGUGCGACCGCGUUCGCGCGGUGAACGCCGUUCCUUGAGGACGUUUCUUCCCGGCGUCGUCACUCUCCGCCCAUCACCCCUCGGUUUCGAUCCCGACAUACCGCGACGACGCCUUUCAACUCCGCUUCUGACGCCUUUCAACUCCACCCCGCGACCGACCCUCAGACGGAGCUCGCCGCGGCGAGGUCGAAAGCCGCCGAAGACGCGGCGGCGCGCGAGGCGGAGAAGACCGCGCUUCUCAGCGACGUCGCCGCCGCGAAGGACGCGGCCGCGACGGCGGCGCGCGAGCACGCGGAGUACAAGACCCGCGCGCUUGCGUUGGUGCGCGCGAAAGAGGACGAGCUGAAGCGCGCGGGCGUCGGCGAGACGCAAUCACGCGCGGCGAAGGAAAUUCAAACCGCGAACGACGCGCGCGACCGCGCCGAGCAGCGCGCGGCGGCCGCGAGAGACGCGCUCGAGGACGCGCUCGUUGCGUCCAGGGACACGGAGGCGACGCGCGCGGCCAGGGACGCGGAGGCGGCGGCCGCGCGCAGGAAGGAGCUGGAGCGGUUGAGGGACGAGCUGAAGGCGGCGAAUCACGCGGCGGACCGCGCGCGAUCGGAGGCGCGUUCUCCUCACACUGGUCCCCGUACGACCGCGUCGGCGUGGUGCACGCCGAUCCUUAAGGACUUUGCCCGGCGCAUCUCUCCGCCCACCCCUCGCUUUCAAUCCCGACACAUCUCGACGCCUUUCAACUUCAAAUGACGCCUUUCAACUCCACCCCGACGUCGCUUCGCACGGAACGACCCCAAGGCGUACGCCGCGCACGCCGCCGCGGACGACGCGCGCGCUUCCGCCGCGGACGCCGAGGCGAACGCGAUCACGGCGGCGGCGGACGCCAAGGCGGAGGCGCGCGUCGCGAUCGCGCAGCUGGAGCGACGCGCGACGGCGGCGGAGGCGGCGUUGAAGACGACGCGCGCGGAGCUGGUCGCGGCGCGGCGCGCGACGGAGGAGGGCGCCGCCGCGUCGAGGCGGGAGGUGGCCGCGGCGGAGAAGGCGCUGGACGACGCGCGCGACGAGCUCGAGACGCUCAGAGCGCGCGUUAAGAAGGCGGGAGGAGGAGGAGGAGGGGCGACGGGGCGCGACGGCGAGGACGUCGGCGCGGCGGCGGCGGCGGAUGGCGAGGGCGAGGGCGAGGCGGCGUCGGCGUCGACGAGCGCCGAGCCGUUUGACGUCGAAGCCGAGGACGCCUAUCAGGCGCGUUCUAUACACUGGUUCCCAUACGACCGCGUUGGCGUGGUGAACGCCGUUCCUUAAGGACUUUUUACGGCGCAUCUCUCCGCCCACGCCUCGCUGCUUUCAAUCCCGACACACCUCGACGCCUUUCAACUCCGCUUCUGACGCCUUUCAACUCCACCCCGACGUCGCUUUGUAUGGAACGACUAUCAGGUGGAGGCGUCCAUCGCGUACAUACUCGGUGAGCCGGACCCGAAGGACGUCGCGGCCGCGCGCGCGAGAGCGGCCGCGGAGGAGGAAGCGGCGCGACGGAAGGACGAGGAUAGGAUGCGGAGGGCGAGCGAGGCGCAUCGCGCGGCGACGGCGGCGGCGACGGCGAAGUCAAAGUCGACCGCGCGCGUCGUCUCCGAGAUCGAGCCCGCCGCCGCCGCCGCCGCCGCCGCCGCCGCCCCGCCUUCGCCCUCGCCCUCCACCCCGCGCGCGUACGCCGACCCGCCGAUGUCGCCCUCGCCCGCGGUCCCGCGCGGGAGCUUCUCCAUGCGAGACCCGGACCCGACGUUGGACGAGGGCGCGUCGGAGUACUUUGGCGAGGCGUUUAGGGCGUUGGAGAGCGUCGCGGAGUUGGCGCCGGAUUUAGGCGUCUCGGCGACGCUGUCGUCGCUGUUCGGGUGGGGGGGUUCCGGCGGCGUCGCGGACGCCGCGCCGGAGCGGCCGGCGGUGAGCUCCGCGGAGAUGGCCGCGGCGAAGCGCGCGGCGGAGGCGGCCGCGAAGCUGGUGCAGAGCGCGCGCGAGGGAAGGACGUGACGACUCGAGAUAAAGUUGGUAUUAAAACGCGUUUGUGACCUUCCAGUCAAUACGGCGCCUUUCGCUUGCCCAUCGGAACCGCGGCGCGUCCCCCUCUCCCGCCGGGACCGGCGCCCCGGCCCGCGCGCACCGUCGGCGCGAACACCCUCCCGUCCCUCCCUCCUCCGCCUCCGCGUUCCCCCGGCCUCCAUCCGUGAUCCCUCGCGCCCCGUCCUCCGGAGACGCCGCCCGGCGGGCCGCGCCUGUCUUCGGUCCGGGGGGGGAACCCUCGGUCGCGCUCGCGCCCGGGUUCCCUUCCGGGCUCGCGCCCGGGUUCCCUUCCGGGCUCGCGCCCGGGUUCCCUUCCGGGCUCGCGCCCGGGUUCCCUUCCGGGCUCGCGCCCGGGCUCCCUCCCGAGCGGCGGGCCCGGGCCGGGGCCGGGCCCGGGGCCGGGCCCGGGCCCGGGGCCCACGCGCGUCGCGGUCCUCGGCGGCGGGCCUCUCGGCAGCGGCGGCGCCGCCGCCGACGCGCCGCCGCCGCCGCCGCCGGGCCGGACCUGGUCCCACCCCGUGCGGCUCUUCGCCCGCGCCGUGUUCGCCCUCGUCGCCGUCGCCGUCGCCGUCGCCGUCGCCGCCGUCGUCGUCGCCGUCGCCGCCGUCGCCAUCGGCCUCGCUCGCUUCCGCGUCGCCUCUGCGGCGGCUUUCAAACGCCUCAUCUCGUCGUCGUCGGCGUUCGCGGCGUUCGUCGCCGCCGUCGUCGUCGUCGUCGUCGUCAUCGUCGUCGUCGUCGCGACGGCGUCCGCGUCGUUCCUGUCUUCCGGCUCGCCGUCCAAGGUGGCCGCGUCGUCGUCCGCGAACGGAUCCUCCUCGUCCGACUCGAUGAUGUCCUGAAUCAGGUGGUCGUCGUCGUCGUCCUCCUCCUCCUCCUCCUUCUCGUCCUUCUCGUCGCCGUCGCCAUCGCCGCGGUCGCCGCCGUCGUACUCCGUCUGCACCGCCCCGGCGUCGAUCCCCGUCUCGAUCCCCGCCUCGCCGCGAUCCUCGCCGCCGGCGGCGUCGUCGCCGCCGACGCUUUGCAGCUGCGCGACGCAGAACGCGAGGUGCUCUUGGAGCAUCGCGUCCGUGAUGAUGGAUUCUCUCGCGCCGCUCCUCGCGUCGGCGGCAUCGGAAGACAAAUCGCCCUCGUCCGCGAACCCUCGCGCGAGGAGCUCCUUCGCGAGCACGCUCGACGUGUGCGUGAACUCGUGCUUCGCGAGGAACGCGGAGAACACCUUGAAGAUCUCCUGCGGGGUGUACCGCGGCAGCACCAGCCGAGGGCGCGGCAGCGGCGGCAUCCCUCUCGCGCGGCGCCGUCUGGCGGGCGAAAUCGUCGGGCGGUCGACCCAGACGCGCUUCCAGUCGUCCUGUCCGCGGUCGGCAACUCCGUCGCGAUUCGAGUUAUCGCGCGCGCGUCUCCGCGUGCGCGCGGCAUUGCCCAGAGCGCGGCGGCACCGCACGGGAUCGCGCGCAGAAGGAGUUCCGCGCACCGCCGAUCCGUCCUCACGCGCGGCGGGGGUCCGAUCGCGAGCGGAGGCGCGGCUCGAGCGGUCAGAUCGUCCGCGGGGGCGCUUGUUACCUGAGAGGCGAAUCUAUCGAUCGCGGCGAAACGAAUCGCGCUCGUCGGGAUCUCGCGCUCGCCGCCGCGGUCUUUCGCCUCUCGGUCAGACCGUCCCCCCCGCGCGAUCCGCGCUUCGUUCUCGGGGCGGACGGCGCGCGGAGGAGAAGGAGAAGGAGAAGGAGAAGGAGAAGAAGGAGAACCGCGCUCGCGGCGUCGUCCCGCGGCGGCGCGGCGCGGAGGACGGCCGUCGCCGUCGUCAUGCAGUCCAUGGCCGAGCUCGAGUCGCUGUGCAACGUGCUGUACAACUCGCACAACCCGGCCGAGCGCGCGCACGCGGAGAACACGCUGCGACCGUUCAGCACGAACGUGGACUACAUCGCGCAGUGCCGCGCGAUAUUAGACGCGGCGACGAGCCCGUACGCGCAGCUGUUCGCGACGUCGUCGCUCACGAAACUCCUGACCGAUCACGACUCGCUCUCGCAACAACUGCGCAUCGACAUGCGCGCCUACGUGAUCAACUUCCUCGCGACGAAGGGCACCGCGCUGGAGGGGUUCGUCGUCACCGCGCAGAUCCAGCUGUUAUCGCGCGUCGUGAAGACGGGGUGGCUCGAGGCGGACGAGGCGCAGAGAGACGUCGCGGCGGAGGUGAUGAAGUUUCUGGAGCAAAACAAUGCGACGCACUAUCACAUCGGUUUGAAGAUCUUCAACCAGCUCGUGAGCGAGAUGAACCAGCAGACCCCGGGGACGUCGCUCAUCGCGCAGAGGAAGAUCGCGGUGUCGUUUCGGCACACCGCGCUUCUGAACAUCUUUCAGAUAUCCCUGCGCGCGCUGCAGUCGCUUCAGAAUGAUCCGGCGUCAGAGGCGAGGCUCAAAGAGAGCGCGUGCGCGUUGACGCUCACGUGUCUCUCCUACGACUUCGUCGGGACCUCUCUGGACGAGUCCACGGAGGACAUCGGGACGAUCCAGGUCCCGUCGUCGUGGCGCGGGAUCAUCGAGGAGCCCGCGACGAUGGCGCUGCUGUUCGACGCGUACAAAGCGAGUUCGCCGCCGGUGUCGAACGCGGCUUUGGAGUGUUUGGUUCGCCUCGCGAGCGUUCGACGGUCGCUGUUCGCGUCCGAGGCUGAGAGGAACGGGUACCUCAGGCGGCUGAUCGCGGGGACGUCCGAGGUGCUGCGACUGAACCAGGGCUUGGGCGAGCACGACAACUACCACGAGUUUUGCCGUCUGUUAUCGCGGCUGAAGACGAACUAUCAGCUCAGCGAGCUCGUCGCCGUGGACGGGUACCAAACCUGGAUCCAGCACGUCGCCGAGUUCACGCUGACGUCGCUGCAGUCGUGGCAAUGGGCGUCGUCUUCGGUGUAUUACCUUCUCAUUCUGUGGAGCCGACUGAUAUCUUCGGUGCCGUACCUCAAGGGCGAGGCGCCGUCGAUGCUCGACGCGUACGUGCCGCGCAUAACGGAGACGUUCAUCACGUCGAGAAUCGACUCGGUGACGGCGGUGGCGUCGGGAACCGCGGAGGAGGACCCUCUCGACAACGAGGAGUCGCUUCAAGAUCAGCUCGAGUCGCUGCCGCACCUGUGCCGGUUCAGGUACGAGACGACGGUUCAGUUCCUCACGACGCUGAUCGACCCGACGAUCGCGGAGUUUAACAUGGCUGCGAACAUGCCGGCAGGGUCGGACCCGAGCGCGCUGAGCGUCGUCGAGGGAAGGCUCACGUGGCUCGUGUACAUCGUCGGCGCGGUCGUGCGCGGACGACUGUCGUGCAGCAGCUCGGAGCCGCAGGAGAGCCUGGACGGCGACCUCGCGUUUCGCGUGUUUCAGCUGAUUCAGGUCAUGGACCAAGGGUUCCACGCGACGCGGUACGGCGCGGAGAGUCGGCAACGGUUGGACCUCGCGGUUUUAAACUUUUUCGGAAAUUUCCGCAAGGUGUACGUUGGCGAGCAGGCGAUGCACAGCAGCAAGGUGUACGUCCAGCUGUCCGAACGCAUGGGGUUGCACGACCACCUCAUGGUCAUGAACUUGACCGUGACGAAGAUCACGCAAAACUUGAAGUGCUUCGCGCAGGUGGACAAGGUGGUCGAGGCGUCGUUGAACUUGCUUCAAGACCUCGCCGUCGGGUUCAUGUCCGGGAAGCUCUUGCUGCGUUUGGACGCCAUAAACGCGACGCUCGCGAAUCACACGCCGGACCACUUCCCGUUCCUGUCGCAGUACGCCAACACGCGCAACCGAACCAUCUUCUACGCCACGCUCGCGAGACUGCUGUUCAUGGAGGACGACGCCGCGAAGUUCGCGCAGUUUAUGGCGCCGUUCGGCGCGUUGUGCGAACAGCUGUCCAACGCGGCGAGGAGCGACGUCAACGCGUUUCGAUCCGACGCCGUGAAGCACACGCUCAUCGGUCUGUUCCGAGAUCUGCGCGGGAUCGCGUCCGCGGCGAACAGCCGGCGGACGUACAGCCUCCUGUUCGACUGGAUGUAUCCGCGGCACGUCGGGCUGCUGCUGCACGCGAUGGAGACGUACGCGGACGACCCGCAAGUCUCGACGCCGCUGCUAAAAUUCGUCGCCGAGUUUGUGUUGAACAAGACGCAACGGCUGACGUUCGAGCCGUCCAGCGUGAACGGGAUCCUUCUCUUCCGCGAGGUGAGCAAGCUCGUCGUCGCGUACGGCCGACGCGCGCUCGCGGCGCCGCCGGUGAAGGGCACGGAGGCGUACCCGCGGCGGUAUAAGGGCAUAUGGCUCGCGUCCACGGUGCUCAUGCGCGCGCUCUCGGGCAAUUACGUCAACUUUGGCGUGUUCGAUCUCUACGGCGACAACGCGCUGAAAGACGCGCUCGGGGUGGCGAUAUCGCUCUCGCUCACGAUGCCCCUAGAGGAGAUCAUGACGUAUCGCAAGGUGGCCAAGUCGUACUUCGCGCUCGUGGAGGUGCUCUUCCACUCGCACGUGCACGUCGUCGCGGCGUGCGAUAACGCGACGUUCGCGCAUCUCGCGCGGUCGCUCGAGGCUGGGUUGCGGUCGUUGGACGUCUCGAUAUCGUCGCAGUGCGCGGCCGCGAUCGAUAACCUCGCGGGGUUUUACUUCAAGGCGGUGAACCCGGUGAUCGGGGAGAAUCCGGCUCAGGGCGCGGAGGCGAUCGCGGCGCAUAUAAACCAGCUCCCGACGUUGUUUCCCGAGAUGCUCAAGACGCUGUUCGACAUCGUGUUGUUCGAGGACUGUUCGAACCAGUGGAGUCUGUCGCGGCCGACGUUGUCGCUCAUCCUCGUCAACGAGGCGCACUACGGCGCGCUCAAGGCGGAGAUCACGGCGUCGAUGCCGCCUUCGAAACGGCCGCUCAUGGACGGUUACUUUGAGAAGCUCAUGGACGGCGUCACGCGGAGCUUGGAGGCGCGGAACAGGGACCGGUUCACGCAGAAUCUGACGGUGUUCCGGCACGACGCCAAGGCGGGGUGAGCGAGGCGCGGCGGACCGGGCUACUAGGAUGAGAGGAGGGUGGGCGCGUGGUUGUGGGUGGGGGGUGUCGUGUUGUCGCGCGCGCGCGCGUCGAUUAGGGCGUAGUCAUGUCGUGGCGUUUAAAGCGAACGCGUCGUCGUCGCGCUUCGAGCGGACGAAGAGUCACGGAAAUCAGUUAAUCCGUUGAUGAGUCACGGAUCGAAUCCCUCUUUUUGUCGGACACGUCCCGCCAGAUCGGACACGUCCCCGCGCGCGCCGCCAUGGCUGACGACGCCGCGGCGAUGCGGACGGUCGUCGCGGAGCUCUUGGAGAGGAACGCGCGCGUGCUCGCGACGCUCAAGGCGCUCGCGCGUCGGCGCGGGGACGCGCCGCCGACGACGGAGGAGGUGGCGCUCGCGAUCGUCGCGGAGGAAAACGUGCGCGAGCUCUGUUCGAGAUCGGACGCGCCCCCCGGGAUCUCGGACCGCCUGCGCGCGUUCGUGGACGAGGCGCGCGCGCUCGGGCUGAUUCCGCCGGAGGCGUCGCCCGCCGCGCCGCCGCCGCCGCGCGCGAUGUCGUCGGACUCGCCCCCGGCGACGCGCGGGGACGGGCGAUUCGACCCGACGCUGUCGCCUAGUCGCAGUGAUGGUCGGAGAGAUAGUUUAGAGUAAACAGUGGUUUGACCGCGCGACGGGUCCGCUCAAGGGUCUAGGGUCUACAGGGGGGAUACGCCGACUCGGGAGGCGUUCUUUUGGAGGGUCAAGAUCGACCCGGAGGCCGCGCUCGGGGCCGUGCCGAGCGCGUCGGGGCGUUGACGAGUCGUCAAACGUCAACUCCGCGACGCCAGAAUUUAAUACGCAUAAUAAGUCUCGUCUAUCUACUCGCCGCGUCGCACACGGAAUCCACCGUGCACGUCUCGAUGAACCGGUCGUUCGCGCCCGCGCGCUCAAACGCGGCGGUCGCGAACGCGGGCAGUCGCGAAGAGCGCGCGACGUAUCGCUUUCCGUCGAACGCGAAGACGUACUCGAGCGAGUGCAACGCGACGCGGCCUCGCGUCUUCGGUUUCGUCCGACGCCGCCGCGCCGCGUCAUCAUCCGCCACGUCAUCCGCCACGUCAUCAUCCACAUCGGCACCCUCCGCGUGCCGCGUCAUCGCCUCGCGCGCGGCCGCGAGGCGCGCGGCGUCGUCGCCGCCGAACGCGCGCGCGUCGUCCGCGCGCGUCAGCGCCGCGAGCGCGAGCCCGCACUCGAGGCACCACGGCUGGUACGCGUCGCGAGUCAUCUUCAGCAGCGUCCUCUCUUCGUCGUCGGCGUACACCGCUCGGCCGCCGGGACACGUCAGCGGAUCGGCGGAUGCGAUAUCUGCGGCGAUAUCCGCGUGAUCGUCGUCGUCGUCGUCGGCGUCGUCGCGACGACCGUCGGCGUCGGCGUCGUAGUCUCGGUCGAAGACGAUCGGGUGGCCGACGUGCGCGAGGUGCGCGCGAAUCUGAGGGUCGUUCCAUACAAAGCGAUGGCGGGGUGGAGUUGAAAGGCGUCAGGUGGAGUUCAAAGGCAACGCGGUCGGGGAUUGAACGCGAGGUGUGGGCGGAGAGAUGGGUGGGCGGAGAGAGACGACCGACGGGCGAGAAAGUCGUUAAGGAAUGAAGUUCACGACGCGAACGCGGUCGUACGUGGACCGGUGCGGAAAGGAGGACGCGCCUGAUGGUACCGCCCGGACUUUUCCAACGCGACGGCCGCGAGCGUCAGUGCCUCCUUCUCUCCGCCGCCGCCCUUCGACGGCACCGCGACGACCGCGAGGGGGACGACGCGCGUCGCCGCGGGCUUCGCGCCGUCGCCGCCGACGACGGCCAGCCCGCGCUCGUCCUUGCGAAGCGGCGCGUCGACGACGAACCCCCCGCCGCCUGCGUGGGUGAAGCGAUCGGCCAGUCGAACGUCUUACCGGUCAACACCACGUUGAAAGGGAAGCGCGGGUGAAGAGCGACGACGGGAAAAAUCCUCAAGGAACGGCGUGCACCACGCGAACGGGGUCGUACGGGGAGCAGUCUCACCCGCGCCGCCGCCGCCGACUUCGACGCGGCCCUUCACGAGAGCGACGUACGUCUUGCGCGUCUCCCCGCGCGCCGCGCCCUUGUGCAGCGCGUCGCGCGCGCGCGCGGACAGACGACUCCCUUUCGCGAGGAUCCACACCCCGGAGACGGGCUUAUCGAUUCGGUUCACCGCGAACAGCGGCGCGUCGUCGUCGUCGCCGCCGCCGCCGCCGCCGCCGCCGUCGUCGCUUUCUUCUCUCUUCCUCUUCGCCGACGCCGACGCCGACGCGCGAAGACGACGCAGCACCGCGACCGCGUUGUUCUCUCCCGCGACGCCCGGGCCGACGCCCGCGAGCGUGGGCAACCCCGGGGGCUUGUCCACGAUCACGACGCGCUCGUCCUCGGUCAACACGACCGGCGCCUCCGCGUGCACGCACGGCUCGUGGACGUGGCGUCGCACGCGCAGCCGCGAAUCUCUCGGCACGCGCUCGUCCAGCGACGCCGGCGUCGCCCACCAGCGCUCCGGGACGUCGCCGCCCGUGGGGAGCCGCGCGAGGACGUCGGAGACGAUCGCGACGCGCCGCGCGUCCAGCUCGCCCUGCCAGUGCGCGCGGUCGCCGCCGCCCUUGACGCACUGCCCUUGAAACGCAUGAUGCCCGACGAGGCAAUCGAGCACGCUCGCGCCCUCCCGAGUGGUCGACACCUUGUAGAUCACGUCCUCGACGUACGGAACGACGUAUCGGAGGCCGUUGACGAUGACGUACUCGCGCGGGGCGUAGGACGUGGACGGGACGGCGUCGAGCGGCUCGACGCCGUCCCGCGACAUGACGCAAUGCGCUCGGAACGAGGACAGAUCUACUCUACGACAAGAAAGCCAAGAAAGGGGCUGAACUCUUCGUGUAUACACGGUAGGGCCUAGAGGCUUGAUAGUCCCGUUUUUAGUAUGUAAAUAAUCUUCGCCUCACUUUGAACCGCCCGCCCCGCACGAUGUCCGACGUGCGCGAACUCAUAAGCUUUGAUGUUCUCUCGUGAUAUGAUACCCUACGUGCGCGAACUCAUAAGCUUUGAUGUCGUAUCGGCAGAUGAUACUUUUAAUGUUGAAGUUGUGAGCGUCAAAGGCCCCAUAACAGCGACAACUGUCGUUAUUCAGGGUCGCCUGAAGGACGCACACUCGCAAAGCCCAACCCGAGCGACCUGGACGCUUCACUACAACAUGGCGACAGACCAAAAAGAGAUUGAUAUUUCCGCAUCAGAAAGCAUGAUUACCCCCUCAAUUCAACAGGCCAUCGCCGAAAGUGUGGUGAUAAGAUACAAGAAUGGUUCUUUAGGAUUUAGCCUACGAUAUGAGGACGAUGAGGACGAUGUUCCCGUUUUUUAGUAUGUAAAUAAUAUCUCCGCCUCACUUUGAACCGCCCCGCACGAUGUCCUCGUCGCCCCCACUCACACGACAGAGUUAAGGGUGAAAUGAACCCGAAGGGUUCAACCCUUUAAGCUCCGUCAAUUCACGCUAAGAAACCAGAAAAGCAGUCACAUCACACAACGCGAAGCCGCCGACUCGAGAGCUUUCGCUCGGAGCUCGCUCGUCGUAACGAAAUUGGACUAUUACAAGUGACACGUCACACACUCGACGGGCGAGGGAGACCUCUCUCCCUCCGCCCGCCGCCUCACUAAACUACCCCGCCGGCGCCCGGCCGCGCCCAUCCGCGCCUCUCUCUUCCGAUCUCAUCAUUCUUUCGGCACUCGCGUCGUCGUCGUCGUCUCGUCAACCGUCGCCGCGCGUCCCGCCUCUCUCUUCGUCGACUCUUCGUCGACUCAUCGACUCGCCGCCGACUUAAGAGUAGUACGGGAGCACCUGGGUGAGGAAGUACGACCACGCGACGCCGGAGAGGCCGCCGACGAGCCAGCCGGAGGUGAACUUCGCCCAGCCGUCUUCGCUCUGCACCGGGUCGCGCGAGAUGUCGCGCCCCGAGAGGGUCUUGACCCCGAUGAUCUCGUCGCGUUGGAACGCCGUCGCGCCGUAGAUGGAGAGGCACGCGGUGAGAAUGAUGACCAGCCCCGCGCCGGAGAGGCACCCCGCGAGCUCGGCGGCGUCGGUGCCGCGGAGCGGGCCGAGCUUAAUGAACGGGCCGGUGAGGAAGAAGCCGUGCGCGAGGCCCACCUCGACGCCGCGCGUGAGCGGCGAGACGCCGGUGCGAUACGCGGGGAGGUUGGAGAGGAAGUUGGCGACGAUCGGCGCGGACGUGACGGGGGUCUCGAGCAUGCCGAUGAACGGGUCGCCGUUGAUCGGCUUGAUCACCUGGGCCUGCGGUCGAGGAGGGCGAUGACGGAGAGGAGAGGCGGUGAGCGCGUCGCGGAUGGAUGAGCGGCUGGUUGAUGGAGAUGGAUCCUCGCGAUGGAACGAUCGAUCGGAUCGAUCGGGCGAUUUUUCGAACGACGACGACGCGGGCUGACGCGCACCUUCUCCGCGGCCGCGCGCACGACGACGGAAGCCUUGGCGGCGCUGCGGUCGGGGAAGACGAGGGGGGGGGGACGUCAGCGGCGGGUUCGAGGGGCGCGCGCGGUCGCGCGAUCGCGCGCCGCGCGCCGCGCGUCCGCGUCUUCAUCAUCUUUUUUUAUCGACCCCCCGGCCGCGCGCUAUCGGCGGAACGGACCCUACUGGGCGCGCGCGGAAACGUCGUCGACGCGCGACGCGCGACGACGCGAUCGAUGCGGGAGCGAACGUACCGCGCGGGGGCGAGGCCGGAGACGCCCUUGCCGAGGAAGGAGCGGCGGGCGGUGACCUGGCGACGGAGAGGAGGGAGGGACGACGGACGGGGAGUGGCGCGGUGAGUCACCGGGGAGUGGCGCGAUGAACGAAAAAUCGCGCGAGCGGAAGCGCGUCUCGGAAUACGCGCGCGGAGCGACGCGCGAGCGCGGCAUCGCGAAUCCGAACGCACCUUGGGCGCGGCGACGCGCGCGGCGACGGACAUGGAGGCGAUGGCGGCCAUUUUUUCUACUGCUGAGGAGUAAGACGAGCGCGGGACGGGUGCGGGAAUGGAUCGCCCGUCGCCCUCGGCGACGCUUUACGGGCUCGCCGCGGCGGAUUUCGCUCCUCUCGCGAGCCAAUAAAAACGCGCGGCCCAGGCACCGCACGCGUUUCAGUCAGGAAAGAGUACGCAGAAAACGUAGUACGAGAACAUCGGUCGGUCGACGCGCGAACCGAAAGAAAUAUUGUCGUUUGACCGCGGCGCACCCCAUCGCUUCGCGCGUCGUCAGUCACGUCGUCGCCGCGCGCCACCUCGCACGACCCGCGGCAGACGUCGUCGCGCGCGAUGUCCGCCACGGACGAGAACGCGCCCCCCGACGCGGAGGGAUCCGUCCCCGCGGACGCGACGGAGCCGGAGCCCGAGCCGGAACCGGAGCCGUUCACGUUCACGGUGACCGUGCUGGUGCGCGCGCGAGCGAAUCUCGUUUUAGCCCCGCUUUUGGACGCACGCAUCCUCAUCAUCCCAUCUGACCCCUCCCCGUCCCCUCCCCCUCGUUCGCGUCCCUCCCCUCCCUCCGCAGUCGACGUCGCCGCUGUUCCCCGCGCCGCCACCGCCGCCCGCGGAGGGCGAGGACGAGCCCGCGGAGCCGCCGCCGCGGCCCGCGCUGAAGAUCCGAUACGCCUUCCCGGGCAAGCCCGACGAGCCGGUCGACGAGGGCCCGUUCGAGUCGCGCGACGACGGCGCGUUCGCGUGCGACGCGACGCGGACGUUCGCGUUCCUCCCCGCGACGGACCGCCCGUCGAUCACGACGCUGCUCAACGCGCCGCUGACGCUGACGCUGAGCCGAGACGACGACGUCGCGAUCGCGACCGCGCGCGUGCCCUUCGACGGCUUCCUCGAGGUGCGUUCUAUCUCACACUGGUCCCCAUACGACCCCGUUCGCGUGGUGAACGCCGAUCCUUAAGGACUUUUGCCGGCGCAUCUCUGCGCCCAUCCCUCGCUUUCAAUCCCCGCCAUCGACGCCUUUCAACUCCAACUGACGCCUAUGAACUCCACCCCGACAUGGCUUCGUAGGGACGCGACGAGGGCGUCGUCCGCCUCGAGUCGAUCGCGCUGACGCGCGUGCCGUUCGAGGGCGAGGGCGAGGACGACGGCGCGGCGGUGAACGACCUCCUCCCGGACGCGACGAUCGCGGUGGAGCUGCGGAGCUCGGAGCUCCUCCUGACGCCCGAGGAGGCGCGCGCGGGGAACGUGCUCUGCCUGCGCGCGAUCGAGCUCUCGCCCAUCCCGGAGGCGCGUUCUAUCUCACACUGGUUCCCGUACGACCGCGUUCGCGUGGAGAACGCCGAUCCUUAAGGACUUUUCCCAGCACAUCUCUUCGCCCAGGGUCCCUCGCUUUCAAUCCCCUCCCUCGACGCCUUUCAACGCCAACUGACGCCUUUCAACUCCACCCCGACAUGCAGACGCUCUCGGAAAAAGAAAACCCGACGGACGACGCCUUCUCGUUCGCCGUCGCGUGCCCGAUACCGGGCUGCGCGGAGGGCGGCGUCGACCCGCUCGUGGCGACGGGCGGCGCGCUCGCGAGGAACCCGCCGCCGUCACCGCCGCCGACGCCGAAAGAGGGGGAAGAGCCCGCGCCGGCGCCCGAGGAGGAUCUGAAGAUGCGAAGGAUCGUCUGGAGCGACGAGACGCUCGUCAAGCGGUGGCUCGACGGCGACCAGGUUCGCGCGUUCAAAGCGUCCGUCAAGGGCAAAGGCGCGCGCGUGCCGUUCGAGGUUGGACGCGUCGUGCGCGACGCGGAGACGACGACCGACCCGUGCUUCCACGCGUACCGCGCGGUGUGCGAGUUGAACCUCGACGCGCUCGUGGACCCGGGUACAGCUGUCACGACGACGUCGGGCGAGCUGCGGCGACCGGACCCGCCGCCGCUCGGCGUCGCCGCGUCCGCCGUCGCGGUCCUGCCGUUCCCGCCGGAGGAGGUUCCGCCGGGGGCGAAGCCGAUCGCGGAGGAGCCGCCGCCGGACGGCGAGUCCGCGUGGGCGAGCGCGUCGGCGCCGCCGACGCUGUCGAUCGAGGUUUCGCUGUACAAGCCGCUGGUGCCGGCGUGGAGGAAGCCGACGCAGCCGGCGGAGGCGGUGGCGGACCUGCUGCCGCCGCGCUCCCCGCUCGGGCCACUAGACCCGAACACGUCAUCGCUGGAGCACUUCCGCGAGGAGGUGCUCGACGCCGCGAGCGCGCUCGCGCGGGAGUACGCGUCGAUGUUCACAGGCGAGCCGUCGGACGAGCUCGGGAAGGCGAAGCGUCGGUCGGACCUCGUGUUCGAGCUCAACCGAAGCGGGAAAUACCACGCCAUCAAAGACCGUCUGAAGGCGGCCGCGCAGGGGAUCAUCAAGCAGCGCUUCCACGCCGGCGGCGAGGGCGUCCAGGGGCGAUACAACGAGCUGUACCAGGCGCGUUCUAUACAAAAGUUUUCACCCAUAGCUCGGUUUCAACACUUGAUCGCGUGCGUCUCCUUUCAACUGACCGAUGAACUAUUUUUGUAUGGAACGACCCUCAGGCGUUGAUCGAGGAGAUGCACGCGGCGCUCAAGGCGCUGGGGAAGCCCCCCGCGGAAAACCUCGCGUCGGACGACCCGGACGACGGCGUCGAUCGCGCCGCGCUCGCGGCGUACAAGGCGUACGCGGACGAGUGCGAGAUCAACGACAAGUUAAACGUCGCGGACAAGUGGCACCAGGAGCGGCUCCUGCUGACGCGUCGGCACCCGGACGUGUGGAGCGACUACGCGGCGUUUUGCGCGCGGCGCGGGCGACGCGGGAAAGCAGAGGAGGCGUACAAGGAAGCGUUACAGCUGGACGGCGAGCACGCGCCGUCGCUGCUCGGCCUCACCGUCCUGACGAUGUGCGACGAGGAGUAUCAACGCGCGGAGGUGUACGCGCACGCGGCGACGACGUCCGCGAGGGCGUCGAGCGCGGACCCCGCGGCGUGGGCGCUGCUCGCGGCUACGUACGAAGGGCUCGAACGCGAGGAGGACGCGGCUAACUGCGACUUUGAGGCUCGGCGGCUCGCCGCGGAGGUGAUGUCUCACGUCUUUGACGACGCGCGGCCGUCCCCCGCGCAGCCCGACGCGUUCGAGGCGGCGGCGCUCGCGUGCCUGGACCUCGCGUGCGCGGCGCCGGCGUCCAAGGUUCUGGACAUGUCGCCCGCGGCGCGGCGCGGCGAGCCCGACGGGAUCACCAGAGCGUUGUGCCUCGCGCGGUGCGCGAUGCUCAGCAAAGCGCACGACACCGCGUACGCGCACCUGAUGCGCGCGCUGGAGGUGGACGCCACGGACCCGCGGCCGUUCGAGCUGCUCGGCGACGUGCAUUACGCGUGCGGCAGGUUCAAGGAGGCGCAGGAGGGGUACACGCACGCGCUCGCGCUCAGCGGCGGCGUGGACAACGUCGGCGGGCACCCGCCGGCGUCGCUCAAGCUCAUCCUCAAUCUCGGCAAAGCGUCGCUGGUGUGCGGCAGGCUCAAGGACGCGCGCGGCGUGUUUAUGUCCGCGUGCGGGGUGUCCCCCGUCGCGUCCACGUGGCUCGGCGCCGGGAUCGCGAUGUGCCGCGAGGGCGACCUCGACGGCGCGGAGGCUGCGCUCGCGGAGGCCAACUUGCUCGACGCGUCCAACGCGGACGUCUGGGGGUACCUCUGCCUCGUCGCGUUGCUCUCCGAGCGCGUCGACGAGGCUGAGCACGCGCUGAACGCGGCGUUUAAAGUCGGCAUCGACCACGCGCCGCUGCUCGCGGAGGUCGGGAGCCUGUUUUUGGAGCGAGGGCGGUGGAAGCACGCGGAGGGCGCGCUGCGGCGGAGCGUCAAGCACGGCGCGGGGGCUGACGUUCGCGUCGCGUUGGGCCGCGCGAUUCACGAGCGCGGCGACGCGGAGAGCGCGCGGUUCGAGCUCUGCGCCGCGGUGGACGCCGCGGGCGGGGAUAAGGAGGUGCUCGUGGGGGCGCUGAGCGCGCUCGUGGACGUGUACGGGGAUCUGGGCGACGCCGCGGCGGCGCAGUCGUGCGAGGACGAGCUCGCGAGGUUGUGAGCGAUGAUGGAUGAAAAAGUGCUCUCUGCCGAAACCAAAAACUAAUAAAGUGCGUGCUCUCCGCCGUUGAACUCUCCGACGCCGGCGCGGACCCGACGUGGACGCUCAAGCUCCACAGUUGUCUGGGUGCGAAGUGUUCCACCAAGACUGAAGGUCUCGUUCUUCGAAUUCCGGACAGUCUGGUUGCGCGACUAUCCACUUGAACGUCGUUUCCUUGCCAUGUUGAUGGGCGUACACGGGCGAGAGGAUAUCCCACUGGCAUCCCUUGGAGCGGAGGUACUUGAGGAUCUUCAGGUGACCGUGCUGCGAGGCUUGCGCGCAAGCCCCUCCGUUGCCGCCCACGGUCUCUAACGAUCCGCCGUUUUCGCAGUAGUACUUCACGCAGUCAAACUGUCCUCGCUCCGACGCGUAUUUUAACGUGCGAUAGUCCCACGGACAGCCGUUCUCGUGCAACCACUCGAGGCAGGCGAGCUGGCCGUUCUCCGCGGCUUAACAACACGUGAACUCGCUCCACGGGCACCCGCGCGAACGCGCGAACUGAAGCACGUCGAGGUGCCCGAAGAUGGCUGCUUUCGCGCACGUCUCCGUGUCGCACGUCCCCGUUCGCGGCGAACACCCGUGAUCGAGGAGCCAUUCGAGCGCUCGGCGAUGGCCCGCCGCGGCUGCGGCGGUGCACGCGUUCGAGAAGACGCGGCGUUCCCUCGAGGGUUGGCGGUGCACGGUUCUGGUGACUCCUCCGAUUUGGAUUGUUCUUGGGUCUUUCGUGGGUUCGGUCGGAACCACGUACGGCGGGCGCGGCGGGUUCGAGGUGGGGUCGCCUCGCUCCGCGAGUCUCGUCAGCGUCUCGAGAUCUCCCUCGAACGCCGCGCGCACGAGCGGGUCGUCUUCCAUGGGGGGACGAUAGGGUUCCGGCUCCAGCCAUAUCGCUCCCUCGCCUUCGGCCUGGGCCUCCUCCGCGUCGUAGUCGCUCAAGUCCAUUUUUUCAAGGCGCGCCGCGUGCUGUCGGAGGGCCUCGGAUUCCAUUCUCAUGUGAUGGUCACGCAUCGCAUCAGAUGGUAUCAAUGGGAUGUCCGGGAUGUCUCCUAAAAUUGUGGCAAGGCGCGGCAUGUCGUCGCGCGCGCGAGUGAGAGUCCGUCCUUCCGUCGUGGUCUCGUCAUCCGAGCGUUUUAGCUUCCGAGGAAAACCAAAAGACAAGACAAGUUGGAGUCGCGCCUCGCGCCAAGAUCGGUCGGUCGCACCUCGUACGAUUUGACUCGUCGAUUAGACCGUCGUUAAGUCGUGGAGGCGUCUGUGGCCCGUGAUCGCCCGAGCGCUUUACCGCUCGCCGUACAGCGCACCGCGGACGGACGGAACAUCGCAUCAUCCCUCGCGCGCGCUUCACGCAUUCGCCCGCGGGAGAUAUGGACGUCGCGGUCAUGUCGCGUCAGGUUCAAGACGCGUGGAAGUCAUGGGAUGCCGCGGUGGCGGGCGCGACGUUCAAAGCGCUGAAGGUGCGCGCGCCGUCGUCGUCGAUUGCCGCCGCGCCGUCGCCGUCGCCGCGUAUGCUUUUUUUCUCGCCCGCUCCUAUUAUCCGUCGCCGCCGCUGACGUCCGUCCGCGCCCUCUCCUCGCCCCGCCCCGGCCCCGCGCAGUUCAUCAACUGGGAGGUGCACCCGAUAAGCCCGGUCACGAAGCACUGGUUCGCGGUCGCGUCCCCGACGGUGCUCCUCACGAGCCUCGCGUUUUACUUCUUCGUCGUCGCGACCGGGUUCAAGGUUCUCAAAAACGUGAAGAAGGAUGCGAACGCGAAGGACGGGCUCGUCCUCCGCGGCGUGGUGAUCUUCCACAACGUCUUCCUCGUGACCCUGUCCCUGUACAUGUGCGGCGGGUGCAUAUUAGAGGCGUACAAGAACGGAUACAGAGUCUGGGGGAACGCGUACGACCCGAAGGAGACGGCUCUCGCGCACUACGUCUGGGUCUUUUACGUGUCGAAAAUAUACGAAUUUCUCGGUGCGCGCGAGACGAGACCGACGCCGACGCCGAGGCUCCCACCAUCCCCGACGCGUCUUCGCUCGCGCGAUCUCCUCUCCAUCUCGCCAUCUCUCUCAUCAAUCGCUGACCGCCCGCGCCCCCUCCCGUCUCUCCCCCCCUCCCGUCUCUCUCGCAGACACGUUCAUCAUGAUCGCGAAGAACAACCUGAAGCAAGUCAGCUUCCUUCACGUGUACCACCACGCGACCAUCUCGUUCGUGUGGUGGAUGAUCGCGCACCGCGCCCCCGGCGGGGACGCGUACUUCUCCGCGGCGCUCAACUCCUGGGUGCACGUGUGCAUGUACACGUACUACCUCAUGGCCGUCCUCGUGGGGAAGGACCAGCGGAAGCGGAAGAAGUACCUGUGGUGGGGUCGGUACCUGACGCAGAUGCAGAUGUUUCAGUUCGCGUUGAACCUCGCGCAGUCCGUGUACACGACGCUGUACUCGCCGUACCCGAAGUUCAUCUCGCAGAUCUUGUUCGUGUACAUGAUAUCCCUGCUCGGGCUGUUCGGGCACUUUUAUUACAGCAAGCACGUGUCGCCCAAGGCGAAGGCGACCGCGGCGGCGGCGACCGCGGACGGCGCCGCGAAAAAGGUGGAGUGAACUGGAGAGACGACGGAGAGACGGGGACGGGGUUCGGGUCGGGGGCGGGUCGGGAGGGGAAGGGAAGGGAAGAGACGCGGUCGCGCGCGUGGGGAGGACGCGGAGGACGACAGAGCGCGAACGAACGAACGAACGAACGAACGAACGCGCCGCGGCUCGGGGAUAGACGAUUUAAUACGACGGACGCGAGGGUUGAAAAGAAGACGAACUCGUAACGACCACUUGAAAUAACACACACACUUGUCUCGUCCAGCACAGAGCACAGACUAGCGCCGCGCGAUGGGCGUCUCCGACGCGGAGAACCUCGCGCGUCUGAGGGACGCGGUCAGGUUCUCCCUCGACGCCGCGGCCGCGCACGACCUGUCGUUCUACCACAGGAACGGCGAGGGCGGCGUGGCGCGGACGCGCGCGAACGUGCGCGCGGGAUGGGAGUUUCUCGCGACCGCCGCGGAUCUCGGGCACGCGGGCGCGAUACGCGAGCUCGCGACCGCGGCGGGCGAGCGGUACGUCCGCGCGCGCGCGGGCGGCGCGAAGACGCUGGAGGCGUUCUUGUCCGAGCUCGAGCGCGAGGACGCGCGACGAGGGAGGCCGUGGGUCGGCGACGGCGACGACGGCGACGACGCUCGCGCGCGACGACGCGCGCCCGCCGCGUCCGUCUCCGCCUCGAGACCGCUCUCCGGCCGCGCGCGCUGCUCGCACGAAGUCCGCGCGCUCGUGGACGCCGCGUCGCGCCCGCGCGGGCCCGACGCGGCCGCCGCGUGGACGCUCGCGUCGUGCCACCGCGACGGCGCGCGCGGGUUGGACGUCGACCCGUCGGAGGAGUGGCGUUGGCGCGACGUCGCCGCCGCCGCCGGCCACCCCGCCGCGCUCGACGCGAUGGAGACCCCGCUCGGGUGUCUCUUCCGCGCCGAGGGCCCGGACUCGCCGCUGUUCAUCCACGUCGCGACCGCGGGCGCGCUGGAGCGCGACGGCGUCACGACCUUCGAGGACGUCGGCGCGUGCUUCGAGCCCGGAUACGACGGCGUCGGCGACGGCGUCGUAGCCAAAUCGUUCGCCGCCGCCGUGUCGUGGUACCGCCGCGGCGCGGACUACAUGGACGCGCGGUCGCAGCUCGCGCUGGGGCUUCGGUGCGCGGCGGAGGGGGAAAAGGGAGGGGAGGGGUCGCGCGCGAUGCGCGCGGAGGCGCUGUUCUGGUUCGUCAAGGCCGCGGGGCGGAUCGAGUACACGCGUCCGACGAGCCGCGACGACGCGUUGACGCUCGGGAGACGGCUCGCGUGCCGCGAGGCGUCGGACGCGUCCGUCGACGCCGCGUACCGCGCGGGGGUGUGCUACGACCGAGGGCUCGGGACCACGGUGGACGUGACGAGAGCCGCGGAGAUGUACCGACGCGCGUGCGCGGGGCUGCACUACGACGCGAUGUGCGCGUUGGGCGUGCUGCUGUUGAUGAAGACGAGAGACGACGACGCGGAGUCGCACCGCGAGGCGACGCGAUGGCUCAGAGAAGUCGCGGACGCGACGGGGAACGACCAGGCCGAGGUGCACAUGGGGAUCGCGUACGCGACGGGGAAGGGCGUGGAGAAGGACGUGGAGCGGGCGAGGGCGUGGUACGCGCGCGCGGAGAGCGCGUACGACGACGCGGCGAUGGCGUUGAGAGAGGCUGGCGACAGAGCUUGGAAGGAGAGAGUUCGCGCCGCGCGCUUCGAAGGCGACGCGCCGACGUGAUAGCGUUCGCAUUCGCAUUAGAGUUCUUCAGCGCGGUUUAAUUCAUCUUCUCUCGUCCUCCCCUCGCGUCCUCCCCUCACGCGGCGCCGCCGACGCUGCCGACGGCGACGUCGACGACGGCGGCGUCGCGAGCGCGCAACUCGCCGCCGCCGCCCGUCGCCUCUCUCGCGAACGCCUUCGCCGCCGCCCUCAGCGACGCCGCGUGCGGUGGCGGCGCGCGGUGCCCGUCCCCAUCGACUCCGCCGCCGCCGACGACGAUCUCGUUCGCCGCCUGCGCGCACGCGCCGAUGAUCGCGCCGACCCGCCCCACGGCGUCCGCGUAGUCCGCGCUGCCGUCGCUCUCUUUUUGCGACUUGAUCGCCGUCUUCGGAUCCGACGACGCGUACUCGAACACGUCGAUCGCGCCCGAGGCGUCCGCGCGGCUCCCGAUCCCCGGACGCAUCACCCCCGGCGCUUGCCGCGCGAUCACCGUCUCGCGCAGGACGGAUCGCGCGAGUCGCAGCUUGCGCGUCGCGGAGCCCGGCAUUGCGGCUAAAAACGCGCGCUUCGACGCCGCGUCCUUCAGUCCUCUCGCCUUCAUGUAACACCGCUUGCACGCGUCGUCGAGCUGCGUUCGGAUCGCGACGAGCCGCCGGUCCGUCGUCCCGCCCGCCGUGGACGCCCCCGCGCGCUCGAGCGCGUCCAGGAGCUCGUCGACGUACGCCAGGAGGACGUGCGCGGCGGCGGCGACGUCUCUCGCGCCCGCGUCCUCGGCGCCGUUGGCGAGCGGCGCCGGCGGCGUCUCCCCGUCGCCGUCGCCGCCGCCGACGCCGCUCGCCGCGAGCUCGAGAAGUUCGACGAGGAACGCCGCGCGCUCGCCGUCCGUGGGGACGUGGUCCGCGAUGAACCGGUACAGGAGCGAGUCGCGGAGGAGGCCGGUCGCCCACGCGCCUGCGGCGACGCGCGCGGGCGUCGCGGGCGUCUCCGGGACGCCGUCGCUCGUCGGCUGGCUCGCGCCGUCCGCAGGCGGCGGCGUCUCCGUCUCCGCCGCGGCGUCCAGCGUCGUCGUUUCGGUGUUCUCAGAUGCCGACGAAACGCCCGACGUUCGAGCGUUAAACACCGCCAGCCGCGCGUUCGCGUCCGCCGCGAACACGUCCACGGCGUGCAGAAAAAACAGCGUCGCGCCGAGCGGCGGCGCGACGGCCCGCGCCGCGCGCUCCCUCUUCUUCGCGCGCUCGCGCGCGCGCGCCUGCGCCUGGCUCGGCGGCGCGUCCUCAUCUCCCUCGUCCUCCUCGUCCUCCGAUCCGUCGAUCGCGCCGCGCGCUGCUCCGGCGUGUCCCGCGCGUCCGCGUCGCCGCGCGGCGCCUCCUCCGUCGCCGCGGCGUUCGCUCUCCUCCGACGCGUCGCACAGCCGCCAGAGCGUCUCCGGCUUGCCCGCCGCCGCCGCCAUCAGCGCGGCGAACCGCCGCCAGUCCGCGGCGAUCCCUCGCUCGCUCCCCGCGCCGCCCGCGCCGGCGUGGCCCUUCUUCGGCGUCCUGUCGCUGUGGUGGUCCCUCGCGCGCGCUUCCGAGUCGAUCGGGGUCCACGUCAGCUCGCACGUCGCCACCGCGGGCGUCGUCCCCGGACCGUCCGCGUCCGUUCCUCCGCGCGGCGUCGAAUCGAUCGGAUUCGAGCGCGUCGUCAUCACGAUCUCCGCGGCCGGGUGCAGCGCGUGGACGCGCUUGAAGACGUCGAUCGUCGCGCGCGCGAGCUUGGCGUCCUCGGAUCGCGCGACGCGCGCGCGAAAUUCGAACGCCUCGAUCGAUUCGUCCUCCUCGGCGUCGUCCGCCUCCGCGCGCGCGCGCCUCCUCCGCGUGGGCGCGAGCCGCCGCCGCAUCAGCACGCGCGCGAGGCGCUCGUAGAAGUACUGCGGCGGGAUCUGAUCGCGCGCGUUCCGGAGGAGCGCGUCGAACGCGUUCACGAACUCGAACUCGCUGCGUCGCGCGUCGUCCUCGCCCUCGUCGCUCAGAUUCCGAGAUUUGAAUCCGCGCUCCGCGCCCUCCGUCUCCAGGAACUUCACCGUGAACGCGUCGUAGACGUGCGGGACGACGCGCACGGUCAGAGGCGCGUCCGCGUCCGCGCCGCCCGCGCGCGUCUUAAGCUUCUUCGGCGGCCGCGCGAAGGACUCGAAGAGCCCGAGCUGUCGGCCGCGAUCGCGCGGGCUGGACGCGCCGUUCGCUUUUUUCUUCUUCGCCGCGCCUCCCCCGCCCGCCGUCGCGCCACCCUUCGCGACGGGGGACGUCUUCGCCGCGGGCGCGCUCGCCGUCGCCGCGGGCGCCUUCUUCGAGCCUUUCGGGGGCAUCGCGAACGGACGCGCGCUUCCCCGCCGCCGCCCGCGUGCCUCGGCGAGUGCGGACCGCCUGCGUCACACGUUGAAAUGGAGCUCCGCCACUUGGCCGCUGGAUAUUUUAUUCGCGCGCAGAUCUCGGAGGCCUCGCCACUCCCUCGUACGCGCGCGACGAUGUUCGCCGUCACCGCCUCCGCGCGCGCCGCGCCCGCCGCCGCCCCCGUGACCCUCCGCGCCGCGUCGUCGUCGUCGUCGUCUUCUUCUUCUCCUUCGCGCGGCGUCGCGCGCGUCGCCCCGCGCGGUUCGAGCGUCCGAUCCCGCGCGUUCGGUUUCGGCAAAGAGUCUAAGAAGACGGAGGAGGCCGCCGCGGAGGACGAGGACGACGAGGACGACGCGGACGACGCGGACGGCGAGGGCUCCGGGAUCGACUUCAAAGGCCUGAAGCAGCUCAUCUCCAUGGGCCUCGGCACGAUCUCCGGGGACAUCACGGAGAUCAACUUCGACAAGGAGAACGCGUCGCGCGCGGUCGUCAUGGAGCUCGAGGCGAACAACUUCGAAGACGCGGAGGGGAACCCGCUCUGGAAGCCGGACGACGUCGGGUUCGUCGGCGACGCGGAGGAGAGGACGCCGAUCAUGAACUACGUCGUUCCGGUGGUGUUGGGCGUCGGCGCCAUCGGCGGCGUCGUCGCGACGCUGAACGCGUUGUAGAGCUCGCGUGCUUGUAAGAAGAGGAUAAACUCGCGUGCGUGUGCGGCCAUUCAGCGGAUCUCGCGCGCUCGACGUCACUUCUCGCCGCGCGCCCCGCGUCCACCCCCCCGUGCAUGGACGCGCUGCAACGCGGGAUAGAAUCGAUUCGCAGAGCGACGGACGACGCUAUACGCGCGAGCGCGAGGAGAGAGGCGGAGAAGGUCGUCGCGAGGAGUAGGCGCGAGGAGGCGACGGCGAGGGAGGAGGCGGAGGACGUUCGAAGAAGCGGAGGCGACGCCGAGGACGCGCGCGGGCGAGGGCGUCGCGCGCCGUACGACCCUCCGACGAUCCCGCCGAUCGAAGGCGAGCGCGAGCGCGAGCCGCCCGCGACGCCGCCGAUCGCCCCCGGCUCGGUCGCGAGCGCGCGGACGCCGCCGCCGUCCGCGCCCGCGCCCGCGCCCGCGCCCGCGUCCGCGUCCGCGAACCCUCGCGCGUCCGCGCCGACGACGACGGCGCCGGCGAUGGCGACGCCGUCGUCCUCGUCCGCGGGCGCCCCCGACGUCGACGUCGCCGUCGUCCUCGCGAGCGUGCAGUCCGAGCUCGACGCGGUGAGCCGACGCCAGGCGUCGCUCCAGGAGACGACGCGCGCGGCGGUCGCGGCCGCGAUGGCGUCCGCGCGAGACGAGAUCUUCGCGAGCGCGAUGGCCUCGCUCGAGGCGACGCUGGCCGCGAAAGCCGAGGAGCGGUGCGUCGCGGUCAUCGCGGAGCAGGUCGUUCCGCGCGUGGGGGAGUCGCUGCGGAAGCUCGACGCGCGGCUGACCGCCGCGGAGGCUGGCGUCGCGGCGCUCGCCGCGAACACGACGCCGACGCAGCCGCAGCCGCCGACGCAGCCGCCGCCGCCGCCGCCGCCGCCGAGCGCCGGGGUGGACGAGGCCGCGCUCGCGUCGCGCGUCCGCGAGCGCGUCGCCGCGGACGUCGCCGCGCUCGUCGGGAAAGUGGAGGCCGCGGAGGUGGAGGCGAUGGAGGCGAAGCGCGCGAGGAAGGCGCUCGAGGAGGAGGUGCGCGCUAUGCGAGUCGCGCUCGACGCCGCGAGCGCGACGGUCGUUCCUCCCCCUCCUCCUUCCGCGGCGCCGCCGGCGCCGUCCGCGGAGCUCGCGGAGCUGCGCGCGAAGGUGGACGUGAUGACGAUGCAGGUCUCGGAAGCGUCCGCGGCCGCGGCGGCCGCGGCGGAGUCGGCGACCAAAGCGUCGCGGGCGCCGGCGCCCGCGCCGGCGCCGGCGCCGGCCGGCGACGCCGCGGCGACGACGCUCAUGGAGCUCGUGGAGCUCAGAGAGCGCCUCAAGAGCGUCUCGAACGCGGUCGAAACGCACGAGAAGCUCGUAGACGGCGCGACGACCGCGGUGCGCGUGAUGGAGACGAGAGUCGCGGCGACGGAGACAGCCGUCGCCGCCGCCGCCGCGGACGCCGCCUCCGCGGUCGCCGUCGCCGAGGGCGCGGCGACGAACGCCGCGAAAAACGCGGUCGAGCACGCGCGGAUCCUCGCGAUGGACGAUCAGCACAUGAUCGAGCUCACCGCGCGAAGAGUCGCGGAGGUGGAGGUGGCGGAGCGGGCGACGAGGGACGAGAGCCGCGAGGCGGACGCGGCGAUUCGCGCCUCCUUGGACGCGUUGUCGGAAAAACUGUCGGAAAAACUCGACGCGCUCUCCGCGCUCUCCACGACGCCCGCGGCGGCGGCGGAGGAAGAGAAGAAGAUCGACGCGCUUGAAGAUACCGCGACGAUACCUUCGCACGACGAGAUCGCCGCGAAGAUCGACGCGCUGGAGAAGCGCGUCGUCGCCGCGGAGGACGCCGCGGCGGCGGCGGCGGCGGAAAAAGCGGCGGCGGAAAAAGCCGCGCCGCCCCCCCCCCAGACCGACGAAGGAACGCUCGUCGCGCGCACGGACGCGAUCGAGGCGGCCGCCGCGGCGCUCUCCGCGCGCGUCGCCGCGCUCGGCGAGCUCGUCGAGGACGACCACGCCGCGGCGUUCAAACGCCACGACGCGAAGCUCAAGUCCGUGGAGCAGACGCUCGUGAAGGAGGUGGCGCCGCGGUUCAAGACCCUCGACGCGAAGGCGCGAUCCGCGGAAAACGCCGCCUCUGCCGCCGCCGCGGAGGCGGGCCGCGCCGCGGACGCGGUCGCGGGGCUCCUCGAGCGCGACAUCGCGAGGGACCAGGAGGUUGCGGACGCGAAGAAGCGCGCGAGCGCGGACGAGGCGGACGCGAUGCGACGUGUCGACGAGAAGGUCGCGAGAGUGCGAGCCGGCGCGGAGGAGGCGACGCGAGAGUGCAAGCUGGCGCUCGAGAAGCUCGGCGCCGACGUCGCGUUUCUCGAGGCGAAGGACGCGUCCGGGGCGAAAGAGAUCGACCUCCUCGCGGAGGAGUGGUCGGCCGCGAGGGCCGGGCUGAAGCGACAGGAGGAGGCGCUGUGGGAGAGCGUGAUGAUGAUUCGACGCGAGGUGGAGGCGGCGUCGCCGAGUCCGAGUCCGUCGACGGGGCGGCGGGGACGGAACGGAAACGCGUUCAAGAAUUUGUUCCGCGGCGGCGGCGGCGGCGGCGGCGGCGGGACGAACGACGGGACGCCGAGCUCGACGAGGAGCGACGGGGGGAGAACCACCCCGGGGGGGUCCACGCCGGGCGGGACGCUUCCUCCGGCGCCGGCGCGAAGAGGUCGACGCGGAGAGAGCGAGACGCCCACGCCGGAGCGGUACGCGAACCCGUUCCUGGACGAGGAUUAAUAAGUUAAAAUCUUUUCGAAGAGUCGUCUUCGUCGCUCGUCGGUCAUCUCGUCAUCUCUCUUCGCUCCUCGUCGUCCUGUGCCCCCCCCGCGUCGUCGCUCUCCUCCGCGUCGACGACGACCUCCGCGUCCAUCGGCGACACCGCGACGACGGCGUCGGACGCGCUCGCCUCGGCCUCGGCCGCGCGCGCGCCCGCCGCGCCCAUCUCGAUCGCGAGGCUCGGUCGCGAAACCUUCGCCUUCGCCUUCGCCGCCGCGGCGUCUCUCUUCGCGUCCUCCUCCUUCGACGCGUCCUUCUCCUUCGCCGCGACGAUCGCGGCUUUCAACUUCGCGAGCUCCUCCUCCGUGUCCGCCGCGUCCGCAGCCUCCCUCGUCGCGGCGUCUUUCGCCACCGCCGCGGCUUUCGUCACCAGCGCGUCGGCGCGUCUGAGGACGACGUCGAGGUCGGCGCGUCUCGCGUCCCCGUCCGGGAGGUCGCGCUCGCGCUUCGACGCCUCCGCGAUCGCGACGAUCGUCUGACUCGCGGCGGACUUCAAGAACUCGAGUCGGUCGCGGUCCGUCGCGGGCGCGGGCGCCGCGGACGUCGAUUUCGAUUUCGACGGCGACUUUUCCGCCGCCGCCUCGUUCGCCGUCGCCCGUCCCGAUUCGUCGCCGGACAGCACCGCGUCCCUCAGCUCCUUCUCGAGCAGCGCGCGCUCCGUCCGCAUGCUCGAGAUCUCUCUGUCUUUCGCGUCGAGGAGCACGCGCAUCUUGUCGAGCUCGUCGUCGUCCGCGUCGUACGACCCCGACCCGGACCAGCCGCCGCCGCCGCCGACGACGACGACGCCGUGCGUUUUCCGCCGCCGGUCUGUUCCGCCGCCGUCGAACGACCCGCUCGGUCCGCUCGCGUACUGCCCGUCCUGUAUCGCGUACUGCGGCCCCAUCCGCUCGCCGUUCAUCCCUCCUGUGCCCCCGGCGGCGGGCGCGGCGGCGGGUUUCUCGCCGCCGCCGGUCGCGGCCGCGGCGUCGCGCUCCGCCGCGAUGAUGUCGUCCAGAGGUUGGUACCGAACCUUCAGACGCACGAGCUUCGCGCGCGACGCCGCCGCCUGGGACGCCGCCGCCGCGUCGCCGGUCGCCGCGGCGUCGUCUCCCGCUCUCUCGCCGGCGGUUCGAUCCCCGCCGCCGCCGCCUCCCGCCUCCCGAUACCCGCUCACGACCGCGCUGGGGAUCUGCCGCACGCCGCUCAGACCGUCCGCGCGAACCGUCUUAGGGUCGUUCCACACGAGCGAUGAUAUCGGGGUGGAGUUGAAAGGCGUCAGAAGCGGAGUUGAAAGGCGUCGAGGGCGGGGAAUGAAAGCGAGGGACCCUGGGCGGAGAGAGACGACGGGAAAGUCCUCAAGGAUCGGCGUUCACCACGCCAACGCGAUCGUAUGGGGACCAGUGUGAAGGAGAACGCGCCUUGUACCCCGCGACGACGCCGCUCGCCGACUUGGACACCACGCCCGUCACCGCGCCCGCGGCUCUUCCGAACCACCCGCCGCCUCGCUUCCCGCCCCCCUUCGCGCCGCCGACGGACUUGAUGUCCGCGCCGAUCGGAGGUUCGAGCUCCGCGGCGACGGGGACGGGGCCCCACUGCGCGAUCGCGACGUCCGCCUCUAAACCCUCCGCGCCGCCGCCGACGGAGGAGGAGGAGGAGGACACCGCCUGACGCAUGAGCUCGUCCAGAACCACGGACGCCUCGCCGUCGAGCCGCUCGGGGGUCACGACGACGCCCGUCUCCUCGUCCCUGACCUCGCGCGUGUACCACCGCACGCACAGCAGCUGCGCGCGCGGGUCCUCCACGGGCAGCGUGAUCUCCUUGCUGCUCAGGACGCCGCCGCCGGGGAGCGCCUUGACGCGCGUCUCCUCCUGGUUUUUCGCCACCAAAAGAUCCGCGACGGGCCAGCGGACUUGCAGCCCGACCUCGCCGGGCGAUAUCGCGCGGCCGUCGUGCGACACCACCUGGAUGUGCAGCAGGCCCGUGUGCGGCUUCUCGCGCUCGCUCUCGCUCGGGAGCGCGUAUCCGGUGCCCGGGAUGGCGACGGUGAUGCACCGCGGCCACACCAUCCACGACGCGAUGAGCGCCUUGAUGUCGGGGUGGAGUUGAAAGGCGUCAGUCGGAGUUGAAAGGCGUCGAGGGCGGGGAUUGAAAGCGAGGUGCGGGUGAAGAGUGACGCCGGGAAAAGUCCUUAAGGAUCGGCGUUCACCACGCCAGCGCGGUCGUAUGGGAACCAGUCUCACCUUGAUGUACGAUCGCAGAGGCACCUUGAGCCCGGGGACGAGCGUGACGUCGCCGCCGACGACGCGCAGGUCGAAGUCCAGCUGCGGCUCGUCCAUGAGCGCGAUCGUCAGCGCGCCGAAGCACGGGAACACGCCGAGGAGCGGCGCGAAGAUGAGACGCAGCGUGAACGUGCACUCGAACUCGGUCAGCGACACGGGCACGCUGUGUGAGGGGCGGAGUCGAAAGGCGUCAGACGCGGAGUCGAAAGGCGUCAGACGCGGAGUCGCGAGGCAGGCGUCGCGGCGGGCGGAGUCUUCUGAAAGCGAGGGACGAGCGAAGAGAAACGCGCGCGACGCCGCGCGCGAGCGAAGACCUCAAGGAUCGGCGUUCACAUCGCGAACGGGAUCGUAUGGGGACCAGUCUCACCUGAGCGCGUCUUGCGCGGCGCGGACGCCCAACACGACGUCCGGGUCCCCCGCCCAAAACACCUGAAGGUCGAUCUCCACGGACCCAUCCCCCGUGGUCUCGUAUACCUUCACGCCCUCGAUGCGCGCGGGGAUGUCCCCGAACGAGAACCGCUCGAACGACAGCGUGGUGAGGAACGACGGACGCGUCGCCUGCAAGAUCGGAUCCAACGCCGCGACGAUGACGUCGGACGUCGCCUGAUCCAGGUACGGCCACGCCGCGGCGAGGACCUUGUUCAGCCACCCGGCUCGUUCGACGUCGCGAAACGCGAGCCACGCCGGGAGCUCGCCCACGAGCUCCUGGAUCUCGGCCUCGUCGAGCAUGGACAGGUCCGCGAGCGCCUGGCGGUUGACGGAUCGAUUCUUUUUCGCGUCGAGGCGCGACUGCUGCCAGCCCAUGAAGAACCCGGCGGCCACCGCGCCGACGCCGAAGCCUAGGACGGCGGCGCCGAACUCGGAGAGCAGCGGCUUGACGAACGCCUGGACCGCGUCGGAGACGAUCGCGGCGUAGUCCACGGGGGACUCGGCGGCGGCGGCGUAGUCCACGGCUUCUCCCGACGACGACGACGACGAAUCGUCGAGCGUCGCGUCGGCGGUCGGCGCCUCCGCGACCGCGGCGCCGAUCCCGCUCGGCUCCGCCUCCGCGUUCGAUCGCAGGCGCUGCUGGUACGGCGUCGGCGGCGUCGGCGCCGUCGCGGGCUCGAGCGCGACCGCCGCGGGCGCGGACGUCGCGACGACGAGCGCCGCCGCGACGACGCCGACGCGCGCGGCGCUCGCGCGGGCGACGAAUCCAAUCCCCCCCGCGUCGUCGCGCGCCCGCCGCUCGGAGUGCGCGUCGUCGUCGCGGGAGGGGGACCGCGUCGCGUCGUCUCUCCGCGCGACGGCGACAACCGCGCGGUCGUCGUCGUCGUCGCCGCCGCCGCCGUCGCGUCGUCGCGUCGUCGCGUCCGCGCGCGCGAGCGAUCCUCUCGGACGCCGCGCGGACGACGCGCGCCGAGCGACGCCGUCGACGGCGGGAGGGAUCCGCCGCGGUCGUCGUCGUCCUCCUCCCUCGCCGCCGCGCCCUCGCGUCGUCGCGCGCGGCGGCGCCACCGCGGCCGCGGCCGCGGACGCGCGCAUCGCGCUCGCGGAGGAGGGGGACGCGCGCCCGUCCGCCCGCGGAGGGGCGUACUGGCGGGGGCGAGCGCGGAACGAACGCCGAGAUGGAAAAAAGCGCACCGAGAAAAGCUGCGAAAAAGCCAGCAGGAAAAAGCAAACAAAGCAAACGACCCUCGGGAGGCCCACGGAACGUUCCCACAGGCCAACCACGCGCCGUACGACGUUUAAUAAGAGAAUUUCCGCGAGAUAUUAUUUUGCGGCGCGUGGCGUGGCACGCUUUCAUCGUCAGCCAGUGAGCGCGCGACACGGCUGAACCGUGAAAUUUCGGUUUGAAGUUUGAAACGCGGCUCCGCGAGCGCUUCAGCGGCGGUGACGCGCUGCGAAGCGUGCACACAACGCGCGGCGCCGCAAGGAAAGGGACGCGCCACGGACGCGCGCGCGGUCGUCUGUUCGUAAUCCGCGCGAGCGAAAGGUACGCGCGCUCGCGUUCCCGUCCGUUUCCCCGCUCGAGCGCGCGCGCGUCGCGCCCCGCGCGCGCGCCGCGCGCGUUCGCGCGCGCCAGAUCACCCGCCCCGCCCUGGUCCUCGCCGGGGAGGGAAAAAAAAAGCGUUGUUUGAAAUCUUCCCGCGCGCGACGACCGACGCGCGCGCGCGUCGUCCCCCGCCGUUCGCGCGCUCACGCAUCCUCGCACCCCACCGCUGACAUCCACAGAACGUGCCGGCGUCGGAACGCGGAGGCGCCAUGGGGAAGAAAGUCAGGGAGCCGCCGGUGUUUUACCCCACCAUGGCGGACAUGAGAGGAAGCUUCGAGGCGUACGUGGAGAGCAUCGAGGAGGACCUCGAGGAGUUCGGGAUCGGGCGGAUCGUCCCGCCCGCGGGGUGGAAGCCGCGGCAGGGGAGCUACGACGACGUCGACUUCACGGUGCCGCAUCCGAUAACGCAGGUGCGCGAUGGAGCGCAUGGAUGCGCGUCGCCUCGAGGGCCACUCGCUCGCGCGUUUGGUUUGAAAAAAAACACGCGUCGCUUUUUCGCGCCAGAUCUCGCGCUGACCCCUCCCUCGUUUCUCCCGUCGCAGCACGCCACGGGGCGGAAAGGGCUGUUCCGGACGCUGCUCGUGGAGCAGAAGCCGCUGUCGAUCAAGAAAGACUUCAAACCGAAGGCGAUGAUGAAGGAAAACAUGCCCUCGGAGGCGGCGAUGCAAGACACCUCGGUGCGCGACCGCAAACGAAGUUUGUUUCCGCGCAACGUUUCCCUCUCUCUCUCCGUCUCGCGCUCUCUCUCGUCGGCCCUCCUCGUCGUCCGCGUCGUCUGACCGACCGCCCCACCCACGUCCCCGCCACCCCGAUCGCCGCCGAAACCGAAACCUCCAGACCCUCGAGCGCGAGUUCUGGAAGAAGGUGACGUACUCCCCGCCGAUGUACUGCGCGGACGUCCCCGGGACGCUGUUCGACUCGAGCAACUGGGGGUGGGACGUCUCGAGGCUCGACUCGCUCCUGUCGCGCACGCUCAAGAAGAAGGGCAUCACGCUCGCGGGCGUGAACUCGUCGUACUUGUACUUUGGGAUGUGGCGCUCGCUGUUCGCGUGGCACACCGAAGAUUUGGACCUGUACAGCGUCAACUACCUGCACUACGGCGCGCCGAAGUUUUGGUACGCCGUCGCCCCCGAGGACCGCGAGCGGUUUGAAAUCUUAGCGCAGGGCAUGGUCCCGGAGAUGUGGCGCCACUGCCCGGAAUUUCUCCGACACAAGGAGCUCCUCAUCUCCCCCACGCUGCUCGAGCAGAACGGCAUCCCGUUCACGAAGAUGAUGCAGCACCCCGGCGAGUUCGUCGUGACGUACCCGGGGAGCUAUCACAGCGGGUUCAACGUCGGGUUCAACUGCGCGGAGAGCUGCAACUUCGCGACGGAGGAGUGGGUGGAGAUUGGCGAAGAAGCGGGGAUCUGCGAGUGCAGGGACGACAGCGUCAGGCUGGACAUGAGCAUCUUCGACGAUAACGUCUGCGCGCGCGUGGACGAGGACGAUUACACCGCGGUGAAGAGAGGGCGGUGCGGCGCGCCGCGGCGAGAGCCGACGCGCGGCGGCGCCGCGGCGGCGGCGGCGGCGAGAGGCGGCAAGACCGCGACCGACCGCGAUCGCGACGAGCGCGUCAAGCCGACGCCGUUGAAACUCCCGAGCGGUCGGAAGGCGAUCGGCGCGGACGUCCUCGUCCCGGAGGGGUGGAAGCGCACGGUCGUGAAGAGGCCCGCGGGGACGUUGAAGAAGAACACCCCGGACGCGGACCGCGACACGUUUUACAGAUCCCCCGACGGAAAGACGCUGAAGUCGAAGCACGAGGUGACGAAAUACUUGGGGUCGAACCCCUCCGCGAGCCACGGCGUCACCGUGAAGGACUUCUUCUUCGAGACGACGCCGAGCGACGCGCCGCCGGCGCGGUUGCUCGCGCCGGCGACGCCGUCGCCCGCGAGCUCGGGGGAAAAGAAGACGUUCGGCGGCGGCGGCCGAUCGACGAGCGGCGGCGCCAAACGCAAACCCUCGACGACGACGACGAGCGCGCAGUCGAAGCGGCGCGUCGCGCCGAAGAGCAAGGCGACGAAGCUCAACGCGUCGAAGUCCUCCGGCGGCGUGGGGAAGAAGUCGUCGUCGACCGCGACGCCGAAGACGAAGAGCAAGCGCGAGUCGUUGAGCGGAUUUUUAUCCCCGCUGAAGCUGUUCGCGUCGUCGUCCGGCGCGGCGAAGCAGCGAAACGAAAAAACGGGAAAGGUGCCGAUGUCUCGCACCGAGCGCGCGGCCGCCGUGGACGUCGCCCCGGAGACGUUCAAGAAGUACAAGCAGGCUGGGCUGCUCGAGAACGCCAUCACGGACGUGCUGCGGCGGGCGGGCGCCGUCGGCAAAGCCGUGCGAGGAUCGUCGCUUGUGAUGCAAGUGGAGCAAGCCUUGGGCGUGGGGAGCGGGACGCUGCGGUCGCACGGGAACCAGAUCCAGACGAUGUCUCGGACGUUGAGUCGCCGCGUGAAGUGACGCGAUUGACGCGUGAAGUGACGCGUGAAGCGACGCGAAGCGACGCGAAGCGGGUUUUGUAUUUUCGGCGAAAUCCGCGGUUGUCUUUUUCAGGCGGGGGCGGCGUCGCGACCGAGUCUCGCCGCGUCCGCCGCGGCUCGCUACGCCGCGAGCCGCUCGCACGCGUCGUCGCGCGCAUCGCACCGCGCGCGCGGCGACACUAGGUAGAUGCAUUCUUUUGGGUUUUGUGUAAUAAGAGCUGCGACGGAUGCGUCUUCUAUUUCCGCCUCUCGUCUCUUCUGUCGAACACUCUGGGCGCGGCUGCUCGUCCGCGCGACACUCAUCAAGACGGUAAGAUGCGCGGCGCCGCCGCUCACACCAGACGGACGCGCUGGCACGCACGUCCUCUCGCGCGAUGUCGUCGGCCGCCUCGCUCGUCGCGCGCGCGCCGUGCGCGUCCGCGCGCGCGGACGCGCGUCGCGCGCCCGCGGCCCCGCGCGCCGUCGCCGCCGCGUGUUCGCCGCGCAGCGCGUCCGCGACCCUCGGAACGUCCACGUCGUCGUCGUCGUCCUCCUCCUCCUCCUUCUCCGUCGCUCGCGUUCUCCGCGGCGGCGCGCGCGCGCGUCGCGGGUCUAUCCUCCGCGCCGCCGUCGAUGCGGACGCCGCGGAAGCGCUCGUCGCGACGACGGAGGAGGCGGAGGCGGAGGCGGAGGCGGAGGACGGCGAGGCGGCGGCGACGUCGUCGGACGACGUUCCACCAGAUAAGAUGAAGACGGUGCCGUCGUCGGCCGUCGAGCGCGACCUCGCGACGGAGGUGAACUCGCGACGGACGUUCGCGAUCAUCUCCCACCCGGACGCGGGGAAGACGACGCUCACGGAGAAGCUCCUGUACUACGGCGGCGCGAUCCAAGAGGCUGGCGCGGUGCGCGCGCGACGCGGCGCGAAGGCGGCGACGUCGGAUUGGAUGGAGAUGGAAAAGCAGAGAGGCGCGUUCUGUUCCUCGCGCCGGUCCCCGUACGACCGCGUUCGCGUCGUGAACUUCAUUCCUUGAGGACUUUCUCUCCCAGCGUUCGUUUCUCUCCGCGCGCCCCUCGGUUUGAAUCCCGACGCACCGCGACGCCUUUCAACUCCGCUUCUGACGUCUUUCGACUCCACCCCGACGUCGCUUCGAUGGAUGGACCCUCGACCCUCAGGAAUCUCGAUAUCGUCCACCGCGCUGUCGUUCGAGUACGACGGCUUCACGCUGAACCUUCUCGACACCCCCGGGCACGCGGACUUCAGCGAGGACACGUACCGAACCGUCAGCGCCGCGGACAACGCGGUCAUGCUCGUCGACGCCGCGAAAGGUUUGGAGCCGCAGACGCGCAAGCUGUUCGAGGUGUGCCGCCUCAACGGCUUGCCCAUCUUCACCUUCUGCAACAAGCUCGACCGCCCGUCGCUCGAGCCGCUCGAGCUCCUGGACCAGAUCGAGCGCGAGUUCGACCUGCCCACGUACGCGGUGAACUGGCCGAUCGGCAGCGGGGACGCGUUCAAGGGCGUGUAUCAUCGACCGACGCGGGAGGUGCAUCUCUUCGACGCGGCGGUGACGAAGGAGUCGCGCGCGAAGAAGGGAGAGGAUAAGUCCACGAAGGGCCUCUCCGUGCUCCCCGUCGGCGACGCGACGCUGACGGAGAGGAUAGGCGAGGAGUUGCACGCGCAGCUGAUGGAGGACAUCGAGCUCCUGGACGAGCUCGGGAGCGACUUGGACCUCGACGCCGUGCACGCGGGGUCGCUCACGCCCGUAUUUUUCGGAUCGGGGAUGAACAAUUUCGGCGUGCAGCUCUUCCUCGACACGUUCUUAGGGUACUCGGUCCGACCGCGCGGGAGAGAGACGAGCGACGGCGUGAUCGGCCCGACCGACGACGCGUUCACCGGGUUCGUGUUCAAGCUCCAGGCGAACAUGGACCCGCGGCACAGGGACAAGGUGGCGUUCGUUCGCGUCGUCAGCGGUAAGUUUGAACGCGGCAUGAAGGUGACCAACGCGCGGACGAAGAAAGCCGUCGCGCUGUCGCGGCCGUCGCAGCUGUUCGGGCAGGAUAAGACCGUGCUCGAGUGCGGGUACGCCGGCGACGUCAUCGGUUUAAACAACCCCGGGAGUUUCGCGAUCGGCGACACGCUGUACACGGGAAAGCGACGGGUGCUGCCGCCCAUUCCGACGUUUUCCCCCGAGCUCUUCGCGUACUUGCGAAACGCGGACACGGGAAAGUACAAGCAGUUUCAGAAGGGCGUCGCGGAGCUCUUGGGCGAGGGCGCGGUGCAGGUGAUGUACUCUCGAGACUCGCUGAAGCAGGACCCCAUACUCGCGGCGGUCGGUCAGCUGCAGUUUGAGGUGGUGCAGGCGCGCAUGGCGCAGGAGUACGGCGUCGAGACGACGCUGGACAUGCUACCGUUCAACGUCGCGCGGUGGGUGGAGGGCGGGUGGGACGCCGUGGACGCCGCGGGGAGGAUAUUCAACGCGCAGUGCGUGAAGGACGUGUGGGGCGCGCCCGUGCUUCUGUUUAAGAACGCGUGGAACGUGGACCAGCUCGUCGCCGACACGCCGGAGAUCGGGACGCUGUCGCCGUUUUCGAAACCUCCGGCGGCGGAUUAAGACGACCCACGUCGUAGUCUAUUUGCUCAUCAUGCGGUUGGAAGAAUAUAAAAGUUGAUACAUUACAUGACUAGUCAUCACGACUGCUCGAGGAGGCGCGCGAGCGCUCGUCAAGUCAUAUUUUAGUCAACUCUGCUGAAUAAAAAACCGAGGGUUCCCAAACCGUCGUUUCGUGCGGAUCGUCGAUCGACGCGUCCGCGACGCGGCGCUUAGCGCAUGAUGACCGCGCCCGGCUGCGACAUCAUCACGCCGCCCAUCAUGCCCUGCUGCGGAGGUUCCAGGCGCUUCUUCAGGUCGAGGUACUCCUGCCCGACCGCGCAGGAGUAGCAGCACAGGUGCGUGCAGCAGUCGCCGCAGCAGCCGCCCGCGAUGUUGUACUUCGCGCGGUGAUUCCCGCGGCCGCUCAUGCCGCAGAUCGCGUAGAGCGGCCGCGCGUAGCACCCGAUCGCGUAGCAGAUGCACUCGCCGUUGCAGCCUUCCAUCGGGCCGAUGAAGCGCGCGUCGCGGCGCAUGUUCGCGUUCGAGCCGUGGACGCAGCACGGGAGGAAGCACGACGCCAUGCACAGGCCGCAGUCGGACUGGCACUCGCACAGCGACGCCUUCCAGAAGCCCAGCCCGGCGUUCUGCAUCAUCACCAUCGCGGGCUGCUGCAUCACCGGCUGCGCCAUCACCGGCUGCGGUUGCGCGUAGCCGUACGUCGGCGCCGGCGCUUGCCCGGGAGGGGGGGGGUAGUACGGCUUCGCCAUCGUCGCGCGCGGGCCGACGAAGAGGCCGCGGGGGUGCGAAUUGUGAAUUCUGGCGACGCGUCACGUCGGCGGUCGCGGUCGGAAAUUAAUAUCCUGCCUCCGCGGCCUCUCGUUUGGCUUCGGUCAUUCGUAUGGCGCACAGUCAGAAAGUACUUUUCGGCGGUACGAGUACGCGUCGCAUCCGCUCCCAACUCAUCAGCUCGCGGCGAGUCGCGACUCGCGAGACAGACCGACCCGCGACGACGCGCGGUCGCGCGCGCGGCGACACCGACACUUCCGCGCGUCGCCGCGCACCACCCCAACGCGCGAUUGAGCGACCGCCGCGGGACGAUGCCCGCCGCGCGAGCGCCGAGCGCGACGCGGUAGCGACGGACCGACGUCGCGUGAGGAGGAGAAGGAACACGUCAUCCAUCGCGCGCGCGCCGUGCCGACCCGACCUCUCCUCCGCGUCGUCCUCGCCGCCGCCGCGCGACUGACUCGACUCGACGAUGGAUCCGCACGCGGUCCUCGGCGUCGCCAGAGGCGCGUCGGACGAGGAGAUCAAGGCGGCGUACCGCGCCGCGGCGAUGCGAUGGCACCCCGAUCGCAACGCGUCGAUGGACGCCGCCGCCGCGAGCGUCGCGGAGGAGCGGUUCAAGCGCGUCAGCGACGCGUACGAACGGUUGAGCGGCGGUAACGGUCACGGCGCGGGGGUCGGCGGCGCGUCGUCGAGAUACCAGAACCACGGUCGCGGACAGACCGGGCGGCGCGAGAGCGGGCGCUACUACGGCGGCGCGGACGACCCGUUUGGUUUUCGCGCGAGAGAGCACGUCACGGGGGACACGCGGCGACGCGUCGAUCGCAAUCUUCGCGUCCUGUACGUCUCGCUCGCGUUUGUAGGGAUGGCGAUAUACCUCGCGCCGACCGCGCCGAGCCCGGCGGAGAUGUCCAGAGCGCGGCGGCGAAGGGAGGCGUCCACGCGCAAGAGAGAGGCGUCGCGGUUUUCGUCGUCGUCGUCGUCGUCGUCGACGUCGUCGUCGACCGUCGUGGACAAGGCGACGAACCGGCUCGCGCUCGGGUCGCCGCUCUUCGCCGCGGGGGCAUCGUCUUAUCGCGACCGGUACCUGGGCGAGAGCGAACUCCGCGCGUCGUUGCGCGGCGGCGGCGAGGAGGGGCCGGAGUGGGCGAGCGGCGGGUACGCCGGGCGCGGGAUACGCCGCAGGGUGCUGCCGUAUCACGCGCGCGGUCGCGGGCGAAUGCGAUCGCGCCACGUGGAAGAUGUGCGCGCCGACGCGCGCGCCGCCGACGCGAACGACGACGACGACGGCGAGGCGCACGACGAGAUCUCGAUGCGGUGCGCGAGGUGCGGGCACGAGCUCCCGCUCGUUCGGAGGUGCCCCGUGUGCGGCGCGCCGACGACGCGUCCGGACAGCGUCGUCGUCGCGACCAGGGCGCCGACGGGGGUGCCGACGGGGGUGCCGGCGAGGGUGCCGAUCGCGGACGCGCAGGACACGGGGUCGAACGUCGGGAGGGGGCGCGAGCGCACGAGAGCCGCGGCGGCGGCGGCGGCGGCGGCGGCGGCGGCGGCGGCGGCGACGGCGGAACCUCCGAAACCCGCGGAACCGGACUGACGAGGAAAAAACGAAGAGGACGGACGUCGUACGACUCCACCGGACCACGAAAACGAUUAGCGAACGUAGCGGCGGCUUCUCAAGCGUAGCGGACGAUAGGCACACACUUCUUCGCGCGCGCGUCCACGGCGCGCGUCUCGUCGUCGCCGUCGUCCCCGCGCGGACUUCCCCGGCGUCGUCUCCCGCGAACCCGCACGCGAGAUCGAUAGACUAAUCAGAUCGGUAAAGCGCAAAAGUCGUUAGGGAUCCAUCCGCGUCACGGCGAAAAACAUCAGACGGAUCGAUCCGAUGGACGUCGACGACGCGGCGAUGAACGCGGAGGCGCGGCGUCUCGAGGACGAGAAGGCGCGCGCCGACGCCGCCGCCGCCGCGGACGCGGAGGCUGAGUUCCGAGCGCUCCAGAGACGGCGCGAGGCGGAGAUCGAGGCCGCGCACGCCGAGCGCGAGAAGCGCGCGCGCGAGCUCGAGGAGACGAGGAGGAAAAAGCUCAAGCCGGGGAAUCGCGACGCGUGCUCGCUGCCGUACGUCGACGGGACGGACCCGCUGUACCGCGCGGCGAGCAACGGCGAUAUCGCCGCGGUGAAGCGCGUGCUGAAGGCGAUGAAAACAAAGCGCGAGCGAUGGGUCGCGGCCAACUCGCGGAACGAGGACGCGGACGAUCAGUCCGCGCUGCACGUCGCCGCGAGCCGAGGUGCGUUCUCCUUACACUGGUCCCCGUACGACCGCGUCGGCGCGGUGAACGCCGUUCCUUAAGGACUUUUCCCGGUGUUUCUCUCCGCCCAGGGUCCCUCGCUCACAAUCCCCGCCUUCGACGCCUUUCAAUUCCCAAGUCUGACGCCUUUGAACUCCACCCCGACGAUCGCUCGUAUGCAACGACCCCGAGGCUACCUGCUGAUGACGCGAGAGCUCCUGGACGCGGGCGCGGAGCUGCUGCCGGACGAGAAGGGACGCACGCCGCUGCACCUCGCGGCGGCGAACGACGACGAGCCGCUCGUGAAGCUCCUCCUGAAGCGCGCGAAGAGGAAGUGGGACGCGAAGACGGCGUUCACGACGGGCGGAUAUUCUCGCCCCGCGGCGCCCGUGCACCUGUGCAAAAAGCCAAACCUUCGAAAGCUGCUCGAGUUUCGAGGGUGCGGCGACGACGACGGCGGCCAGACGCGGAUCAAGGUCGAGGGCGACGGGCGCGGGGUGGAGAUCACGACGUCGAUGAAGAUCGCCGCGGGCGUCGCCGCGUUCGUCGUCGCGCUGUACGUCAGGGCGCGGCGGCAGAUCGAGGAAGGCUAUGCGCGGCCGACGAAGUACGUGCGGUGAGUAGGAGAAGAGAGAGCGCUGUAAACAUCGUCGCGCGUCGAUCGUCGAUGUCGACACGAACACUUCGACGUGGUGUACUCCGCCGCGACACCGCGCCACCUCGCUCGCCUCGACUCGACUCGACCCGCGCUUCGGUUCAGUUGUGCCGCUUCAUCGACGAUAGAUUACUCAGGAGCGUCACGACGCCGUGGCACGUCGCGUCCACGCCCUUCUCCAACCGCGCCCUCAUCCCCGUCGGCCGCAGGUGCGGCGCGUCCAGCGCGUCCAUCACCGCGGCGACCCUGAAUCCGGUCUCCUCGUCGUCCGUCUCCUCCGCCGUGAUGGCCGCGCGCGCGGCGUCGCACGCGCGCCAGCGCGCGGCGCCCGCGACCGCCUCGCAUCGAACGCACGUCUCGUAGUCGGAGAGCAGCGCGCGCAGCGCGGCGCCCUCGACGGCGUCGUCCGCGCGCACGUGCGGUCUCGCCGCCGCGGACAGGCGCCACGCGGCGUCUUCGCGCGCGACGUCGUCGAUCGUGCGCGGCGGCGGCGAGGGCGAGGGCAUCGCGCCGGGGGACGUCGUCGUCGCGUCGGCGCCCGUCGCGUCGACUCGCGGCGGAUCGGGCUGAUCCGCGGGCUGGGACGAGGACGACGACGGCGACGAGACGUACGACUCCGUCGACGCCGCGUCGCUCAUGAACCGCGGGAGGAAGGACGACGCGCGCUCGCGUCCGCGGCGGGGAGGUGGGCGGCGUCCCCGCGACUGACGACGCGGAGGAGACGACGCGCCAGUGAUAAGUAAACCAGACGGUUCGACGGUGCGGUGAACAGUAAACAGAAGUGUCGGCUGCUACAGUACGGUCGCGCGUCGCCCGUCAACCCUCCAGCAACUCCGCCCCCGACGACCGCAGCGCGUCGUGUCCCUCGAACCACACCCCGCUCGGGUCGUCGAGCAGAGCGUCGAACCCGAGCUCGCGCCACGCGAGGUCGAAGCCGCCGACGUCGCCGCCGCCGCCGCCGCCGUCCGCGGGACUCCUCCACUCGGCGCCUUCGGUCGGCUUAGGGUCGAGGGUCCGUGCCAGCGAACGUCGGGGUGGAGUUCAAAGGCGUCAGAAGCGGAGUUGAAAGGCGUCGAGGUGUGUCGGGAUUGAACGCGAGGGGUGGGCGGAGAGAUGCGACCGCCGGGAGAGAAAGCCCUUAAGGAUCGGCGUUCACCGCGCCGACGCGGUCGUACGGGGACCAGCGUGAGGAAAUCGCACCUUACAUGUCACGGCGACGACCUCGCCGUUCAACGCGAACCGCAGCGCCGCGGCGUGGAGGUACGCGCGAUCCUCGCUCGCGGCGGCGUCUUUCCCCGCGUACGCGGCGUCGCCUGCGGGCGGAGAGGAAGCGCGGGGACGGGAGGUGAGCGGCGCGGCGCGGCGAGCUCUCCGGCGCGCCGCCGAGAGAACUACUGUAACUCUCCGACCGGACGCGAAAACCAACUUUAUAGACGAAAACCAGAAUGAAGAGUCCGCGUCGCACCCAACACGGGCGACCCCAACGACUUCGCCGCGACGCGGAGCUGGUGCGUCUUCCCCGUGAGCGGCCGGAACACGAUCAGCCGCAGCGGGCGCUUGGAUUCGCCGUGACCGACGAUGCCGCGGCCGACGAACUGAGGGUCAUUCCAUACGAGCGAUUGUCGUGGUGGAGUUCAUAGGCGUCAGGUGGAGUUGAAAGGCGCCGAGGACGGGGAUUGAAAGCGAGGUGUGGGCGGAGAGAAACGCCGGGAAAAGUCCUUAAGGAUCGGCGUUCACCACGCCAACGCGGUCGUAUGGGAACCAGUGUAUAGAACGCACCCGAGUCUCCGCCGCCGCCGCCGCGCCGCCGCCGCCGCGGCGCUCGUCCCUGGUGAGCUUCCACGUCCCCCGCCGCGACCUCGCCAUGACCCCGCGCACGGUACCCAUCUUCUUCGACGGUCGCCGCGCGCUCAGCGCGACGUAGUACUUGUGCACCCUCCUGCUCGCGAACGCGGCGCCGAGCGCGGCGGCGACGUCCGGACGCUUAGGGCCGUUCCAUACAAAAAAAGUUCAUCGGUCAGUUGAAAGGGACCCACGCGAUCAAAUGUUGAAACGGAGCGAUGGGUGAAACACGUUUGUAUAGAACUAACGCACCUUCGCGAAGAGAAGCGCGCCGCUCGUGACCUUGUCCAGUCGAUGGACGCUGUGCAGCGGCCCGUCGUAGUCGCUCCCGCGCAGCGUCCCGGACGCUUGGAGCUGACGUAUCCUCGCGAGGACCCCCGGGCGGCGCGUCGCGAGGUCGUCGCCGUGGAACGACGCGCCCGCGGGCUUGUGCACGCAGAGCACAUCAUCGUUCUCGAAGACGACGAACGGAUCGGCGACGACGACGGCGUCGGCGUCGGCGUCGUCGACGACGCUCGGCGACGUCGGGGGCGACGCGCGCGCGCGGAUGUGAUCGCGGCGAUGACGCGCGCGGCGCGACGGCGCGGCGAGAGGCGAGGCGCGCGCCGCGGCCGCGAGAGCGGCCAUGCGCGGACUGCGACGACGAUGUUACCGAGAGCGCUGACGAGAGCUUUCGCUUUCGUUCGGGAAAAGUCGUCGAUGUCGCGUACGUGUACGAGACCACAAACUGAUGAAUGUUACCAACUGCUCAUACGAGCGGAGUACGGCCGUGUCCGAACGAGAAUCCACGUGUGCGGGCGUUCAUCGAAUGGAUAGACCGCCGAGCUCUCGCCAAAGGUCGCGCGCGCGCUCCCGCGACCCCGUCUCGAAACUCGCGGUCUCGACCACACGCCGCGCCGAACGGACCGCGCGCGCGAUGAUGCGCGCGGCGGCGUGGACGACGGCGCCGACGCCGACGCCCGCGGCGGGCGUCCGUCCGUUCGCGCGCGCGCGAAAAACAACGACGAGAGCGCUGCCGCUCAUCCAAGCCGCGCACCGUCAGCAUCAUCGUCGUCGUCGUCCUCCUCCUCCUCUCUCGGACGAGCCGCGCGCGCGUCGGCGACGCGCGUCCGCGACGACGCGCGCCGUGACGACGCGCGAGGACGAAGCCGCGACGGCGACGGCCGACGACGACGACGGCGGCGACGCCGCGGACGCGGCGUCCUCCUCGCCCGUCGAGCGCGAUGAAAACGACAUCGAGUGCAUCGCGUGGGGCGCGGGCGCCUACGACCCCGGCCUCGACGAGAGCCUCCUCUCGGAAUCGCGCUGCGACCUCACUACCGCGGUCAAGUUCCGACGCGACGCGGAGUGGCGCGAGUACCAGAGCCCUUCGCGGUACUUCCAGCAGCUGACGACCAUCAACGGCAGCGUCGUCGCGCGUCGCGUCGCGGCGCCGGCGAUCGCCGUCGCGGCGUGGGCCGCCGCGGUCGCGUUCGCGGUCAAAUCCGGGCUCGCGUGGACCGCGGGGAUGACAGCGGCGGCGGCGACCGCGACGCCGUUCUUGUCCGUCGUCGGCGGCGCGGUGUCGCUGCUCAUCGGGUUUCGAACGAACGCGGCGUACGGACGGUUCUGCGACGCCGCGGACUCCUUCGCCGACGUUCUCGGGAGCGUUCGGAAUCUGUCGCGGAAGCUCGCGGUGUGGUGCCCGGAGGCGGACCGCGCGCGCAUGGCCGCGCUCGUCGCCGCGCUGCCUUGGGCGGUGAAAGCGCGAGGGCAGGGCGUGGAGGGGUCCGCGGACGCGACGAUGCGGUUGCGGAGGAUUCUCACGCCGACGGGGCAGUUUGAAUCGAUCGAACCGACGGGCAACGUCCCCGCGCAGGCGCGUUCUCCUUACACUGGUUCCCAUACGACCGCGUCGGCGUGGUGAACGCCGUUUCUUAAGGACUUUUGCCGUCGUCUCUCUCCGCCCACCCCCACCUUUCAAUCCCCGUCCCCGACGCCUUUCAACGCCAACUGACGCCUUUCAACCGCGCAGCUCAUGACGGCCAUCACGCGCGGCCUCGACGCAAUGAACGAACGCAAGGUGGAGCUCAUAUAUCAGCUUCUGAUGGACAACGACCUCACGGCGCUGCACGCGCAGGUGGCGAAGACGGACCGGCUCGCGUCGACGCCGACGCCGGUGUCGUACACGCGGCACAUCUCGCGGAGUCUCAUGCUGUGGCUCCUCGCGUUGCCCGCGUCCGUCGCGACGGUCGCGACGCCGACGCCGACGCUCGUCGCCGCGUUGACCGCGUUCGUCGCGUGGGUGCGUUCUAUCUUACACUGGUUCCCAUACGACCGCGUCGGCGUGGUGAACGCCGAUCCUUAAGGACUUUAUCUCCCGGCGAUUCUCUCCGCCCACACCUCGCUUUCAAUCCCCGACCGCGAUACCUUUCAACUCCGCUUCUGACGCCUUUGAACCUCAGUUGCUGCUCGGUAUCGACGACAUAGGGAUGCAGUUGGAGCAGCCGUACACGGUGAUGGCGUUGGCGCAGUUUUGCGACGAGGUGGAGCGAGAGGUGACGGAGGAGAUCAACGGGAGCGACUGGACGCCGCGCGUGGAGACGCCUCGGGACGAGAUGCUCGUGAGCGAGUAUCUGAACCCGGCGUGGCAGGACGAGGAGAAUAGGAAAGCGCUUCGCGCGAUCGAGAAGUCGGCGGCGUGAAGUCGACCGACCGCGGGGAUAUGGGCGGAGAGACGCGCCGGGAAGUAAAGUCCUCGAGGGACGGCGUUCACCGCGCGAACGCGGUCGUAUGGGGACCAGUGUACAGCACCGCCCGCGCGGGCGGUCGCGGCGAGUCGGAUCCAUCCGUCGCAUUCAUAAAAAUAGUAUAGCCAUCACAAAGGUGACUCAGCGCGGCAGUCGCGAGUUUUCCGCGAGCGCGCAGUGCGAAGACGUCGCGCGUGGUCGUGUCGGUCAGUGAUCUAACAGCGCGACGAGCUUCUUCGUGAUCCUCGCCUCGAGCUCCUCCACGGCGUCGUCGAACGAUCGAUCGAACGCGCGCGGGUCGACGUUUUCUUUUCCCUCCUCCUCCUCCUCCUCCGCGCGGCCCUCGCUCGCCCUCGUCGCCCUCGCGCCGCCGCCGGGCGGGGAGUACCGCGGCCACCCGUCGUCGUCGCGCUCGUCCCCGGACCCGUCCUCCGCGGCGGACGCGUCGCCGUCGCCGUCGCCGUCGCCGUCGCUCGACGACGACGACGACGCGUCGUCGUCGUCGUCCGUGAGCCUCCCCUCCGCCACCGCCGCCGCCGUCGACGCGACGAGCCACGCGUCCAGCCGAUCGUCGGUCGUCGUCGCCGUCGCCGCCGCCGCCGCGCGCUCCUCGCGCCGCUCCACGCGCUCCACCUCGCGCCGCACGGCCCCGCCCUCCUUCCCGCCGCCCUUCGCGCCCUUCGCGCCCUUCGCGGUCGCCGUGGAAACCGCGGGCAGCUCCACGCCGACGCUCUCCAACAGCGCGCGCAGCGCGGCCGUCUCCUUCUCGAGGCUCGCGCAUCGCGCGUUCGCGUCGUCUCUCUCGCGUCGCAGCGUCCGCGCGUGGACCGCGAGCUCGCCGACGUCCACGAUCGCGGUCUCCGGGGCGCCGUCGUCGUCGCGGCCGGGUAGCGCGGCGGUCACGGCGGCGUCCGCGGGGUCGCGCGGCGGCGGCAUCGCGCCGAACGCGUCCAGGUCCGCGAGGCAGGCUACCUUGGUUCGCGUCGCAUCGCGCGCGGGACGAUGAUGUCGCGACCCCGGCUGCGACGCGGCCGCGCCGGGGUAUCGCCGCGGUUUCGACGCGCUGUCGUCCACGAACGACUCCGCGCGGUGCUUCGCCGCGCGGAACUGCUCGAGCUGCGCGCGGGAUCGACGACGGGUUCGCGGGCGGAUCGAGGGACAGGUGAGAUUUGGAAUUUCGAAGCGGAGCAUCAGGAGGGGCGGACGACGACGACGGCGCGGCCGCGCGACGACGACGACGACGACGACGACGACGCGACGCGCUCGCGCGGACGGACCUUCUUCAGCCCGACGUCGCGCAUCGCGGCGUGCGCGGAGCUCGGGGUCUCCAUCGCGCGCGGUCGCGGCGCGGAGUGCGCGCGAGCGGACCACGACGACUGAGCCGACGCCCGGCCGAGCGGAACAACGGUCGUCCCUUCCGCCAGCUCUCGAGAGCGCCGCGCGCCAUUGAUCGAUCGCGCGCCAUGCCGCGCCACGCCUUCGUCCUCGCGCUGUGCGCGCUCCUCGCCGUGGCGACGGCGCCGUCGUUCGCGUCCGCGAACGCGUGCGAGGAAUGGUGCGCGCGAGUCCCCCUCCGACGCGCUCGCCCGUCCCCAUCCCGCGCGCGACUCGAACCCGCUCGAAUAAGAACAGAGUGAAUGAUUCUCGAUUCCGUUCCCUCCUCCUCCUCCUCCUCCGUCCCCAGGACCGCGUGGGAGGACUCGGAGGUCAAGAGCCAGGCGUGGGAGCACAUCGCGCACGGGAACGUCGAGCUCGUGCUGCGUUCGAUCGCGGAGGAGCCGUGCUUCGCGAAGAUGCGCGCGAGGGACGGGCGAGGCCCGCUGCACUGGGCGCACGAGUUUCACGAGCGGCGACUCAUCGACGCGCUGCUCGCCGCGGGCGCGGACGCGGAGGCGACGGACGCGACGGGGCUGACGCCCGCGCGGAUGCCGCGCGCGCCGCCGAUCACAUACACCGCGCCGGAGGACGCGGAGGACGAGAUCGACUACGGCGACGACGACGACGACGACGACGACGACGACGACGACGACGAGGCGUGGAGCCCCCCUCGGCACGACGAGAUGUGAAAGACUGAAAAGACUCAAAGAAUAAAUCACGAUGCCGGCGUGACGUCAUCACACGCGCUCGCACCCCGCGCGCGCGAUGGCGCAGAUCACGACGCGCCUCGUCGCCGUCGCGACGACCGCGUCGUCGCCGUCGCCGCCGACGCGUAAUCUCCGCGCGGCGUCCCCGCGCUCGUCCUCGACGACGACGAAGACGACGACGUCCCCUCGCGAGUACUGCGGUCUCUCGUCGAACCCAUCGCGCCUCCGUCCUCUCCGCCGCCGUCGCCGCGUCGCCGCGACGCCCUUCGCGCUCUUCGGCGUCGGCGCCGCGUCGAAGACCGCGCCGCCGUCCUCCUCGGAGAUCGUUCCCGGGCAGGGCGCGGGGUCGCCGAAGUGGCCGGAGAUCUACGACGCGAUCGCGUCGGACGCGCUCCGCGUGCGGACGAUCGAAGCGUCGGAUCUCCGCUCGUUCCUGGCGUCGCGCGAGGGCGCGCGCGCGACGCUCGUCGACGUGCGCCAGGCCAUCGAGCACGACGAGUGGCGGCUCGCGGGCUCGAUCAACGUCCCGUACGCGAUCCCCGAUCCGUUCUGGCCGCGCAGGGUCGUGGGGUACGCCAUCUCGAUCAAGGGCGGGCUGAAAGGCGCGUUCUAUACACUGGUCCCCAUACGACCGCGUCGGCGUGGUGAACGCCGUUCCUUAAGGACUUUGCCCGGCGCAUCUCUCCGCCCAGGGUCCCUCGCUUUAGAUCCCCGCCCUCGACGCCUUUCAACUCCCAAGUCUGACGCCUUUCAACUCCACCCCGAUAUCAUCGCUUCGUACGGAACGGCCCAAAGUUCGCAACCCGCGGUUCGUCGAGGACGUCGACGACGCCGUGUGCGGCGGCGACGCGAACCGUCGCGGCGAUAAGAAAGCGUGUGUCGUCCUCAUCGACACCAAGGGCGGCGACCUGACCAGAGGCCCGAUACGCGAGGGCAGCGGCACGCUCGACGCGUCCGACGCCAGCUGUCUUCGCGCGGCGUACGAGCUGCGGCAAGCCGGGUACGCGGACGUGCGACACGUCCGCGGCGGGCUCCCUGGCGCGAUCGAGGACGGCGAAUUGCGUUGGGAGAGCGAAACGUGGGGGGACUUUCUUAGGUGGCUGGAUACGUGGAACCCGGACCAGCGGCGGUUGCUGAUGUACUCGCGGCUGCUGCCGGAUCCGACGAAUCUUCCGGGGGUCGUCGGCCAGCUGGCGGUGUUUACGACGAUAGGGCUGGCGUACUACGACGUCGGCGGGAUCGGGACGUGGGCGGCGGCGAACGUCCCGGCGGCGUGCAGCUUCCUCCCGGUGUGCUCGUGACGACGCGAUCGACCGCGGACGCGAUGCGUUCCCGUGGAGGGUAUUAAGUAUUGAAAACCGAUGAUUAGAUCAGACGAGCCGCUUCCUCCGUCCCGUCGCCUUCUCUUCUCUCCCCUCAAGCCCCUCUCCCCGAGUCAAUCGCUCGCUUCUCAUCAGUCAUCCUUCUUCUCCGGCAUCUCCACCGGCACCAACACGGGCUCGUACUUCUUCUCCUCCUCCCAGAUCGUCUGCGCCAACAUCGUCAGGCUCGACAACGCGCGCUGCGUCGUCGUCGCGGGCGCGGGGAACGGCAGACGCACGUCCAGCACCUUCCCGUUCCCGCUCCCGCCGCUCAAGGCCCCGCUCGUGAUGACGCGCACGUCGAACCCGAGCGAGUCGACCCACAGCAUCCGCGCCUCCGCGGGCUCGGCCUCGUCGGGGAGGCUCGCGCGCGCGAAGUUGACGACGUCUUCGUACCGGUCGUUGUUCAUCGCGUCCACGAUGGACGCCGCGUGCGCGCUGAGGGUCGUUCCAUCAUUCAAAGCGACGUCGGGGUGGAGUUGAAAGGCGUCAGAAGCGGAGUUGAAAGGCGCCGAGGUGUGUCGGGAUUGAAAGCGAGGGACCCUGGGCGGAGAGAUGCGACGGGAAAAGUCCUUAAGGAUCGGCGUUCACCACGCCGACGCGGUCGUACGGGGACCAGUGUAAACGUGAACGCGCCUGAGCGGAUCCGCGACGGCGUCCGCGAACGCGGCGGCGUCCACCACCUCCGCGCGCUUGUCGCUCCCGAGGCCGCCGACGUAGAAGACGCGGUCGACGACGAACGCGUAGUAGUCGUCGUUCCUCUGCAUCGCGUCCACGCCGACGUUCUCGCCGUGGACGCGGUCGUACCGAAUCGCCGCCUUCUCCGCGUCCUCCGCGUCGAGCUUCUCGAGCUUCCCGAUGAGCGUCGCGCGGCUCAGCACCCCGGGCGGCUGCGUCGCCGGCUGCACGUACAGCGAGCACCGCGGAUCGGACGCGAUGUUCUUCGUGUGCAUCGCGUCCGCGCGCAUGCGGAGAACGACGCCGCCGUCCUCGUCGACGACGUAGGAGGCGAACGUGCCGAGCGCGACGCCGUCGUCGCACGUGGUGGAGAUGGUGCCCGUGUUGGCGAGGUGCACGAGCGUCUUGGCGCAGUCCGCGGAGGAGGGGCGGAGGGCGUUCGUCGCCGCCUCGAUCGCGGCGGUCUCGGACGCGGUCGCGGUGGUCGCGGUCGCGGAGGCGCGCGCGGAGGACGCGCCGCCGCGGCACCUUGAGGGCGGCGCGACGGACUGAUGAUGGUGAUGAUGAUGUCUGGUCGCGCCGCUCCUUCGCGUCUUGACGGUUCCGUUGGAAAGACGCGCGGGCGCGGACGUCAGCGCCGGCGUCGCGGCGGCGCACAUCGCGGACGACAUGGCGGUGAUCGUGGAGACGUGCGUGGACGGUCCGAUCGGGGGGGGGACGCGCCGCGAAGAGUGCGAGGCGCGAGCGCGUCGCGACGACGACGCGCAAUCGGAAACAGUCGUUUUAUCCACUCGCUGGGAUAUUCGAGAUCUUCGGACGCCAGCCAGUCGCAGUCACGCGCGAUCGCGGGGGGGCGGGGAGGCGGGGGACCGACGCGGCGCGCGCGGACGCGAUCGAGACGACGACGACGACGACGCGUUCGCGGAUGUCGCGGUUUACGUACGCGACGCCCGCUCGCGGGCGUCGCCUCACAUCACAACCGCAGAGCUAAGAACACCACCCCGCCUCUCGCCGACCGAUCCGCGGCCGCCGCGAAGAGAGAGACUCUACUCAUUCCAUCUCCCUCACUUCUUGCCCUUGUUCUUUCGGUUGCGCUCCUUGAUCUCGCGGAGCGCGGCCUCGCGCGCGGCGGCGCGGACCUCCGGCUUCUCCGCGCGCUUCUUCGUGAUCAACUGCGAACGUUGGGCGGGGGACGGGAGGGGGAUCGUCAGGGAGCCGCGGCGGCGCGAGGACGGCGACGAAAGAUUUCUUCUCUCUCUUCACGGAGGGAGCGACCCGUUCCGUUCGCGCGGCGUGGGAAAAAAAACCCGCGUGCGUGAACGUCGCUCGCGGCGAGGGCGCGGGUCGAAUCGCACCUCGAGGUUCGCGCUGACGAGGGAGCGGUUUUGGAGCCUGACGCUGCGCUUCUUCUUGCGCGCGGCGUCCACCACGGCGUCCUGCGAGCGCGCGCGACGAGGGAGGGAGGGGGGAGGACGUCAGCGAUGGUUCGCGGAAACCCUAAAAAAAGCUCAUCUCGCGCGAACGAAACACGCGACGGGGGAUCCGGAGUCGACGACGCGACGUCGCGUCGCCGCCGCCAAUCCGCCCCGACGCGUCGUCUGCACAUCGCGAGGGCGUUCACGCCGCGCACCUUCUUGUGCGCCUUGCGGUACUGCGUCGUCCACGCGAGCUUCGCGGGCCUGAGGCGAAGGUUAAACAGCCGCUUGCACUUCGCGCUGAGGAACAGGUACGUCUGCGAGUCGAUCUUCGUCAGGCGCAUCCCGUGCCCGGGGUAGAUCUUGAGGCCGCUGAAGCGGCACACCUCCGUCUUGAGAACCAUCUCUCUCUACUUCUCCGCGUCCACUGCGUGCCGGUACGUGGCUACGCGCGCGUAUCAAGAGGGACGUCGAGCGAGACGCUCGCGGGUUUUGAGCGAAAACGAAAUGCCUCGCGGUCGGACGAGUUCGAGCUGGAGCUGACCCGCGUCGCGAUUCACGAAGGGUCAAAUUGAGCGAGAAAAUCGACUUCACCCCACGACGACCUUUCAACUGAGAUCGAUUCACCGGAGACGACACAGCAGAAAUGCAGCAGUCUCCGAGAGCUCGCGCGCCUCGACGCUCGGGUCACUCCGCGCGUCGCGCGCGAUGGCGUGCUCGUCGAGCGUCCUCGCGUCGGCGCCGGCGCCGCCGCGCGCGUCGUCGUCGCGGCGUCCCCGCGCCGUCGCCGCCCGCGCGUCUUCGUCUUCGUCGUCGGCGUCGGCGGCGGCGGCGUCGGCGGCCGCGCUCGUGCUGUACACGAAGCCCGGAUGCUGCCUGUGCGACGGCCUGAGGGAGACGCUCGAGGUCGUGAUGCGCGGCGACAGCGGCGUCGCCGUGAGCCCCGAGCUGGCGUCGCUGGGAGGCGGCGUGGAGACGCGCGACGUGUCCACGAACGACGCGUGGGCGGCGCGGCACGCGAUGGAGGUGCCCGUGCUCGCGCUGUCGUUCCGCGCGGAGGGGGAGGGGGAUGGGGAGGAGGAGGAGGAGGAGGAGGUGGAACUUCCGAGGCCGUCGCCGCGGCUCGCGCCCGCGCGGCUCGCCAUCAGGCUGAGCGCGGACGUCGCGAGGGCGAUGAAGAAGAAGGGCGGCGGCGCGACGAGCGCGUCGUCGGGGACGGACGACGAGGAGAAGAAGAAGCCGGGCGGGGGAUGGGCCGUCGUCAGCGAGCGGCCGUUCUAGCGACGAUGAUGACUCAUCACACGUAGCGAAGCCGUGAUGUCUUGUCACCUCGAUCGAAGUCGUCACUCCCCGACGCGCGCGCCGUCCCUCUCACACGAUGCGAUUCGCGAAGGCGAUGCCGCUCGCGCUCGGCGCCGCCGCGCUCGGGCGCUUCUUCGCGACCGCGCGAGCGCGCGCCGCCCGCGCCGCGGCGACGCCGCCGACGCCUCCCAAGGUGCGACGCGAUCCUCGCGCGCUGCGCUGUUCUUUCUCUUCUCUCCCUCGCUCCUCGCUCCGCCCCGCCCGCCCGACCCCUCCUUCUCACGCGCGUCGACGCCCCCCAACCGCUCCUUCUCACGCGCGAAACCGCUCGCAGGCGAAGCGCGUCCCGCACAAGGUCCUCUUCGGCGCGGUCGACGGCGAGAACCGCGGGACGAACCCGAUGCGCCCGCCCAUCGAGCGAGACGACGACCUGUUCUGGCUCCGAGACGACGACCGCAAAGAUCCAGAGAUCUUGCGGCACCUCGAGGACGAGAACGCGCACACGGAGGCGCACCUCGCGCACCUGAAGCCGCUGACGAAGCGUAUCUACGACGAGAUCGUGCGGAGCGUCCAGGAGAGCGACGACGACCUGUCGUUCCCGUGGGGCGAGCGCUUCGAGUACUUCGUGAGGACGCUCAAGGGGAAGGCGUACCCGAUCGUGUGCCGCCGGCGGCGAGGGGGCGAAGAGCGAGAGCGAGAGCGAGAGGAGGUCGUGCUCGACGUGAACGAGGUCGCGAAGACGCUGAAGUACUGCUCGCUGGGCGCGUUCAAGGUGAACGACGCGCACGACGUGCUCGCGUACAGCGUAGACGCGAACGGGUACGAGACGUACGAGAUUCGCUUCAAAGACUUGAACACCGGCGAGCAUCUCCCGGACGUCAUUCGCGGCGCCGCCGGGGGCGUGUCCUGGGGCCACGCGGACGGAGAGGUGUACUACAGCACGCAGGACGAGUCGCACCGAUCGAACAAGGUGUGGCGGCACGCGAUGGGCACGGCGCAGAGCGAGGACGAUUGCGUCUUCGUCGAGGACGACGAACUCUUCAGGUGCGUUCGCGUAGUAUACAAACGUACUGUAUUUCACCCAUCGCCCGGUUUCAACACUUGAUCGCGUGGGUCCCUUUCAACUGACCGAUGAACUGUUUUUGUAUGGAAUGGCUCUUCAGCGUCGGCUUCGGUCGGACCUCCGACGGGAGCCACAUGCUGAUAGAAUCCGAGUCGCAGGAGACGAGCGAGACGCGCGUCGUGGACUUGAGGUCGAAGCCCGCGGGGGAGGCGACGCUGAUGCAGCCGCGGAGGCUCGGGCAUCGGUACUACCCCGACCGACGGGGCGACCGGUGGUUCGUCCUCACGAACCGAGACGGGCGGAUCAACUUCGACCUCGCGUGCGCGCCUCUGAACGCGCCGGGGGAAGAGCACUGGCGCGCGGUCGGGACCCACCCGGGCGCGGGCGAUGCGUUCGAGUGGCGCGAGGGACGGACGCUCGAGACCGUGCGCGCGUUUCGCGACUUUCUCGUGUUGGAGGGGAGAGAGGACGGCUUCAGCGCGAUGUGGGUGUUGCGGUUGCUCCCGGACGACAAGAUUCAUCAGGGGGAAGACGGAACGUCAACCGACGCGCGGGGGGAAGACGGAACGUCGAUCGACGCGUCGUCCGCCCCGGGUCCGGUCGCGGCGAUCGCGUCGUGGACCAAGACGGAGUGGCCGUCCGAGAACUGCUGCGUGUACGCCGCGGUGGCGUCCGCGUCGCUGCCGUGCGUCUCCGCCAAUCAAAAUUUCGACGCGUCGCGUCUGUUCGUCGCGUAUCAAUCGCUCACGACGCCGAAGACGGUGUACGCGUACGACGUGGCGAGCGGCGCGAGAGAGGUGGUCAUGACGACGCCGGUGCGCGGGUACGACCAGAACAAGUACGUCACGACGCGCGUGGAGGUGAGCGUCCGCGACGGCACGAGAGUCCCGGUGUCCAUCGCGUAUCGAAAAGAUUUGCGGAAAAAAAACGGGCCGAUGCUCCUCGGCGGCUACGGAUCGUACGGCGUCAGCAACGACCCGAGCUUCGCGCGCGAGGACGUCCCGCUCAUGGACCGCGGCGUGGUCAUCGCCAUCGCGCACGUGCGAGGCGGCGGCGAGAUGGGACGGUACUGGUACGAGAAGGAAGGGAAGUACCUGAAGAAGAAGAACACGUUUCACGAUUUCGUCGACGUCGCGGAGCACCUCGUGACGACGGGAUGGACGUCCGCCGCGACGUUGGGCAUCACGGGGCGAAGCGCGGGCGGUCUGCUCGUCGGCGCCGCGCUGAACAUGCGCCCGGAGUUGUUCAGGUGCGCGGUCGCGGCGGUGCCGUUCGUGGACGUCAUGGUGUCCAUGUGCGAUUCUUCCAUCCCGCUCACGACGGGGGAGUGGGAAGAGUGGGGGAACCCGAACGAGGAGAAGUAUCACGCGUACAUGGAGAGCUACUCGCCGAUGGAGAACAUCAGGAGAGGGAAGAAGCCGGAAGUUUUGGUCACGUCCGGGCUGUUCGACCCCAGGGUGGCGUACUGGGAGGGCGCGAAGUACGCGGCGCGGAUGCGCGACGCCGCGACGAACGGCGCGUUCGGCGACGGCGAUUGCGAAGGCGAAGGCGAAGGCGGAGAAGCGCCGAGUCGGAUACUGCUCAAGACGGACAUGGACGCGGGGCACUUCAGCGCGACGGACCGGUACAAGCGGUUCAAGGAGAGGGCGUACGAGCACGCGUUCGUGCUUGAUAGCUUGGGGUUAUCGGGCGCGAAGCCCGCGUGGGCGAAGCGAUGACUGGACGAGCGCGCGUACCGUAGACGACGUAGUCGCUUUGUUGUCUAUUUUAAUCUCGUCGCCUCUCGUCGAUCGAUUCGAUUCAUCGUCCGCUCCUAAACCACCCGAACCACCCUCUCCGCUCCGGCUCCGGCUUCUUCCUCACCGGCGCGGGAAGGUCUAAGAACAGGUAUGGCUCCUCCGGCUCCUCCCCCGGCUUCGACGUCACGCACCGGUACGCCACCCUGAACGCCGCCGGGACGGUGAUGAGCCGGUUCCCCGUGAAGAGCGCUUCGACGACGUCCUCGACGCGAUCGUUGCAUCGAUGCGGCCUCGCCUCGUUCCUCGUGUCCAGCAGGAUCUCGCCCUGAUGCGCGCGGUACGGCGACCGCGCCGCCGCGCCGCCGCGCUCGCCGCCCUUCUUCUUACCGCCCUUCUCGCCGCCGUCGGGGCUGAACCGCCGCCUCAGCUCGUCCUCGCGCUCCUUCGUCAUCGGGACGUCGCCGCCGAGCGGAUUCGGGCUCGCGCGCGGCCCCGGCGGCGCCGCGGGCCCGGCGUCCGGCGUCGCCGUGGACAUCCGGUUGCCCAUCUCGCGAGGGGGGCGAGGGAGGUCGCGACGCGCGCGAUCGCGGCGGCGCGAGACGCGAUGGCGCGCGCCGGCGCGUCGAGGAGUGAUGGGGCGGCGUCGCGACGGCAAUCGCGCACUUCCUGGAAUUUUCUGUUCAUCGCUCGAGGCGCGCGCGAGCGCGCGUGCCGUCAUUAUUGAGUGACACGCCACGCGUCGCCGGCGACCAUGACGAGGCCCCGCCUCGUCGCGCCGCUCGUCGCGCUCGCGAUGGCGCUCGCGCCGCUGAUCGCCGAGGCGGCGUGGCUCGACGACGCGCUCGGCGGGCUGACGCGCGGGGGAACCGGCGAGAGCGCGCCGUCGACGAGCGACGACGCGACGAUAAUUCUUCAGAAUGAUGACGCGAAAAUGACGUCGUCGUCGUCGACCGCGUCGUCGUCGUCUUCGUCGUCGUCCCUCGCGCGGCUCCUCCUGAACCUCCUCCUCCGCGUCGCGUCGCGCCUCGACUCCGUCGUCGUCGCCGCGUGCGUCACCUACGUCGCGCUCGCGAUCGCGCGCCGCCGGCACGCGCGCGCGAUGCGCCAGGCGAGAUCCGCCAUGACGCACCUCCGCGAGCGCGACGCGACGUGCGCGUCCGUCGAGCGCGGGAUGAUGGACUGGAUGAACCACGCGCUGCGGCACCAGUGGCGCAGCGUCAUCGCGGACGUCGUCGACGCGCGCGCGAGGGAGACGAUGGAGGAGGCGCUGCGCGAGGACGCGCGAGCCGCGAGCCGCGGCGUCGUGCGCGAGGCGUCAGUCGCGGAGUGUUCGCUGGGCGUCGUCCCGCCGACGCUGCGCCUCUACGCCGCGCGGUCGUCGCCGUCGUCCAACCACAUCCAGUUCGAGUUCGACCUGGAGUGGCAGACGGUGCAGUCGCAGAUCGUGGUGCGCGCGGUCGUGCAGCCCGCGAAGUUCGUGCCAGCUGUGCGCGUCCCCGUGAGAGUCACCGACCUCGCGAUCGAGGGGCGGGUGCUGAUCGGAUUCAGGCGCGUUCGUUCGCGUUCACACUGGUCCCCAUACGACCGCGUUCGCGAAGUGAUCGCCGUUCCUUGAGGACUUGUCACUCUCUCGGCGCAUCUCUCCGCGCACCCCUCGCGUUCGAUCCCUCCCGACGCGCCUCGACGCCUUUCGACUCCGCCCCUGACGCCUUUGAACUCCGCCCGACCCUCAGGCUCGUCGACCGCGCGCCGGGGGUGGGCGGCGUCGAGGUGUCGUUCGUCGGCCGCCCGAACGUGAGCGUGCAGGUGGCGCCGUGCGGGAUCGCGCUCGGGGACGUCCCGGGCGUGCACGAGUUCAUCCGCGGGAAGAUCGCGGACGCGUUGAAGGAAAAAUACGUCGAGCCGCGGCGGUUUUACAAAGACGUGGAGAGGGCGUUCUUGGAGUCGGGGAGGGACGCGGCGAUCGCGAGCGCGACGGGGGCGGGCGGCGCGCUCGUCGUCGACGUCGUCUCCGCGCGCGGGCUCGCGGCGCCGGGCGGCGGAAGCGGAAGCGGAGGGGGGUGUUCGCCGUACGUGGAGGUGACGUUCGGCGGCGCGACGCGAAGGACGCCGACGCGGGCCAACACGACGUCGCCCGAGUUUAAUCACCGCGUCGCGUUUCCGCUGAUGCACGCGGUGGCGCCGCCGCCGCACGACGAGCCGCGUCUAUCGCGCGGCGGCGGCGGCGGCGGGUUCGGGUCGCCGUUCGCGUCGCAGAGAGGGAUGUUCGAGGAGGAGGCGGCGGAGGAGGAGGCGUCGCGCGACCGCGGCGGCGAGACGACGACGCUCACCGUGCGCGUCAUGGACUGGAGCCCGCUGAGCGCGCCGCGGGAGAUCGGCGCGGCGACGUACGCCGUGGACGUCGCGUCGUUCGACCGCGGCGCGGCGGCGCGCGCGGGAGAGGACGACGGCGGGGUCACGCGCGCGCGGGAAGUCGAGCUGCCGCUGCGGCGGACGCGCGGCGGCGGCGGCGGCGGCGGCGGGAUCGUCAAGCUGUUCAUCGGGCGNNNNNNNNNNNNNNNNNNNNNNNNNNNNNNNNNNNNNNNNNNNNNNNNNNNNNNNNNNNNNNNNNNNNNNNNNNNNNNNNNNNNNNNNNNNNNNNNNNNNGCAGCCGCCGCGAGCGUCGCGACGCCGACGUCGGCGUCGGCGUCGGCGUCGACGGGGGCGAUGACGAGCUCCUUCGACGGCGGGACGUCGCCGUCGCCGUCGUCGCGAUCGCCGCGGUCGCCGCGGUCAUCGGCGGCGGACGGGCUCGGAUCCGCGAUGACGUCGAACGCCGAGGCCGCCGCCGCCGCCGCCGCCGCCGCGCGGUCGAGCGCGGGGUUGAACGCCGCCGCCGCGGGCGCGCGCGGUUUCAAAGAGAUCGGCGCCGCCGCGACGCACCUCGUGCAGGUGGCGAAGAUGCAAAAGGCGCGGCGCGAAGACGCGGCGCGACACGCGACCGAGCUCGCGACCGCGCGCGCGGAGACGGCGGACGCGAGAGAGGACGUCGUCAUGGAGCGGACUCGACGCGACCACGAGCUCAGGCGCGCGCUCGUCGAGGGCGCGGUGUUUUACGUCCACACGCGGCGCAAGCCCGGGUUCGAGCCGGGCAAAUACAGGUGCGUUCUAUCUCACACUGGUUCCCAUACGACCGCGUCGGCGUGGUGAACGCCGAUCCUUAAGGACUUUGCCCGGCGCGUCUCUCCGCCCAACCCUCGCUCACAAUCCCCGCCCUCGACGCCUUUCAACUCCACCUGACGCCUUUGAACUCCACCCCGACGUUCGCUCGUAUGGAACGACCCACAGACUCUGGUACAACGCGUCGAAGAAAUCGCUGCAGUGGUCCGAGGGCCGCAGGCCCGGCGGAAAGACGAAGCUGCACCAGUUCGUCCCCGCGAGCUUGGUGCGCAACUGCGUCGUCGGCACCGAGGCGUUCACCCUCGGCGCGAUCGACGAGACGAAAGCGCACCGGCUGAAGAGCGUCCUCUCGAGGUCGCCGACCAUCGCCAAAGCCGCGGCGUCCGUCGGCGUCGUGCAGCGAUCCAUCGGACACCACGACCCGCUGCGGUGCUUCAGCGUGUCGCUGUGGUUCCCGGACGACGCCCCCGCGGGGGGGAAGGUGGAUAACAUCCUCGCGAGCGGCGCCGCGAGCUUAGGGCUGCAGACGAUCGACCUGGAGCUCCCGGACGGAGGGAACGGGAGGAGCGUGAGGGAGUGGUGCGACGCGAUCACAGCCGCGGCGCUGGAAAACGGCGGCGGCGCGGGGACGAACAACGCGGACCCGAGCGGCGAGGCGGACGUCGCCGCCGCGGCGUUGAAACACAUGCAGCUGAUGCAGAAGCAGAUCGAUCUGAAGCGCGGGGAGGCGGGGGAGGAGGACGACGAGGGGGCGACGGCGUCUCCGAGGCGUACUUCGUCGCCGGGGGCGCCGGCGUCGCCGCCGGCGUCGCCGCCGCGGUCGCCGCGCGGGAUCGCACGCGCGGCGCCGCCAGCGACGGAGAGCACGCCGGAGAGCACGCCGGAGACGACGCCGCCGUCGAGCAUCCGGUUGGACGACGUGAUUCCGUUUCCUUCGCCGUCGAGCGCGACGGAGGAGACGGACGGGGAGAUCGCGCCCGCGGCGGACGCGCCGUCGUCCGUCGCGUCCGCGAAGUUUUGAGCCUCGAGAGAGUCGACGCGCGUCGGUCGAGUCGUCGUCGCGUCGCGUCGCGGUCGCUCUUCUAGCCGCUAAGCGUGUACACUGACUACUGCGCUACUGAUGAAUUAAGACGGAUAACGCGCCGCGACGCCGAGACGUUGCGUCACGUCGCCGCGUCUCUCGUCGCCUCCGCCUCCGCGGCUUUCGCCUUGGCCGCUCGCAACGACGCGCGCGCGCCGUCGAGGUCGCCCUCACGUUUCUUCGCCAGCGCGUCGCGCUUCAGCGCGAGGCACUCCGCGUCGAGAGCCUCGAUCUUCUUCUUCCGCGACGCGACGACGACGUCGUCGUCGGACGCGCCGUGCUCGGCGGCGAGGAGAGCGUCCGCAGCGUCCGCCGUCGCCUCUUUCGCCUCUUUCGCCUCCUCCUCCUCCUCCUCCUCCUCCUCCAACUCCGCCGCCGCGGCCGCCGCGUCGAUCGUCGCCCGCAGCGCUCUCGCCCGCCGCAGCGCCUCCCUCGCGCCGUCCACGUCCCCCGCGCGCUUCUUCGCGACCGCUUCUCGCUCCGCGUCCACCGCCGCAGCGGCGAGCUCCGCCAGCCGCGCGUCCGACGCCGCGCCGCCGUCCGCGUCAUCGUCCACGUCACCUUCCACGUCAUCGUCCACGUCGUCGUCCACGUCGACGGACGACUCGUUCAGCGCUCGCAUCGCGUCCGCGAGCGCGGCGGCCGCGGCGUCGGCCGGCGUCGCCGUCGACGGCGACGGCGGCGGCGGCGAGCGCGGCGAAGAAGGGGACGCGCGCGACACCUCCGCCUCGAUCGCGUCCGCUCUCGACGCGAGCGCCUUCGCGCGUCUCAGCGCCUCCCUCGCGCCUUCCAUCUCCCCCGCGCGCUUCAGUCGCACCGCCUCUCUUUUCGCGUCGAGGCACGCGGCGCGCAGCUCCGCGACGGACGACGACGACGACGACGACGACGACGACGACGACGCCUCGACGACGGACGUCGCGCGCUUCGUCGUCGCCCUCCGUCUCCUCGCCUCCUCCCUCGCCGCGUCCUCCUCCGCCUGCUCCCUGAGGAUCUCGCGCGCGAGCGCCUCGGCCUCGUCUUCGGAAUCCUCCCCCGGCGGCGCGUUGAUGGCCGCCACGAGCGCCGCCUCCUCGAGCGCGAGCGCGUCCAUCGGCAUGGACGCGAGCUCCGCGCGCAGCCGUCGCUCCAGCGCGUCGACGUCCUCGAGAUCGUCGUCGUCGUCGUCGCCGCCGCCGUCGCCGUCGGAGCCGCUCAGCUCCGCGAGGAGCGCGGCGUCGGAGAGGACAGCCUUCUUCCGCGCGCGCGGCGCGCGCUUCGGCGGCGGCGCCGCGCGCGGCGCCAUAGUGACGCGCGGAACGUCAUUUCGUCGUCGCGUCGUUGAAUAAAAACUAACGUCAGGGACAGGACCGCGUGCUCGCGUCGAGUGGACGGAUGAAACCCUCGCGUCGUCCGUCCCCAGAGCGCGUCGCGCUGGCGGACGUCAUGUUCGGCGGCGGGAAACCCCCCGCGCCCGACAAGGCCGCGGCGGCCGAGUCCGUCGACGCGUCCCUGGACGACCUCUUCUCGCGCCUGCGCGACGCGACGUCGCGCGGCGCGCACAAGAAGGCGCUGCGGAUCUCGGAGUCGAUCCUGAGCCUCGCGCCGGGCGACCCCGACGCGACGCGAUGCGCGGUGGUCGCGCUGAGCGAGCUCGCGCGGCACGACGACGCGAUCCAGUGCGUGGAGGACGCGCCCGCGGACGUCCUCGGCGGGCUGACGUUCGAGUGGGCGUACUCGAUGUAUCGCGCGGGGCGCGUCGCCGACGCGCUCGACGUGCUCGACGCGACGGAGGGCGACGCCGAUCUUCUCGAGGAGGACCGCGGGUCGGCGUCGCGAUGCGCGCAGCUGCGCGCGCAGCUGCUGUAUCGCGACGGGCGAUUCGAGGAGAGCGCGAGGAUGUACGAGAAGAUGUUCGAGGUGCGUGUCAUCGCGCGAUCGUCGUCGGCGGUCUCCGAUCGCGACGACCGCGCGGGUCGUCGAUCGACGCGGCGAUCGUCGGUCGAUCGCGGCCGCGCGCGGCGGGGCGAUCGUUCAGACAGGAGAGAGCGGUCGUGUUCGUUCACGCGUCGAGUCGCGAUCGUCGCCGCGUCGGUCCAUCCAUCGUUCAGCGUCCCUCCUCCAUCCUCGCCGCGCGCCGCGCACUCUGACGUCUUCCCCACCCACCCCCUCUCCUCCCCCUCCCACCGCGCAGGAGCACCCCGCGGAGAUGGCCAAGGUCCCGAACGUCGCGGUGAACCUCGCGGCGUCGCUCGUCGCCGCCGGGCGCGCGUCCGAACUCCUCGCGACGCUGAAAAAAAUCGUCGUCUCCCCGAAGGCGUCGUUCGAGCUCGCGUUUAACGUCGCGUGCGCGUGCGUUUCAAACGGCAACCUCCGCGACGCGGACGAGUACCUCGCGCUCGCGCGCGCGCGAGGCGAGACCACGCUGGCGGACGAGGAGCUCUCGCCGCAAGAGAUCGAAGACGAGCUUCUCCCGGUGACGGUCCAACGCGCGUACGCCGCGCACCUUGGCGGCGACGUCGACGCCGCGACGGAGGGAUACCGCGCCGCGAUCGCGACGAAGAGCGCGAGCGACGCCGCGACGGUCGCGGUCGCGGUGAACAACCUGUUGACUAUCGUCGGCCCGAGAGGCGUCGGCGGCGCGGAGGCGAUCAAGAAGAUGGAGAAGCUCAGGCGCGUUCACGUUUGUCGCGCCGGUCCUCAUACGACCGCGUUCGCACGGUGAACGCCGUUCCUCGAGGACUUUACUUCCCGGCGUCGUUUCUCUCCGCCCAUCACCCCUCGCUUUCCAUCCCGAAACAACUCGACGCCUUUCAACUCCACCCCUGACGCCUUUCAACUCCACCCCGACAUUCGUCGCUUCGCGUGGACCCUCCCUCGACCCUCAGCGACGACGCGGGGACCCUGCGCGCGGACGUCGCGAGGCACGCGAACGAAGAACAACGGAGCGCGUUUCUCGCGAACCGCGCGAUCGCGCUGCUGCACUCGAACCACCUCGACCGGUGCCGCGAGUCGCUCAGCGCGCUAAAACGAGAGGAGGAGGAGGGGCGCUCCCUGCACCACGACGCCGCGCGCGUCGCGUUGAUCGACGCCGCGUUGUGCAUGCGAAACCGCCGGCCGGCAGACGCCGACGCGGCGCUCGCGCGAUUCGUCGACGGACGCGGCGCGACGGACGCGGGCGCGCGCGCGACCGCGCAGCUCGCGCGCGCGCAGAUCGCGGCGAGCGCGGGGGAGUACGCGAAGGCCAUCUCGGCGCUCGAGGGCGUCGGCGCUGCCUGCGCGACGUCGCCGGCGGUGACGGCGACGAUCGUCGCGUUGCGCGAGCUCUCCGGCGACGCGGCGGGUGCGGACGCGGCUUUGGAAGCCGCCGCGGCGACGCCGGGCGCGCCGACGACGCUGGCGCUUCGCGCGGCGGAGCGCGAGCUGGAGAGAGGUCGCGCGGCGGAGGCUGUCGCCGCGUACGAGCGCGUGCUGAGCCUCGGCGCGCGCGACAAAGGCGACAAAGGCGACGAGGACGAUCUGAAGCUCGCCGACGCGGGGCUGGUCAAGGCGCGCGCCGUCGCCGGCGACGCGGACGGCGCGGAGCGCGGCGCGAGCGAGGUGUUCGAGGCGCUGCUCGCGGCGCGGGGCGGGGAAGCCCCGGACGCGGACGCGCUGGAGGAGACGCCGCCGGACUCGGUCCUCGCGCGCGCGGCGGAGGUGGAGAGGAGGCUCGCGGCGCGGCGCGGCGGCAAACGCGGCGGCGGCGGCGGCGACGACGGCGGCGGCGGCGAGCGCGCGACGCGAUGGAAGCGACGGAAGCGGAAGAUCGUCUACCCGAAGGGGUUCGACCCCGAGAACCCCGGGCCGAUGCCGGACCCGGAGCGGUGGCUUCCGAAGCGCGAGCGGAGCGGGCACAAGGGGAAGAAGAAGAAGCAGGCGAACGUCAGAGGCGCGCAAGGCGCCGGCGCGUCCGACGCGGAGCUGAGCAAAAAAGAGUUUAGCGGCGGCUCCGGCGGUACAGCUGGCGGCGGUGGCGGGGUGAAGACGAACGCCCCGGACGCGGACGUGAUGGAUAAGCUCCUGAGCGUGGGCGUGGGGAAGAAGAAGAAGAAGGGCGGGCGGCGAUGACACGACGCCCGGGCCCGGGGAAGGAUGGGGGGAAGGGACCCCGGCGUUCGUUCGGCGGGGAUCGAUUUCGACUCUUAAUCGUAGUAUGGCUUCGCGUCGCGAUUUCAUGAUCAUCGUCAGUCGCUACGUGUCGCUACGUGUCUUCUUCGUCCGCGCGCCGCCAAAACACCCCCACCCGUUCACCUCUUCUCUUCUCCUCGACUCCGACUUCACUUGCUCGCGUCCUCGAAGUUCCCGACGAGGUCCGGCACGUCGUCCCCGUCCGCGCCGGCUUGGUACUGCGCCGCGAUCUUCUUCAGGUUGGCGAGGUUGUCCGGCCCGAGCUGGUUUAUGAUGCCCGGGAGGAGAUCCUGAAGCUUCUUCGUCUGCGACGGCCCGGACACGACGUACGUGUUCGCGGCGAUGCUCGCCUGGACCUUCGGGUUCGUGAAGUGCGUCACGACGUCGUCCUUAAAGAUGUUCACCUCUUCGAUCCCCGGGAUAACGUUCACGCCUAGGCGCUUCAGGGUGUUUUGAAGGCGCUUGUCGUCCGUGGACGUCGUCUUGUGCACCGCCUUCUUCUUCCUGUGAGAAGCGCGGACGUACGGGCGGGAGGAUGAGAAUGGAGGUGGGGGGGGGCGAUGUGGUCAGCGCGCGAAUGUCGUCGCGAGGAGGACGCGAGGGAGCGGGGCGGCGGGAGGGAGGGAGGGCGGAGGGGAGGGGAAAAUCGCGCGUCCGUCGCGCGAGAGUCGCCCGAGUAGGGUUUCGGCGUCGCGCGCACCUGCGCAUCGUCCCUUUGCCACCCAUGCGGACGGAGCCCGCGAGCUUUUGAAGCCUUUCAACGUCCAUGUUGACUACCUGAGAGCGCGCGCGGAGGCGGUGGAGCGUCAGCGAGACGUCGCGCGGAGGAGGAGGCGUCGAGGCCGGGCGCGAGACGGCGACCGAGAUGAUGAUGAAUAAUGACUCCGCGUGCGAUAUUCGCGAUGGCGCUCGGAGAAGAGAAGAUUUCCCCGCGCGCUCGCGUCAGGGUUUACGCGAGCCGCAGACGCGCGCGCACCUGUUGCGAGCCAAAGAUCCGGACGAGUGACCCGCGCUGGGGAACUCUCGCGUCGUCGUGCGGGGCGGCGCGUUGGAAAGAGCGACGACCGCGGCGAGGCGCGCGUUUUACGACCCGCCGGCUCUACCGGUUUCGCCGAGUGCGCGUAGACUCGACGAGUCACGCGUGCGCGACGACCGAGAAGCAUCAGAUGACAGGGCUACGAAUGGGCUGUAAAGGUUUUUCACCCACCCCAAGUUUCAACAUUUGAUCGUGUCCCGUUUCAACUGACCGAGAACUUUUCUACCACUAGCACCGCAGACUGGGAAAAACGAGAUCGCGAGACACGUUAAAAUCUGAUACGCCAGCGCUCUCACUCUUCUCAGGGUUCACAUCGGAUCACAUCUGCAGCGCCGUCUUCUCGAUGUCCACGUCCCCCAUCGUCUCGUCCUCCUCCUCGCUCCCCGACUCCUCCUCCUCCGCCGCCUUGGCGAGCUUCUCCAUCUUCUCCGCGAGUAACCGAUCGUCGCGUUCGCUCACCGCGCGCGCCGCCUCCUUGAUCACGAUCUUCCCGCCCUUCGCCUCGAUCGCCUUCCCCGCCGCCGCGACGGCGAGGUCCACGAGCUCGACGCCCUUGUCCUUGUCGAGCGUCUGCGUCGUCACGACGUACAGCGGGCUCGCGACGAGGCUCACCUUCACCUUGACCUGAGCGUCUUCAGACGAAGAUCCUCCGCUCUCCGCCGUCGCCGCCUCCGCCGCGCGCAUCGCGUCCUUGAUGUGCAGCACGCCGUCGUACUCGAAGCACGUCAGCUCGAUAUCCGCGCGGAUCUUCAGCGGCUGCGGCGUCAUCCGGCGGCGAAUGUCCUUCACCAGCGCGUCUCUCACUUCGUCGCUCACCGCGCCCGAUCCGUCGGGACGCCGCAACGCGUCGAGGAUCUCGUCCGGCUUGGUGACCAUGUGCUUAAACGCCUCGAAGCAGUGGCCGUACUUCCGGUACAGCGGCCAGCCCAUGUGCUCGUACAAGUCCGACAGCGUGGUGCCGCACGUGGACGUCUCCGCGACGUGACGCAUGAUGGAGUGCACCAUCUUCGACUUGUUGUACUUUUCCUCGCACGCGGCGACGUCCUCGGGGGAGACUCUGCGUUUGGAGAGAUCGAUGUAGCCCUUCUCCUGAUCCACGCGCAAUACCAUGACGGGCUCGACGCGCCCAACCUUGAUGAGCUUCGAGACGGAGCGGAUCCGUCGGCGCGUGAGCUCGCUGAGCAGGAUCAUGCCCUCGAUGUUGUCGUACUCGAGGAGCUGGACGUACGCGCCCAUCUCCGCGAUGGACUUGACCUGGACCAUGACGACUUGGUCCACCUCUGGGAACUUCUCCUCGUACAUGCGCGACCCGGAGGACAUGAUCGCAACUUUAUGAUCGAGUUAGACUACGCAGUGGAGGACUAGGCUUCCGUCGACGACGCGCGCCUCGACGUCUCCUUCGCGAUCGAUCGCGCGAUCGAUCGUUCGAUAGAUCGUUCGUUCGUUCGUUCGAUCGGCUUCGAUCGAAUACCCUUCCUUCCCACCCUCGGGCGCGGACCUGCUCGGGUCGAGCGCGCGACGAGACGCGAGGGCGUCUGAGCUCGCGGGCGUGCGGCGCGUGCGCGAUGCGCGCGACGACGCGCGGGAGCGGCGGGCGUGGACGGCGCGAUCGGGCGACGCGUCGACGCGCGCGCGGAAGUGGCGCGCGAGGCGCGCGCGCGCGGUGUUCUCGGUCUUUUCGCUUCGCUCGAGUGGCGGCGGGGCGAUCGCGAGGAACGGGCGAAUUAACUCGCGAACAGACCGUCGUUUCGAUCGAGCGCUGCAGACUGGUCUUCGUAGACUGGACGGGCGCGGCGUCGCGUCGGGGCUUCUUCGGUCGGGGAUCGUUUCGCGGAUUCUCGACCCUCGCCGCUUCCCCACUCGCGCGCGCGCGAACGCACGUUCGACCGCGCUCGACCCCCCCCCCCCCGCGCGCGGCUCCGCGCUCGAGUCUCGUCACACCGCGUCGUCGUCGUCGUCGACAGCGAGCGUCAUGCGUCCUCCCGCGGGCCGCGGUUUCGGAGGAGGAGGCGGCCGAGGAUUCGGAGGCAGGUCGCCCGGCGGCCGCGGCGGCUUCGGCGGCCGCGGCGGCCGCGGCGGCCGCGGCGGCUUCGACGAGGGACCUCCCGACACCGUCGUAGGUGCGCGUCGGCGUCGCGUCGCUUCCGUCGUCGGGCGAUCCGCGCGCGUCGCGAUCGUCUCGCGCCCCGUCCGUCGCGCGUCGCGAUCCCAAUUCGAUCCUGGGUUUUCUUUCGGGCGGCGCGCGCGGGCUGGCGCCGAUGGACGAUGAUCGAUCGAUCGAUUUUCCUCCUCCAUCGAUUCGAUCCACCGCCGCCGUCCUCGUCCUCGUCCUCGUCCUCGUCCUCGUCGUCCCCCCCGCGCUCACGCGAACGCUCACCAUCAUACUCGCCAACACUCGCCGCCAACAGAGGUCGGGACGUUCCUGCACGCGUGCGAGGGCGAGGCGGUGUGCAAGCUCACUAACGCCAAGGUGCCCUACUUCAACGGGCCCAUCUUUCUGGAGAACAAGACGCAGGUUGGCAAGGUGGAGGAGAUCUUCGGACCGAUCAACGCGUCGAUGUUUACGAUCAAGAUGGCGGAGGGCGUCGUCGCGGGGUCGUACAGCAAGGGGGACAAGUUCCACAUCUCCCCGGAUAAGCUUCUGCCCAUGGAGCGGUUCUUGGGGCCGCAGAAGGGCGGCGGCGGCGGCGGCCGCAGCGGCGGCCGCGGCGGAAGAGGCGGCGGCCGCGGCGGCGGACGCGGGCGCGGCGGGCCGGGCGGCCGCGGCGGCGGCGGGCGGUUCGGCGGCGGCGGCAGAGGCGGCGGUGGACGGUUCGGCGGCGGCGGAAGAGGCGGCGGGCGCGGCCGCGGGCGAUUCUGAUCGCCGCGACCGCCGCCGCGCCGCGCGAGCGACCGUGUACAUACCGUUUGUUGUAACUGACGACGUGGAAGCAUUCACAUUCGACGACGACGACGACGACGACGAUACCGAUACCUCACAGUCUUCUAAGAUGGUGUUAUGUUCUCUCCUACGUGUCGUCUCCAACCCCGCGAUCCCCCAGACCCGCCCGCGUCGCGCGCGCGCCCGAACCCGAAGCGCGCUCGGCUAGACGCCGCCCGACCGAUCCGACCGCGACGUCUCCUCUCGCUUCGCUCCCUCGUUCUCAUUCUCAACUCGCUCACUUCUUCGCCGCCGCCUCCGGGGACAAAAACUUAUCGAGCUGCGCCUUGAGCUGCUUGUUACUCCGGUUCAGGUACGCGAUCUCGUCGCCGUGCUUCGCCUCCUCGUCCGCCCUCCGCUCGCUCUCCCGCUUCUCGAUCGCCUCGCACUUCGCCUUCCACUCCGCGCACUGCCUCUCCAGGUCAGCCUUGUCCGUCUCCAGCUGAGGGUCGAGGGUCCAUACGAGCGAACGUCGGGGUGGAGUUGAAAGGCGUCAGAAGCGGAGUUGAAAGGCAUCGCGGUCGGGGAUUGAAAGCGAGGGACCCUGGGCGGAGAGAGACGACGGGCAAAGUCCUUAAGGAUCGGCGUCCACAUCGCGAACGCGGUCGUAUGGGGACCAGUGCGAUACUAGAACGCGCCUGAAGAAUCCGCGCCUCCAUGUCGCUCUUUCCCUGCUCCGUCUGCAGCGCCUUCCGCACGCCGAACGCGACGGACGACUCGUACAGCGUCUGAUACGCCUGGAUCGUCAUCCGCAUCUCGUCGCGGAUCCGCAGCAGCAACAGACCGCGCUCCGCGCAGUUGAUCGUCACCUGGCGGAUCAUCUCGUCGAGGCACUGCGCGUACAGCUCCUCGCGCACGGGGCACAGGCCCGUCUCGCGCGCCUGCCGCGUCUGAUGAGGGUCGGGUCGUUCGAUUGGUGGGCGACGUGGCGGGAAGUGACGUGAUUGGUUAGGUAUGUGAUGACGUGGAUGGAAGACGUUUCAUUGGACGAGAGCGCUGCAGCGACGGAGAGGGCGCCGCGCGGAGGCGGUGGCGUGGGAGACGGCGCGGCGCGACGACGGGACGCGCCUGCAGCCGCGCGUCGAGCUUCUCCUGGAGGUUGAUGACGUCCAGGCGCGUCGCGGGCGUGGGCGCGACGUACUGCACCCACAGCGUGCCGUCCUCGACGUGCUCGCGCGGGGGGAGGAUGCUGUUGAGGAUGUCCUCGGUCUGCGUCUUCGCGGCGCCGCCGUCGCCCUUCUGUGAUGAACGCGGACGAGCGAUCGACGGAGUUGGGGGCGACCGGGGUGGGUCAGCGAUCGAUCGGCGACGGGGCGCGGGAGACGCGCGCGGGGGGGGCGGCGCGAGAAAGCGCGCGGGGGGGCCCGCGAUGAAGUGGCGGGCGUCGCGGCGCGGCGCGUCGAAUCGUCGAAUCGUCGUCGCCGCGCCCGUCGAGCGACGCGGCGCGACGACGACGACGCGCGAGCGAGCGAGACGAGGACGCCGUUCCAAAUUGAGCGCGAGCGCGCGCGCGACGCGCGCGCGAAUCGCGCCGCGCGUGGACGCGCCUUCGACUUGUCCGCCCCGACUGGGAUCCGCUUAUCCUUCGUCGUCGUGAUCUGCGUCGCGAUGGGGGAGGUGACGCGUCAGCGCGACGUCGAAGCGAGGAGACGCGCGCGCGUCCGGGGCGGACGCGCGCGCGCGGCGAAGCGAAGCGAAGCGAACGAAAUGAAUGCUCGUUUUCGGCACGGUGGAGCGACGCGCGCGGACGACGCACCGUCUGCGGCUGGUCGUACAGCACGAGCGUGUGCAGCGGAGGAAGCAUCCUGCGCGGGUUCGUGCGCGGCCUCGUGCGCCGUCGCGCGGGGGUGGUGUGCGUCGCGUCGCGCGUCGCGCGUCGUUUCCGUCGAGCGACGACCGGCGAAUGAGACGUCUCGAGGUCGAUAGAUUCCGCGCGACAGCAUUUCAUCGGUCGGUUGAAACGGGACGCGAUCAAAUGUUGAAACCGUCAGAACGCGCCCGAUCGCGCGAGGCCGAUCGAAGCGACCCGGAGAACGACGUUGAAAGAGGCCAUGCGACCCUUCCCGCGUACGUCGUCGCUUCAAGCGACGCGUCCGUCGUUCGCGCGCGCCACUGCCGACGGCGCGGACGCCGACGAGCACGCGUCGAGAGGAGACGCGCGCGGCGUCGACGGACGCACGAGAGGAGAGCACGCGCGGCGCGCGAAGCGACUCCGCGGGCGCGAGGGGAGAGGCGGGCGACUCCGGCGAGGCGCGCGCGAGGGCGCGUCGUCGAUCCGUCCGUCGGGUGAGGCGCGCCGGUCUUUCGUCGUCGCGUCGCGCGCGGGCGUCGAGCGCGAGGGGAGGCGCGCGGCGCGAGGACGCGAGGGGCCAUGGCGGACAUGUUGAAUAACCCGUUCGCUCAGCUGGACGCGCAGGUGCGCGCGCGGACCUCCGCGACCGCGGCAGAUCGCGCGUCGUCGCGUCCGUCCUCCUCCGCGGCCGCCGCGCGACGGACGCUCGGACGCGCGGGCGAAGAGCGAAACGAUCGAUCGCGGACCGGCGCUCGAUCCCCCCCCGCGCGCCCGCGCGCGCGCUCGAUCCCCGCCCCUCCCGCGCGCCGCCCGCGUCCUCUCGCCCCCUCCGGUCCGAAUCUCACCGCCCCGCCGCGCCCUACGCGUCCCCGCGUCCUCCGCAGAUCGAAGGCCUCCUGCGCGGCGAGCUCGUCCCCGAGGCGGACGUCAAGGUGAUCUGCGAAAAGACGAAAGAGGCGCUGAUGAGAGAGGAGAACGUCGUCCCGGUCGCCGCGCCCGUGACGGUCGUCGGCGACAUCCACGGCCAGUUCGCGGACCUGUGCGAGAUGAUGAAGAUCGGGGGGAAAGCCCCGGAUACCAACUACCUGUUCCUCGGCGACUACGUCGACCGAGGGUACGACUCGGUGGAGACGGUGUGCACGGUGAUGGCGAUGAAGGCGCGUUCUUCUAUCUCACACCGGUUCCCGUACGACCGCGUCGGCGUGGUGAACGCCGUUCUUUAAGGACUUCGCCCAACGUUUCUCUCCGCCCAGGGUCCUUCGCUUUCAAUCCCGACGCGCCUCGACGCCUUUCAACUCCGCUUCUGACGCCUUUCGACUCCGCCCCGACAUUCGUCGCUUCGAACGACGGAACAACCCCGAAGGCGCGGUGGCCGGGACGCGUGACGUUACUCCGAGGAAACCACGAGUCGCGGCAGAUCACGCAGGUGUACGGGUUCUACGACGAGUGUCUUCGGAAGUACGGCAACGCGAACGUGUGGACGUACAUCACGGACGUGUUCGAUCACCUCCCUCUGGCGGCGACCAUCGACAACGAGAUCUUUUGCCCGCACGGCGGCUUGUCGCCGUCUCUGGACACGCUCGAUCACGUCCGCGAGCUCGCGCGGACGCAGGAGGUGCCACACGAGGGUCCGAUGUGCGACCUUCUGUGGAGCGACCCGGACGACCGGUGCGGGUGGGGGAUAUCCCCGCGAGGCGCGGGGUACACUUUUGGACAGGACAUCAGCGAGCAGUUUAAUCACGCCAACGGGUUGAAUCUCAUCGCGCGCGCGCACCAGCUCGUGCAGGAAGGGUACGAGUGGGCGCACGAGAAGUCCGUGGUGACGAUCUUUUCCGCGCCGAAUUACUGCUACAGGUGCGGGAACCAGGGCGCGAUCAUGGAGGUGGACGAGAACAUGAACCGGGAGUUUUUGCAGUACGAUCAGUUCCAACGAGCGGUGAACCCGGAGGCGCGAAGGAAGCAACAGAAGCUGCCGGAUUACUUCCUCUAGGCGCGCAUCGCAUCGCGCGGGUUUACGUUACGGCACGCGAAGGGAGGGAGGGAGGGAGGGACGGGGGAAGAGGGUAACAGGUUUGGAUUGUUUUGUUUGGAACGAAUGCGACUAAACGAAAAUACAAAACCAACGAAACCCGCAGCGAGGCGAGCCCUACUCCUCCGCGAUCGCGCCGACGUACCCGUCGGCGUACCCGCCAACGACCGGCUCGUCCCCGAGCUCCUCCGGCGUCCGCACCACGCCGUCCGCUCCCAUGACCGCGGUCGUGGGCUUGUACCCCUCGUUGUAGUUCUCGCACCCGAGGUCGCGCAUCGCCGCCGACGCGACGUCGACGCAGUCGCUCGGAUGAUUCCUCUUCGCCGCGCGCAGCAACGCCUCGGCGCGCGUCGCGAGCACCAGCGGGACGUUUUCCGGGUUGCGCACAACCGCGUUUCUGAGAAACAUCGCGCCCUGUCGCUGCGUCCCCUUGUGCGCCGCCCCGGCCGCCAUGCACUCGACGAUCGGCUCGAAAACGCCCUCCGCGCCGCACCGCGCCGCGUUCUCCGGGUGACGCAGACACAACGCCGUCAGCGCGCCCAGACACUGCUCCACGACCGCGUGCGCCGCGUUCGCGUUCGCCUUCGCCGCGGCGUCCGCGUCCGCGUUCGCGUGAGGCGAAGCCGCGUUCGCCUUCGCCUUCGCCUUCGCGUCCGCCGCGCGCUCGCUGAACACGCGCGCGACGUGCGUCAGCACCGCGAUGCCCUCGCUCGCCGCAACGACGCUCUUGUUCGCGUCCGACCCCGCGAGCUGUCGAAGGCACGCGGCGGCGCUCUUCGCGAGCCCGGCGUGCGCGGUGGCGGCCCCGCGGAGCAAUCGCAACGUCGUCGCGAUCCCGCCGCACUCCGCGACGUCUUUGCAGAUGUCGUCGUUCACCGCGGUGUUCUUGAGCGCCUGCGCGAGCGACGCGAGCAGGGACAGGUCGGAUCCGUCGGAUGCGUCGGAUGCGUCGGAAGAAACGCCCGCCGAGGAGACGUUUUCGAGCGCCGCGCACAGCGCGCGAGCCGCGCCCGCCUUGGCGAACGCGCGCGCGUGCGCGAACGCGCCCGACGCGGGCUCUCGACCGUCGUCCCCGUUGGUGACCGCGCGCAGGGCGUCGCACGCCGCGCGUAACGCCCGCGCGUCGGUCGUCACGUUAAACACCGCGACCACGGGCGCCUCCACGCCAGCCUUCGCGAACGCGCCCUUGCACGGCUCGUUCCGCGUCGCCGCCGCCGCGACGACGGCGGCGACGGCGGCGAGCGCGGCGGGCGAUCCGCCGCGUCGCGCCGCCGCCGGCCACACCUCGCGGACGUGCGCCAUCGGGAGCUUGAGCGACGCGUACGUGUCGCGCGCGUCGUCGCCGCCGAGGACGGCGGCGAGCGUCGCGAGCGCGGCGAUGAGGUGCGACUCGAGCGACGACGCGACCUCCGCGUCGUCGUCGGCGUCGGCGGCGUCGAUGAUCGCCUUCGCGACAUCUGCCACCGCGCUCGCCGCGCCCUGCACGCCUCCCGCGCCGACGCACGCGGCGCACCACCCCGGGGUCUCCUCCGCGCCGCCGCCGAGGCGCGCUCGGAGCGCCUCCCCCGCGGCGGCGACCGCGUCGCGGUCGCCCGCCUCCACGGCGGCGACGUACGCGCGCGUCGCGAUCGCCGCGGGAUGUUCGCCUCGGCCGUCGGGCCCCGCGUAGGACGUCUCGACGUCGGAGAGGUCGACGCCCUGGAGCUCGAACUCCUUCAUCGCGUCCGCGACCGCCUCGUCCGGGUCGAGGUCGAAGUCGUUGAUGUUCGACCGCACGCACUCGUCGAACGCGGCCUGGGAGAUCUUCUUGCGCGCGGCGGCGGCGGGCAUCGCGGACGACGACGACGACGCGACGGUUCGAGUUUUGGUUGACCGAUCCGAGCGAAUAAGAUCCGACGACGUCCGGGGUUCGGCCGCGUUCGCGCUCUUCCGUCGGACGACGCGCGACGGCGCGGCGGGCGCGUGGGUCGCUUCGGCGACGGUUUCGCGCGCGCGCGCGUGCGGCCGCGCGUCGGGAACUCGCGCGCGCGCCGGGGAAGGAAGGCGCGCGAAGGCUGAGGAAGGAGCGCGCGCGACGCGAGUCGCCCGGGACGGCACGGGAUCGGUCGAAACUACUGCGAAACUAGUCGUUGAAACCGAGACUGCGCCUCGCGGAUCGGACCAUUUUUUUCGGUUUGAAAACGAGAGGGGGCGUCGACGCGCGCGCGCCGUCACAAUCACGCUCGCGUUCACCGCUCCCCCACACACCACACAUCCACUCUCAUCAUGUCUGGCAAGGGCGCUAAGGGCCUCUCCGGCAAGGGCCUCUCCGGCAAGGGCGGCAAGGUCUCCUCCAAGGGCGACAAGAAGAAGCCCACCUCCCGCUCCGUGAAGGCUGGCCUGCAGUUCCCCGUCGGCCGCAUCCACCGCUUCCUCAAGGUGCGUCCUCCGGUCGCGCACGUUCGACGCGAUGGCGCGCGCGUUACGUCGUGAAAUCGCGAGGGAUAUCGCGCGGGGUGGUCGCGCAUCGAUUCGAGCACGCUCGCGCGUCGUCGCGAUCGCGCACGCGACCUCCGCGGCGCUAAUCCGGCGCGUCGGCGACGGCUCGGAUUAUCAGAUUUGAACCCGAGUGCCAACAAUCAAUUUUCGACGUCCCCGCGCUGACGUUCCCCCGCUUCCCCGUCACCGACAGAACCGCGCCGCCUCCGGCGGCCGCGUCGGCGCCACCGCCGCGGUUUACUCCGCCGCCAUCCUCGGUGCGUCGAUCGAACGGUCCCGAACGCGCCGUCGCGCGAACGGAAAAAUCAUCCGGCGUUCCUUUUUCCAAGACCGCGUCGUUGUAUUUUUUCCCCGCAUCCCCGCGCGGGCUCUGACGCGCGCUUCGCCUCCUCCUCCCACAGAAUACCUCACCGCCGAGGUCCUCGAGCUCGCGGGUAACGCGUCCAAGGAUCUCAAGGUUCGUACGCGCGCCCGAUGCCCACCUCGCGCGCGCGUCGUCGCCGCUUCUCCGAGCGAAGAUCGAGCCGUUUGCCGUCUGCGUCCUUUUUUUUGAAUUUUUUUUCCAACCGGACCCGCCCGCUGACGCGCGCGUCCCUCGUCGUCUCUCUCGCGUCACACACACAGGUGAAGCGCAUCACGCCCCGCCACCUCCAGCUCGCCAUCCGUGGUGAUGAGGAGCUCGACACCCUCAUCAAGGCGACGAUCGCCGGUGGUGGUGUGAUCCCGCACAUCCACAAGUCGCUGAUCAACAAGUCCUCCAAGAAGUCCGACUAAGCGCCCACGCGCUUCGUCGUUCGCUCUUGAACGAUCGAUGACGAUACCACACGAGCGCGACCCGAGGAAGGGCGCGACGCGCGGUCGACGAGCGAAUCCGUUCGUUCGUCGACCGCGCGUCGCGCUCUCUUCGGGCGCCCUGGGAUAGCGCGUAGAGACGACGGUCGCCCGCUGGGGGCGCGCGUCCGUCUCCGCGAGAAUGGGAGACUUUGAAAUGUAUGUUUGACGCCACGUAUAAAACGAUAUUCGCGUCGGCGACGUCUGGGGGACCGCGCUCGCUACUAGCUCGCAACGGUUUAUCGGGGGGGACCGUGCGUAGACGAUCUUGUAACGCCAACUUUGUCGUCGAUGCGAACGAAUCUCGUGGCCCUACUCCUACGUCUUCGUCUUCUCUCGCCUCUCGAUUCGCGUCUUCUAUUCUACGCGUCGCAGUCACAACUCGCGAGCGCGUUUUUUCGCGCUCCCCGACGAGCCCUUCCCCGCCCUCCGCUCCUGCACCUUCCUCUUCCUCGCCGCCGUCCUCUUCGCCGCCUUCGCGAUCCUCGCGCGCGCGGCCCUCUCCGGGUCCACCACCGCAUCGAGCGCCUUCGCCCUCCUCCUCGCGUCGCGUCGAGACGCGAUCCGCGCCCUCGUCGCCGCGUGCGCGCGCGAGAAGAGCUCGCCGCGCAUCGCGCCGCGCAAAACCUCAAGCGUCUCCUCGGCGAUCGCCCUGUGUUCCGGCGCGACGCCGACGACGGCGUCGUCCGCGCACAGCACCGACGGCAGCAGCAGCGGCGGCGCGAUCGUCGGGUGUCUAUCGAACCCUUCCUCGCCGAGCGACGCCGCGAGCGCGGCGGUCCACCGCAGCGCCGCGGCUCUGGACGCGCCGAUCCCGCCCGCGCCGACUUUGCCGACGCGGCGGAAGAGCCACGGCAGCGGCGGCUUGGCGUCGACGGCGUCGUCCUCGGUCGUCGUCGUCGUCUUCUUCUUCUUCUCUUUCGCGGCGGCGGUUUGGGCGGCGGCGUUUAGGUCGUUCUCGUCGUCCUCGUCGUCGUCCGCCUCCAAAGCCUCCUCGUCCUCCUCGUCGUUCUCGUCGUCGUUCUCCGCGAUCGGUCGGCGCGUCUGCAGCAGCACGACGGCGGCGAACGUCAGAUUUUUCACCGUCUGCUCCGCGAGCUUCUCGUCCACGUCCACCGCGCGCGCGCCGACGCCUUGCUCCAGCACCGCGACGCACGCGCGCGCGAUCGUCUCGAGGUUCACCGGGUACGCGUAUUCGGCGGCGUCGUCGGAAUGUGAACCGUCGCGCCGCCUCGCGAGCGCGGCGGCGAUCGCGGCGCCGUUGACGGCGAGGUACCGACCGAUCACGCGCGCGGCGGCGUGCUGCACCCACUGGUGACGAUGCGACAGCAACGCCUGCGACGCGCGCCACACCGAGUCUUCACUCGCGUCCUCGUCGCCGUCGUCGCAUUCGUCGCCCUCCAGCGCCUCCGGGCAGAGCGCGUGCGCCUUCUCUACGAGCAGCAACGCGCGGUAACACGUCUGCCAGUUCACCGCGACGUCGUCGUCGUCCUCCUCGCGGUGAGCCACCGCCGGGUCGUGCUCCGCCAGCGCGGAGACGAUCGAAUGACGCGCGGCGGCGACCGCGCGCGACGCGUGCGACGGCGACGCCGCGACCGCGAUCCCGAGCGUCUGCAUCGCCGCGCGUCUCAGGCGCUCUGCGUCGUCGCCCACCGCCGCGCCGCCGCCGCCGACGGCGCACCACCGCGUCGCGAGGUCGAGGAGCUUCUCCCCUACGCCGCCGCCCGCGGUGCGCUUCAACAGGACGCGCAGCGCCUCGCCCGCGGCGGCGCGACACUCCGCGUCUUCGUCCGCGCCGAGCCGCGCGACGAGGGGGACGAACAGGAAGACCGCGUUCGCGUCGACGACGUCUUUAGGGAACCGAGCGACGACGUCGCGCGCGCACCGCAACGCGUUGACGCGGCCGGCGGCGUGGACGUAUUCAAAGUUCGCCGCGAGCGACUCCAAGUGCGUUCGCAGGCGGCGCUCGCCGAGAGGGUAGUCCAGGAGGAACUGGACGAGCGCGCCCGCGCACGAACGCCGCGUUUCGUCCGCGUUCGCGCGCACGACGAGCCCGGACACGACGUUCAUCGUGUCGUAAAUUUCCGGCAAAAGCGGCCGACGCGCGAGCACCGCGCGCAUGAGCGAGAACACCGUCGAUCGCUGUUCCUCCCGGUGCGUCUCUUCCAAGUCCGAGAACGCGAAGCGCACGAUGAAGCGAAACUGCGCGUCCGUGGGCGUGAACGCGGCGUGGCGCUUCAGGAGGUUGUUCAAAAGUUUUAAACAAUCCUGCGACAGCUGCGCGUCCGCGCGAGGGCAGUCCUUCAGAAGCGCCAUGAUCCGACGCGCGAGCGCGCCCGUGCUGCUGUCGAACGUCGACAGCCGCAUCGUCGAGAGCUGCGCGAGGCAUCGCACCGCGAGCGGCGGGAUCGCCGCGUGCGGGGACGACAGCGCGCGCACCGCGAGAGGGACGAUGCCUCGGAGGAUUUUCUCUCUCUGCGGGCCCAGCGGGGACGCGAGCGUCGUCGGGGCGUCCUCGUUCGCGUCCUCCGCGUCUCUCCGCGGCUCGACGGCCGCGCCUUUCCCGCCGACGCCUUUUUCGCCUGUUCGUUGGUAAAGGGAGAGCGCGCGCGAGCGAGUCGGUGAGUCGGUGAGUCGGUGAGUCGUUUCGUCCGGCGAGGUGAAUCGAACGCGGUCGCCGCCGCCGCCGUCGUCGCCGUCGGUCGCUUCCCUUCCGGGGAGAGGUCAGAUUUAAAAAGCUCGUAUGUUGAUGUUGAUCCUCACUGGACAUCAGCAUUGGAUUUCGUAACAAUCAUCCCUCCUCUCCCUCGCGAAAAAAUCAGAGACCGCGCCGGGAGAACGCGGAGAGAGAGACAGAGAGACAGAGAGAGAGAGAGGAAGGCGAGGAGAAAAAUAAAUACGCGACACGCACCCGACAUCUUCCGGAGCAGCGCCCUUAGCAACCCGAGCGCGAACACGACGAGGAGGUCAAAGUUCGGAGGCACGUCCUCGUCGCUCCUCGCGAGCGCCGCGAGCGUCGUCGUCGUCGUCGUCUUCGUGCCCCCUCUCUCCGGCGCGUCGUCGUCUUCGUCGUCGUCGCCGUACUUCGCCCUCUUGUACCGAUCCCCCGCGUUCAAUCCCUUCUCCAUCGUCACCGUCGGAUCGCUCCCCGGCUCUGGGAGUCGGACGAGGUACCACCCUCGCUCCCACACCCUGUUCCCGAGCUCCUUCUCCCCCCUCGGCGCGGCGCCCAAGGUCAUCUCCUUCAGCGACGGAUCCGCGCUCGCCUCCGCCGCGCGCUCGUCGCGCGAGACGCCGUCGUUGAUCACCGAGUGACACAGCACGAGCGUCUCCUCGACGGAGGCGCGCGGAUUGCACAGCACGCCCUUUUGCACCGCCUGAAGCAUCGCCUCGAGCUUCCUCCGCACGCUCGGCGCGCUCGCCGCGGGAAGCCGCCUGGUGACGGGCGACAGGAGCUCCGGCAGCGCGCCGGGGCACGUCGCGUGCGUCGCCAACAGCGUCAGGGUUUCGUGCGCGCGGCUUCUCCGAGCUUCGCGGUACGCGCCACGAAUCGCCUCCACCUCUCGCUCCUAUGGAUACGAGCGAACGUCAUUGGGUGGAGUUGAAAGGCGUCAGAAGCGGAGUUGAAAGGCGUCGAGGUGUGUCGGGAUUGUGAGCGGGGGUUGAUGGGCGGAGAGAUGCGCCGGGAGAGAAAGUCCUUAAGGAUCGGCGUUCACCACGCCGACGCGGUCGUACGGGAACCAGUGUGAGAUUGAACGCGCCUCCGCCGCUCGCCCGAAGACGUCCUCGUCGAGCAACGGCAUGAUCGCCUCGAGCGCGUCCGUCGCGUCCUCCGGGUCCGCGCCGGGGACGCACGCGUCGACGAGCGCGUGGAGCGUCGCGCCGAGGACGUGCGUCAUGAACCCGCGGUCGAGCCUCGACGCGAGCAGCCGGACCAGCGUCGGGAGUUUGGCGCAGCCGAGGCCUUUCGACGACGGGACGACGACGGGGCGGCGGGAAGGGAUGCGAUUGGUCAGCUUUCGAUGACGUGUACGUUUCAUUGGACGAGAGCGACGGAGAGGGCGGGCGGGUGCCGAGGUGCCGGGUGACGAAAGAAAGUCCUCGAGGAACGGCGUGCACCGCGCGAACGCGGUCGUAUGGGGACCAGUCUCACCUUUCGCCGCGAGCGCGAGCGCGGCGCGCGCGGUGUCUCGCACGCCCUGCGCCCUGGACCGCAGACAGUUCGCGAUCUUCCCGAGCACGCGCGCGAUGUCCGCGUCGAGAUCGCGCGCGGGGAGGAGUCGAAGGAGCGAGACGAGCGCGGCGGACGCGGCCGGUCGCACGGUCCCGCCCUUCCCCUCGUUAUCCUCCACGACGACGAGAGACUCCAGCAUCGGGAGAAUAUCCUAUACAAGCGAACGUCGGGGUGGAGUUCAUAGGCGUCAGGUGGAGUUGAAAGGCGCCGAGGGCGGGGAUUGAAAGCGGGGGGUGGGCGGAGAGAUGCGCCGGGAAAAGUCCUUAAGGAUCGGCGUUCACCACGCGAACGCGGUCGUAUGGGGACCAGUGUAUAGAACGCACCAUUCGCAACGUCUCGACGACGACCCGCGAGACGCGCCGUCCGACGACGUUCGAGGCUUCCUCCUUCGCGUGACCGUCGGCGCGCGCGCGUUCGCGUUCGCCACCCUCCUCCUCCUCCUUCUCCUCGUCGUCGUCGUCGUCGUCCCACUCGUGGAAGUUCUCGAGCGUCGUCGCCGCCGCGCGGAUGUGCAACGCCUUGCUCCCCUCCACGUCCCACCCGCCUCGCGCCGCGCGUCCGCCGCCCGCUUUCCGCAGCGUCCACGUCAACAGGUCGCGGUAGCCGCGCCACGGGAGCGCGCCCGCGAGGCCGCCGAUCGCCGCCGCCGCGGUCGACGCGACGUCCGCGCCGGCGUCGCCGAGCGACGCCACCGCCAACGGCGCGAAGUAGCCGACGACGGUGUCUGGCGGCACGGACCCCGCGCGCGACGACAACGCUCUGAGCGCUUUACACCGCCGGUGCGCCUGCAGGUGCGCCAUGUUGAGGAAGAAGUCCUUCUCCGGGUCGUCGUCGUCCGCGAGUUUCGCGGCGCCGGGCGCGGCGGUAGGCCACGCGAUCGCGAGCCGUCGGAAGACGCCGACGGCCUCGCCUCGCGUGACCUUAUCGGGCGAGCGAAGUAAGCCGCGGACGCCGGGGGCGAGGACGCCGAUCACCGCCGCACCGAGCGACGCCUCGGAGGCGGCGGCGUGUUUCAGCGCCCUCGCGGCCGUCGCGUCGAGGCCGACGAUCGCGUCGUCGUCGUCGUCGUCGUCGUCGUCGGACUCGUCGUCGUCGGACUCGUCGCCGUCGGACCCGGACCCGUCUUUGCCCGUAACCUUCCGCCGCGCCUCCUCCUCCUCCUCGACGGCGGCGUCCAGGAACCGUUCCAGCGCCGCGGACGCCGCGUGCCUGAGCGCCAUGUCCGACCCCCUGAGCUCGUGCAGCAUGUGGUGCAAGAUGGGCACCACCGCCGCGGGCGGGCACGACGAAAACCAACGCGCGUCGAGCGUUUCGUACGCGCCGAGUCUCGCGUCGUAGUCGGCGCCGUCGACGGCGUUCUUGGCGUCGGCGUGGAGGUUUCUCAAUAUCGGCGCCGCGACGCUCGCGGCGACGUCGCGCGCGGCGACGGAGGUGAACGCGGCGACGAGCGCGCGGCGCGCGGUUCGAGUGCGCAGGCGACCGAACAGCGGCGCGAGCGCGGCGCGGUGGCGAUUCGCCGCCGCCGCCGCCGCCGCGUCGAAACGCGUUUCUUCGUCGUCGCGCCCGGAGGUUUUUUUAUCCGACGUCGACGAAUUCUUCUCCGCGGAUAGACGCGGCGCCGGAGGGACCACCGCGGCGAGCGCGUGCAGCACCUCCGCGAUCGCGCUCUCGUCAAGCUUACGCACGGAGAGCACCGGGACGAGCGUGUCCGCGAUCGCCGCGGACGCCGCCGCGCGCCCGAGCAGCGGGCCGAGACGUUUUAGGAGCGCGAGCUCUCGCCCCGCGGCGCCGCCGGCGGACGCGCUCGCCGCUCGCGCCGACGGAUAAGAGCUCCCCGCCCGUCGCCCUCCGCCGCGCAUAGAACGCGCCGCGAGCGCGCGACGCAGCGCGUCUAGGAGCGCGGGCGCGUGAUCGCGCAGCAGCGAGACGCUGACGUGCUCGGGCGGCGCGGGAUCGGGCUCGGCGACGCCGCGCGUCUCGCGGUCGUUCUUCGCGCGAUCCGCGUCGAAUCGCGCCGUCUCCGCUUGCUCAACGAGCGACUCCGCGACGGCGAUGGCCGCCGCGCGCGUCGCGUUCGACGCCGCCGGCGCGCCCAGCGCGCGCCACGCCUCCGAGAGCAGCGCGCCCGCGCGCUCUCCCCCGCCGCCGUCGGAGGUGAGGAGGACCGCGGUCCGCGCGUCGUCCGCGAGCGCGGCGAUCACCGCGAGCGCCGGCGGCGGCGACGCCGACGACGACUCGCUCGCGAGACGCGCCGCCAUGGGCGACACCGCGGCCAGCGCGGUGGGCCAGUACGUCGAGUAGUCGAACGACGGGUGACGCGCGAACGCCGCGGCGAGGAAGCGCACGGCGAGGACGCGGAUCUCUCGCGCGUCGCGGAGCGACGUGGACGCCGACGUGGACGUCGCGCGCCGCUUCGGCGGUUUCGCGUCGUCGUCGUCCACCUCCUCCUCCUCCUCCUCCUCCUCCGCGUCGAGCUCGGGCGCCUCGUCUCCUUCCUCCUCCUUUUCCUCUUCCGUCGCCGCCCCCGCCGCCGCGGCCGCCGCUCGCGCCGCCGCCGCGCGCUCGCACGUCUCCGACGCCUCUCGCAACAGCUCCAGCGCGAUCGCGAGCAGCGGAUCCAAAUACGUCUUCGCGUGCUCCCCAGCCGCGCUCAGGAGGUCGCCGGCGGCGCGCAGGAAACCCGCGGGUCGGCGGCUGCCGUCGCGCGCGAGCGCGCCGACGUUCGCGUCCGCGACGAGCGCGCGCCACCCCGCGCGGGAGACGGCGUCGCCCGCCGCGGUCGCGACGAGCGCGUCCUGCCACGGCGUCGACGCGGCCGGGAACAGAUCGAGAUCGAGAACGAGAUCGAGUUCGACGUCGGUCGAUGCCGGUCCCGGUCCCGCGUCCGGACGUCGUCGCGCCGCGACGGGCUCGAGCGGAGCGAUCACGGAAUACACGAGAGGGACGAUCUCCGCGGGGUCUAACCGCCCGAUCCACGCGAGCGCGGCCGCGCGCAGCGGCGCGUGUCUCCCGCUCCGUCGCUUUAAACGCGGGAGCAGGCACCUCACGACGAGCUUCGCGAACGCGGGACGGUGCUCUGGCGGCACCGCCGCCGCCGCCGCCGAGUCGUUCCCGCCCCCUCCGUCCUGAGGCUCGUCGAGCUUCAACGACGUGAGCUCGUCCUUCACGGUGUCCAAAGACGUCAACCUCACGAGCCGCGACGCCAAAUCCGGGGUGAGGUGCGGCAAGCGCCAGCUCGCGAGGCAUCUCACCGCGAGCGACGCGAGGUCCGGCUCAUCCGCGGAGACGGUCCGCUCGAGCACCGCGCGCGUCGCGUCGCCGACGCCGCGCUCCAACGCCUUCAGCGGCUUCCCGCCGUUCAGCGCGUCCAGCAGGAGCUUGAGCCACUCGCGCAGGCCCUGCCGCCACGCCUUCCCCGCGCGCGGCGUGCCGUCGGGUUUCGGCGCGUUGUACGCGAGGAAGAGACGCGCGAUCGGGAGCGGGUGCCGGCUCGCCGCCGACGGCGACGCCGCGACGCAGCGCAGGAGGAGCCCUAAUCGCGCCCACCGCUCGACGCCUUGCUCCACGGGCACCGUGUCGAGGGCCAUGCGUCUCUGAAGCGUCGCCGCGGCCUCGGUGGUGGCGUUCGAACCGGAACCGUCGCCGCCUUCGAAAUCGUCCCACGCCGCGCGCUUGCCGCCGCGUUCGCCGCCCGUUUUCGUUUUCGUUUUCUUCGCCUCAGCCGCUCGCGCCGCCGCGGCGUCGUGCGCGUCCAAACACCCGCGCAUGGUCUCCGUGAGGUCGCCGAACACCACCGUCCACGCCGCCGCGUGCGUCCGCGUCCGCGUCGUGAGCGCGGCCGUCAGCUUGAUCACCUCCGGCCACAGCGUCGCGAGGCGGACGUGCAACGCGCCGGCGGCGCAUUUCGUCAUCGCGACGGCGGCGACGGAAGAGAUUCCGUCGCCGUCGUCGCCGUCGUCGCCGUCGUCGCCGUCGCACACGCCCGCGUCGACCGCGCGCGUCAUCGCCGCCACGGAGACUUGCGAGCGCUUCGCGUACUCCAUCACGUUCCCGCCCUUGGCGCUCACGUCGUGCGCGUCGCGCGCGUUGAUCUCGAGCCAGCGUCUCAACAUCUGAGACACGCUCGACGGCGCGUCGUUCACGGAACGCGCGUCGUCGUCGUCGUCGUCGUCGCCGCCGCCGCCGCCGCUCCCGCCGCCGCCGCUUCCUGCCGCGUACCGCGAGAUCGCGGAGAGGUACCGCAGCGUCGCCACGCGCAGGUGCCGCGACGGCGCGUCGAGCGUGGCGGAGUGCGCGCGCGUCGUCGCGAGCGCGCUCACGGGAAGAGGAGAUUCGUCGCCGUCGCCGUCGCCGUCGCGCGCCGCGUCGAGAAGCUCGGCGGCGGCGUCGAGGACGCCGGGGCACGUCAUCGCCGCGGACGCCGCGCGCACGGCGAGCGCGGCGUCGCGAGGGAACGCGUCUUCUUCUUCCUGCGUCACGGCGCUCGCGGUCGCGCGAAAACGCGCGGCUCUGGCGCGCAUCGCCGCCGCGAGCACCGCCGCCGCGUCGUCCUUCCCACCCGCGGCGUACGCGUUUUGCGGCGCGUUCCCGUCCCCGCGCCCGUCCUCCGCGUCGUCGUCGUCGCGCUCGAGGACGUCCAGCGACCACGUCAGCGCGUCGUUCGUCGCCGCGCGCGUCUCCGCCGCGUCCGCACAGUGACGCAGCACGCGCAGGAGCGCCCACCGUCGCCGCGCGGGAACGGCGGCGUGCUCCGCGCCGCCGCCGCCGCCGCCGCCGCCGCGGCUUCGCGCUCUUACCUCCGCCGCGGCGUCGGGCGCGGCGUCCCUGAUCAUCGCCGCGUCGUCGUCGCCGUAAGCCUCGCGCAGGACGUCGCACACGUCCCCGAGGAGCGCGGCGGCGGCGUCGGCGUCCACGAGCUCUUCCUCGGACGCGAAAUCGUUCGCGUCCGAAGACGCGGCGUUCGUCAACCGCCUUCGCGAAUCAAAAUCAUCCCAGCCGGCGUUGAGCGUCUUCGUCAGCGCCGGCGCCGCCGCGGGGAGCAGCGCGUACAACGCCGCCGCCGCCGCGGGCUCGCCGUCCAUCGCCCUCGCUCGCAGCGCGCCUAAGAAAUGGAACGUCGCGCGAUUCGGCGCCUUGCUCACCGCGCUUCCCCAGCGUCCCGCCGCCGCGCCCACCGCGCUCGGGCCUCGACUCGCGCCGGCGAUUUUAUUAUGCGCGUCGACGAGCGCCAGGCACACGCGGUGGACGCCCUCGGCGAGCGCUUGCCACGUGGACGCCGACGUGGACGCCGACGUGGACGCGCGCUUCGAAGCGCGCUCGAGCGCGGGGAGCGCGGACGUCGUCAGCAGCGCGAAGAUGGGGUCGUAGUCCUCGACCCUCGCGCCGCGGUACGCCUCGACGGCGGCGGCGACGACGCUCAGACUCCUCGCCGCGCGCGUCGUCGUCGCCGCGGCGUCCUCUUCUUCUUCUUCUUCUUCGUCGUCUUCUUCUUCUUCGUCGUCGUCGUCGGAGCUCUCGUCGCCGGAGGCGUCGUCGCCGUCCUCUCCCUUCGCCUUGACCGCCGCGCACGCCCGCCUCGCCGCUCUCAACGCGCGCGACCACAUCGCCGCGCACUUCCCGCGUCUCGUGUGCUUCGCCAACGCGUCGAUCGUCUUCUCCGCGACGUCGUACGCUCUCGAUAACGCCACGUCAGCGUCGGUUUCGCCGUCUCUGCGCAGGACGCGCGCGGACGGACGAAGGACGCGUCGAAGCACGCGCGGCGCCCUGGAGUGCAGCCCGUGCGCGGCGCCUUUCAUGCUCUCCGCGAGCAGAUGCCCGGCGGCGUCGACGUUGUUUUCGAUUUCCUUCGCCGUGACGUCCCGCCGCGUCGUCGUCGUCGUCGUCUUCAUCGUCUUCGUCGUCUUCGUCGCCACGUCACCAUCCAUGUCAUCACCCUCCUCGGCACCCUCCUCGGCACCCUCCUCGACGUCGACGUCCACGUCGACCAAAACCUCCGCCGACGACGACGUCGCCUCGUCCAGAAGCGCGUCCACCCCGCGUCGACACGCCGCGUCGGGCGCGGCGCGAAACAAAAACGCAGUCGCCUACGAGCGAACGUCGGGGUGGAGUUGAAAGGCGUCAGAAGCGGAGUUGAAAGGUUCCGAGGGCGGGGAUUGAAACCGUGGGACCCUGGGCGGAGAGACACGCCGAGAAAAGUCCUUAAUAAUCGGCGUUCACCACGCGAACGGGGUCGUAUGGGGACCAGUGUGAAGGAGAACGCGCCUGCGCGGCGAACAGCCGCACGUGCGCGCUCCUGUGCCGCCGCAACUGCCGCGUGAGGUCCAACGCCCUCGGCAAGUCCGUCGCGAGCUGUCGCUGCAUCCACUUCAAGAUCUUCGCGAGGCACGCGAAGACGUGCUCUAGGAGCUCCGGCUCUCGCUCGAUGCCCGUGCGGCACAGCCGGGCGAGUCGAUUCGUAACCGCGGAGAGAUGCGGAAUGAAAUCCGAGCGGAGGUCGCGCGCCAGCGCGGCCAAGCACGCGAGCAGCGCCUCCAGCGAGUGCUUCGCCUCGUGCGUGAGCCUGCUCAGCAACUUCUCGACGACCUCGUCCUGGUGCAGCACGAGCAUCGCGAGCGAGUGCGCGCGCGGGGAGGCCUCCGCGGAGAAGGCUGAGAAAUCCGCGCCGCAGCAGAGCUCCGCCCACUGCGCGAGCGCCUCCUGGAAGAAGCACGAGCUCCCGUGCAGCGGCGCCGCGCGCAGCUCCCCCGCGGCUCUGUGGACGUCGACGUCCACCUCCGCGACCCUGCGCGCGAAGUUUUUGAACGCGAACGCGCGCUGCUUGGGCGGUUUGCGUCCGAGCGCCGCGCGCGCGUCGUCGUCGUCGGACGACGACGACGCGUCGCCAUCGAAAUCGCCGUCGUCGCCGCCGCCGCGCUUCCGCGCCUCGCUCGCGAAGUUUCCAAACUUCGCGGCGACGAACUUGGCGUCGUCCUUGCGCGCUUGCUUCUUGCUCGUCUUCAGGUCCGGGUCCGCGAACCCCCUGCGGCGCUUGUUCGUCACCUGCUUCGCCGCCUUGCCCUUCUUCGCGCCUCCACCAGACUUUGGCGGCAUCGCGGACGCCGACGCCGACGCCGCCGAGACGCGCGCGCGCGCGUCCGGGGACGCCUCCGACGCCGCUUCCGCGCCGCGCGAUCGACCGGUGCGCGCCGCUCGGUCUGCGCGUCGCCCCUCGGCCCUCGCGCGGUCGUCGAUUGGCGCCGCCGCACGACUGAGCAACAACGAGAGCGGAGUCGGCGCCGGCGCCGGCGCCGCGCCGGCGGCGUGAUGAUCCGGUCGGUCGGCCUCGCUGCGCUCCGGCAGUGCUCGGACGAGACGACUGACUCCCGCCGCCGCCGCGAUCGACCUCUUUCCGCGGCGCCUCGCACGCGCAGGCCGGCCGCGACGCGAUACCACCGAACUAAGGGCCCGCCAUGGUGCGUCGACGAUCCCUCCCGCGCGGUCGCGAUCGGCGCGCUACGUCUCGCGGCGCGCCGAUCGCGCCGCGGACGCUCGCGCCCAAACCCUACGACGAUCGAUCGACGAUAAUAAUCUGUGUCUGUCUCUCGCGCCGCGUCGCCGGCGCGAGUGGCGUCGCUCGACGGCGGCCGUUCGCGGGUCCCUCCCACCCCGCGCGAACGAUUCGCUGACCCUCCCUCCCUCCCGUCCCUUCCUCUCAACCCUAAACGCUUCAGGCGUCCAAGUUCUGGGGCGGCGACAGCUCCGAUAGCGGAUCGGACAGCGGAUCGGAGUCCUCCUCCUCCUCGUCAAACGGGUCCGGGUCCUCGUCCUCCGGGUCCUCGUCCUCCGGGUCGUCCUCGUCCUCGGAGUCGGACGCGGGGCCGUCCAAGUACCUCCAGGCCGGGUCCUCGGACUCCUCCUCCGAUGAGGGCGUCCGCGUCGUGCGAAGCGCCAAGGACAAGCGCUUCAUCGAGGCGCGCGCCAUCGCGGACGAGAUGCGAAACAAGAUCAAAAACAACGACUGGAUCUCGCUGCAGACGCUGUUCGACAAACUGAACAAGCAGCUCGAGAGGGUCAUGCGCUUGCAAAACGAGGUCGGCGGCGGCGUCCCGAAGUUCUACUACCGCGCGCUCGCGACGUUGGAGGACGCGAUCGAGGCGACGUUCGCAAACAAGCCCGCGAUCAAGAAGAUGUCCUCCACCAACGCCAAGGCAUUCAACGCGAUGCGGCAACGCUUGAAGAAACACCAGCGCGACGACCCCACCGUGGAGGCGGGGAUCCGAGCCGCGCACGAGAAGAUGGAGUCCACGGACGAGGACGAGAGCGAGCCGGAGAGCGACUCGGACUCGGACGCGGAUGACGACGACGACGAGAAGGAGAAUAAGCAAUCCGCCGACGCCGACGACGGCUUCGAGACGGUCGGGAAGGGCGGGAAGACCAAGGGCAAGGGCGCGGCGGCGGCCGCGGCGGCGCAGCCGCCGAAGGAGCUCGACGUCAUGACCGCGCCGAAGGAGAAGAUCACGUACGAGAUGGUGGACAAGAAGCUCAAGGACAUCAUCGCCAGCCGCGGGAAGAAGGGGACGGAUCGUCACGAAAACGCGGAAAACCUCGCCUACCUGGCCACCGUCUCCACGUGCGCGUCGCAGGAGAUCGAGUCGCUCAUCAUGCUCAUCAGCGCGCAGUUCGACAUCUCCGGGAGCAUGUCCGCGCACAUGCCGAUCCCGAUCUGGAAGCGGUGCGUGAACAACCUCCUCAGGAUCGACAAGCUCCUCUCGGAGAAUAAACAGAUCACGCUCACGGAGGACGUCGAGCCCCAGCCCAAGCCUCCGCCGGAGGACAUCGUCGCGGGCGCGCCCGUGCAGCUCUGGGGGUCUCUGUGCGCGUUCACCGAGCGUCUGGACGACGAGUACUUCAAGUCGAUGCAGUCGAUCGAUCCGCACAGCAAGGAGUACCUGUUCAGGAUGCAAGACGAGUCGCUCUUCAUCGUCCUCUGCGCCGCCGUCGUGCGGUACUACGAGAACCGCGACGACGCGACGGAGAUUCACUGCAAGCUGUCGCUUCGUCUGCUCGAGCACCUGUACUACAAGCCCGAGCCCGUGUACGAGGCGCUGAGGAAGUUCGCGACCGCGAAGCUCGAAGACGCGGACGCGCUCGAGGCGAAGCUCGCCGCGGACGCCGUCGCCGCGGCGGCGGCGGCCAAGGCGAAGGAGGAGGCGAAGAGGAUCCGCGAUAAGCAGGCGGAGGAGGAGGACGAGGAGUACCUCGACGACGAGGACGCGGACCAGGCGGAGGCGAAGGAGGCGCAGGAGAUUCCGUACCCCGCCGGGUUCAGGUUCCCCGCGCCGUCGCUUCCGGAGACGCUCAAGAAGCUGUCGCUGACUAUUUACAAAGACGGCGACACGCGAAGCAAAGCGCGCGCGAUGCUGUGCGAGAUUUUUCAGAAGGGCCUCGUCGGCGACUUCCGCGCCGGCCGAGACCUCAUGCUCAUGUCGCACCUGCAAGAGAACAUCUCGCACAUGGACAUCUCGACGCAGAUCUUGUUCAACCGCGCGAUGGCGCAGCUCGGCCUCGCCGCGUUCCGCGGCGGGUUAUUCGCCGAGGCGCAGUCGUGCCUCGGCGAGAUGUACCAAGGCGGCCGCGUCCGCGAGCUCCUCGCGCAGGGCGUCACGCAGUCCCGCUUCCACGAGCGCUCCAUCGAGCAAGAGAAGCUCGAACGCCGUCGUCAGAUGCCGUUCCACAUGCACAUCAACCUCGAGCUCUUGGAGUCGGUGCACCUCGUGACGUCCACGCUCGCGGAGGUGCCGUACAUGACGCAAACGUCCACGCGGCGGGCGCGGUCGACGAAUAAGCCGUUCACGCGAAUCUGCGAUAACUACGAGCGGCAGACGUUCAACGGCCCGCCGGAGAACGUUCGGGAUAACGUCAUGGCCGCGGUCAGGUUCCUGCUCGACGGGCGGUGGUCGCACGCGAAGGAUAUCAUCCUCGGGUUGGAGGCGUGGAAGCUCCUUCCCGGCGACGCCGCGCCCGUGCUCGAAAAGGUUGUUAACCGCCUCAAGGAGGAGGCGAUGCGAACGUACCUGUUCCAGUUCGCGGCGCAGUACAACUCCGUGUCCAUGGACGUCAUCGGCAAUAUGUUCGACCUCGACCAGAAGUCCGCGCACUCCAUCGUGAGCCGAAUGAUCAUCAACGAGGAGCUGCGGGGGAUGUGCGACGCGGUGACCAACUCCGUCGUGAUGUCGCACGCGGAGCCCACCCGUCUUCAGUCGCUCGCGAUGACGUUCGCGGAGAAGUGCGCGGUGCUACUCGACGCGAACGAGCGCGCGCUCGAGCUGCACGUCGGCACCGGCGGCGCGCAGCUGUUCGAUUACGACGACGACGGCGGCGGCGACGGCGGGCGACGCGGCGGUCGCGGCGGCCGCGGCGGGAGAGGCGGCCGCGGCGCGGGCGGGGAGUGGGAAGACGACGGCGGCGGCGGUCGCGGCGGGCGGGGCCGCGGCGGAAGAGGCGGGAGAGGCGGUGGUCGCGGGAGAGGCGACCGCGACGGCCGCGACGGCGGCGGGCGGCGCCGGCAGGAGAGCUACUCGAACUUCUCCACGCGACGGGGCGCGGAGGGCGACUUCGCGAAGCGCGGCGGCGGGAAGUUUAAGAAGGAUCCGAAGGAGGACCAACGCGAUCCCACGGAGCGGAUGGUCUCCCUCAAGGCUGGGAACUGGAGGCGCUGACCUGACGACGAGUGCGAGUUCUCGCCGCCGCUUAGAAGAGUACGCUAGUACGCUGAUACUACAAAAAAAUACACGUUACCCCUACGACGAACGCUACCAAACGAAACGGGUCGACGCGGGACGUUACCGAGACGACCUAUCUCGUCACCUAUCUCGUCGCCUACGACGCCUCCGGCUCGCCCUCCGCGGCGGUCGCCGUCGCCGUCAUCAUCCCGUCGAGAAACCCGCGCUGAAUCUCCGCGUUGCUCUUCUCCAUGUUUUGCAUCACCAACCCGCGGCAUAUGUCCCACUCGAAAUCCCCGCCCGCGUACGCGGUCCUCACGUCCAUGACCCGCCGCGCGAUCGAGGGGUCCGCCGCGGUGAGCUUCUCUAAAAACGCGUCGCCGUCCUUCACCGGGUUGGCCUCGAGAAAAUCGAGCAGGAACGCGUGCACGUUCGUCACCCGCGCCGCCUCUCUCGUGCCCUCGUUCGAGUCCGCGUCGUCGACGCCGUCCGCGCCGUUGCUCGUGCUGAUCUUCGGCGCCGCGGUCUCGGUCUGGUCGAUCACGAUCCACGUCGCGACGUAGGUGAACAGCGCGGUCAGGAGUCGCGAUGCCUUCUUCUCGGGCGUCUCGCCCCCGAACGCGCCCGCGGGGACGAACAUCUUCGGGUCGUCGCUGAACGACGCGCGGGAUGGCGGCGCGUGGGCACGCGCGCGGGGGCGGCGGCGGUCGCGGCGCGUCGGGACGGAGAUGGAGGGCGCGAACGACGACGCGCGGAGGAGGGACGCCAUGCUGCCGCGCGGCGUGGAAUAACACUGAAGUUUUUUUUCUCCACGGCGGACUUUUUCCAGACUUUUUCGAACAGGCGGGAAGAAGCCACGACGGCGGCGGGGCGCGCCACUUCCCGAGCGCGCGCGACGACGAGCGCGCCUCGAUCGCGUCGGAUCGCACCGCGCGGACUCUACAUCGCGCGCGACGGCGAACCCGCGCGGCGUCAUGACGGACGCGAACCAGCUCCCGUUCGAAGGCUUGGGGCGAAGGCUUGGAUCCAAGGCUUGGGGCGAAGGCUUGGGUCUCCUAGGGCGGCUCCCGUUCGAAGUCCUCGCGAACGGCGUCUUCGCGACGCUGGACGACACCGAGGUCGCGGUGUUCGCGCGGACGAGCGGCGGGUGUUUGAAUCUCGCGAAGCGCGCCCGGCGCAGGCUCAGGCUCAGGUACAUGAACAAGGAGAACUUCGUUCACUCCGUCGAGAGGCUGCGGUGGGCGAAAGAGUCCCUCGGGCUGGAGUGGGACGAGCACUUAACCAGCCUCGCCGCGGGAAGCGGAAAUCUCGAGGUCUUGCAGUGGGCAUGGGAGAACAGUUGUCCUAUCUGCGCGGGAGCUACAUCCAACGCCGCCGGGCAAGGCCGUCUCGAAGUCUUGAAGUGGCUACGGACAGCGAAGACGCACCCGGGGGCGCUCACGAAUACGAACGACGGGAAGUGUCCUUGGAGCGCUAGAUCCUGCGCCUUAUCUGCUGAGGGCGGGCACUUCGAGGUGUUGAAAUGGCUGCGUGCGAAUGGAUGUCCGUGGGACGCUUCGACGUGCAGCGGUUCGGCGAAAGCGGGCUCCCUAGACAUGUUGCAGUGGGCGCGGGAACACGGUUGCGAAUGGAGUGCGCGAACCGUAAACGACGCCAUCAGCGGAAAGAGUGUCGAAGUUUUAAAAUGGGCGGUGUUGAACGGCUGCCCUUGGGAUGACAGUUCGUGCCAGAUGAUUGCAGAGUUGUCGAGCGGUGGUAUCGAAAUGAUGACGUGGGCGCGCGAACACGGGUGUCCGUGGGGUAGAAUCGAUAUCUGGGGCGCAACCGAAAGAGCCGCUUGCCGCCGGGAUAUCGAAAUGUUGACGUGGCUUCGCGAGCGUGGGUGCCCGUGGAGUCGUGAUACUUUCGGAGGGGUUUCGUCGAAGUGGCAUCCGAAUCCGAAAGACAUAGUCAUCGUGGAUGGAACAACAAAAAUCGAGAUGUUUGAAUAUUUACGCGCAAACGGAUGCCCUUGGACUGCGAAUGCUGCCAAGCACGCUGCCGAAAUCGACGACUUUGAAGCUUUGAAGUGGUUCCACAACGCGGGGUAUCCUUUCUCUUUUUGGGCUUGCACGGCGGCAGCCGGGCGAGGUAAUCUUGAGGUGCUCAGAUGGUUACACGAGCACGGUAAACCGUGGAACUGGACGUGCUGCGCUUUCGCAGCAGGAUGCUCAUCAUUAGAAGUCUCCGAGGACGAACGCAUCGAGGUUCUGAAAUACGCACUCGACAACGGCGCAGUCUUUAACUACAGAGCAUGUUCUCACGCCGCGUAUCACGGGAACCUAGAGGUGUUGAAGUUCUUACGAUCGCGUGGGUGCGAUUGGAACGAGGAUACGUGUGCGUACGCCACACAUCAGUGUAACUUACACGUGUUGAAGUGGGCACGAGAACACGGAUGCCCGUGGGAUCACAGGAUUCUUCACUACGCCGUGGACAGUUUGAGAACCGAAAACAAACGGGAGUUGCUCGCGUGGGUACUGACGAACGGGUGCAUCCUGGCAAAUUUAGGAGAAAGCAGAAUCUACUACGAAGUGAUAGAAGAAGAUAGCGACUUUGGAUAUCUCGACAGCGAAGAGGAGUACGACAUUUCCAGCGACGAAGACAGCGAUGACGACAGCGAUGACGACAACUCGCUCGACUUUGAUCUAUUCGAUUAGACCAAAGCGUUCGACGACGACGUGACGAAUGACGAUUUCAUUUCAUCUACUACGAAACCUCAACAUCACGCCCCCGCCUGCAUCGGCGGCGGUGCCGCGCACACGUAAUCCAACAAGAACACGCUCGCCUCCGCGGUCGCGGCCAAGUCCUCGUGCAUCGCCGCGAACGCCUUCGACAACCUCCUCAGCGCCGGCAACAACUGCUCGCUCCCCCCCCCUCCCCCGCCGCCGCCGCCCGCGCCCACCAGCGCCCCCACCAUCCCCCCGUGCGCGGCCGCGUGGAUCGCCCGCCCGUGCGCGACGCACAGCUCCCUCGCCCACCGCAGCAUCAGCUGCGCGUGCGGCCCUCGCGUCGCCCUCGCCGCGAUCGACUCGAUCAGCGGCGAAAGCAACGCGGGUGGAAAAUCCCGAAGCGCGCCGGCGACGGCGUCCGGCGGAGUCUUCUCCAGCACCUCCCGGACGAGCGCCUCGUCCUCCUCCGCGCCUCUCAGACGCAGCGCCAUGAGCAGCGCGACGCGCGCGUCGCCGUGUCUCAGCGCGCGGCGCGCGGCGGCGGGGGUCACGUCCUCGCCGAGGUCGGUCGGAUCGAACGCGGCGCCCGCGUCCUUGGCGAAGACCAUCACGCCCUCCGUCGUGGACGCGGCCCAUCCUUGGCCGGUGGGCGCGAACGCGACGUGCUUGCAUCGGAUCGUCUUGCGCUUCUUCUUGCCGUUGUUCGCGUUGGAGGAUCCCGCGGCGUGGGCGCGCGCGCCGGGGAUGUCGUUCGCGUCGUCGUCGUCGUCGUCGUCGUCGUCGUCGUCGGGUAACAGGUCCAGCGGCCCGGCGUCCGUGACUCUGCUCGAGUCCAACCGCUCGAUCGUCCCGUCCAUGGCUUUGCUCUUCGACAGCGAAAACUUCCUCAGCAGCGACGUCCCCUCGACGUCGUACAUGCACACGCUCUUGCCGUUCCCUCCCGCCAUGAGCAGCGCGCCGUCGGCGCUGUACGCGAGCGUCUUGAACGCGCGGCCGGCGUUUACGUUGGCGCCCGAGCGCAAGUCGCCGAUUGUCUUUCCGCCCGCCAUGUCUCUCCUGCCCUCGAUCGUGCCCUCCAACCGCGCGUCGUCCGGUUUCCACAGAAAGAUCUGCCCGUCCAGCGUCGCGGCCGCGAGCUGCUUGCCGUCGGGGCGGAACGCGACGGCGAGGACGUCGUGCGCGUGCUGGAGAACGUCCGUCUGACCUCGGCCGUCGUAGACGUCCCAGAGCCUGACUGUCUUGUCCCAGGACCCGGACGCGAGGAGCGGGCUCUCGGGGGAGAAGCACAGCGCGUUCACGGGGCCUUGGUGCCCGGCGAAGAUGUCCAGGAGCCGACCGGUCUUGAGCGACCAGAUGUGGAUCUGGAACGUGUCCAAGGAACCUGCGACGAGAGUACAGAGAGGAGGGGGCGCGGGGUCAGCGAGCGAAGCGGAAGCGGAGGGGGGGAAGGGGAAUGCGGGGCGUUCGCGUCCUGGCCGCCGCCGCCGCCGCCGCCGCGGAUGGAGAUCAGAUUUAAAAAGCUCGUAUGUUGAUUUUGAUCCUCACUGGACAUCAGCAUUGGAUUUCGUAACAAUCAUCCUGUCCCAUCCGCGCGCGGCGACGCGUCGAGUCCGAGUCGAGGAAACGAAAAACGAAAACGAAACCGAGAGAAAAGAUCCAACGAAGAAAAGUCUCGGGCGCGUUUCGCGCGCGCGCACCCGCGCACACGAUCUCCCCCGAGGGAUCCACGGCCAGCGAGACGAACUGGCACGGGUCCGGCGACGUCAGCGUCUUGAAGUUCCGGUACCGCAUCAGGUCGAACGCGCGCACGGUCCCGUCCAUCGACGCCGAGAGCACCGCGUGCCCCGACGGCAAAAAACACACCGCGCCCACCGGCCCCGAGUGCUCGUCGAACGUCACGAAACAGCUCCCCGUGGCCGCGGACCACACCUUCACGGUGUUGUCGUCCGACGCCGUCGCGAUCAACGCGCCGUCGGGGGAGUACGCGCACGCGUUCACGUCGUAGUAGUGCCCCUGCUGCUUGUACACGUACGUCUCCGACUGCCACUCCCAGACGAGCAGUUGUCCCAACUUGGCGCAGCCGAGCGCGAUCCACUCCCCGGUCUCGUUCCACUCGCACGACGUCACCUUCUGCGUGGAUAUGGAGAGCGUCUGGAGGUGGUUGAACUCGCCGGUCGCGAGCCUGUGGAGCGUGAAGACGCCGUGCGCGAACCCGGCGCACAGCAUCCCGCUCCUCGCGUGGUACCGCGCGCAAGAGAGCUUAUUCGGCAUGUGGAAAAAAUGUUUUCCGCGGAGACGCCACCGCCGCCCUUUCGGUUUCUUCUUCUUCGCCGCCGCCGCCGCUUCGCCUUUCUUCCUUCGCUUACUCUUAUUACUACCGUUCGCAUCGUCUUCGUCUUCGUCUUCGUCGUCCAGCAGCUGCCACUCGAACAGAGCGCCGUCCUCGGAUAUCGUGUAGCACGAGAACCCGUCGAGUUGCGCGCAGAACGCGACGGCCACCAGCGGCUCGCGGUGGCCGCUCAGCGUCGGCGGCGCGUACCCGUCGAGAUGAUUCGCGCUGUAUAUCCUCGCCGUGAGGUCCUUCCCGCCAACGAUGAUCCACUGGCUGUCGCCGGACCACGCGAGGCACGUCGCGUCGUCGUACAUGCCGCCGUACGUGCGAAGGAGACGGAACGGCGCGAACUCUUUGAGCAUCGUCGGCGUCGCCCAGAUCUGGACGAGCUUUCCGACGAGGACGGCGAAGGAUUUGCCGCACGGGGAGAACUCGCACGCGGUGACUUUGCCCUUGAAGUUCAUGUGGUGCAGCGUGACGCGUUUUCUGCGACGACCGACCGACGAGAGGCGUGGGAGGUGAGAGACUGGACGGUUGGAGGAAUUCGAUGCGAACGACGACGCGAACGAACGAACGACGCGAACGAGACGUCCUUCCUCCCCGCCGCGCGAUGCCUCGUCAAGUCGUCGUCCUCAACGACUCGCGUCGAUCAGUUCUCAACAUCGAAUUAACUUUUAUUGCUUUUCGUCAUCGGCAUCGCGGCGCGGGGACGCGGGAGCGGCGGCGCAUCCGAACGAGGGAUGGGAAAUCGCGUCGUCGCGCGAGCGCGCAAUGAGUGACGGGCGAGGACGCACCGAACGUUCACGAGGAUCGCGCGCCCGUCCGUGUCGAACGACAGCAUAUGAUGCCCCGACGGCGACACCGCGACGCAUCUGAUCUCCGUCAAGUUCUCGCACGGCAGCGUCGUGGACGACGACAGCUGUAGGUCCACCUCGGAGACGCGGUUCCCGACGCUGCUGAUGAGAUGGUGCCCGCGCAGGCACAGGUUCCCGCCGCGGUACGGCGCGCCGAGAAGGUUAUUGAAUCGAUAGUGCGCCAUCGCGUCGACGCGCGCGCCCGCCGCGGUCGGGUGUGAUGCGCGGUUCGCGGCGCCCUGCCCCGCGCGCGUCGCUGUGGACGUCGGGGCGGCGGCGAGCGACGAACAGAAGUCAGAAUAAUCUCGUCAGCCGCCGCCGCCGCCGACUCCGAAACUCAACGACGGCGCGCGUCGCGCCGCGGUUUCGCUCGUCGCGCGCCAUUCCGCGGGACGCCGCGCGCGCGAAAGCAGGUCGCCCGCGCGCCGCGUCGAGAGCGAUGGCGAAGGCCGCGGCGGCGACGGCGCGCGGGAGCAAGCGACGCGCGGCGUCGGACGCGGACGCGACGCCGUCGUCGGGGAAGAAGGCGAAGAAGAAUGCGAAGAAAUCGAAAUCGAGCGCGAAGAAGCGAUCCGACGGCGACGCGCACGGGUGGCGCCCGCUCCCCGUCCGCCUCGACUUCGGCAGCGCGUUCACGCGCCACCUCUUCGUGCGCGUCCCGUCCGCGAACGCCGCGGAGGGCGCCACGGAGGGCACCGCGCUGUUCGUCGCGGCGAUCCCCCUCGGAUGGACGCGCGCGCAUCUCCGAGAGCUCUUCGAGGAAAACUUUGGCGCGGUCGAGGAGACGUCGCUCGUGACCUUGGACGCCGCGCCCGACGUCGCGGGCGGCCUGGUGCGCUUCGCGUCCGCGAGCGGCGCGAAGAAGGCGCUCGCGGCGAGCGUCCGCGGGGGCGACGCGCUCGACCCGCCCGCGUCGCUGGCGCCGACGUCGAUCGGCCUGGAGAAGUGGGUCGGACAUCAUCGACACGCGCGGCCGGGGAGCGAGGUGCGUUCUAUACACUGGUCCCCAUACGACCGCGUUCGCGUGGUGAACGCCAUUCCUUAAGGACUUUGCCCGGCGUCUCUCUCCGCCCACCCCACGGUUUCAAUACCCGCCCUCGGCGUCUUUCAACUUCAACUGACGCCUUUCAACUCCACCCCAACGUUCGCUCGUAUGGAACGACCCUGAGGCGUUGGGGAGACGGAUAGACGAGUGGUUCGAGGCGUUCGAGGCGGAGGAGGCGAGGAAGGAGGCCGCGGCGAAGGCUGCCGGGGAGGGAGACGACGGGUGGACCGUCGUGGAGGCGAAGCGAGGAAGGAGGAAGACGACGGAUGAUGAGGGCACCGCGGUGGGCGGGAUCCGAGCGGCGACCGCGGACGCGAGGCGAACGGCGGGGCCGACGCCGAGGGAGAACUUCUACCGGUUUCAACAGCGCGAGAAGCGCCGAGGCGAGCUGUUCGAGCUGAAGCAGAAGUUCGAGGUGGACAAGGAGAGGGUCGCGAAGCUCAAGGCGAGCCGCAAGUUCAGGCCGUUGUGACGCGGCGCGAUCUCGCGGGCGUUGGCGCGCGCGACAGCUGUGUGACCAGACUCCUUUAAUCACGAUAAAAGAAUUCUCGACGAUCCUUCGAUCACAUCGCGACCUGCUCGUCCUGCUCGCGCUCCAAGAUGUCCAGCUCCCCCCGCGUCACCUCCAUCUUCCGCUCCAAAACCUUCAGCGCGUUCACGACGAUCUCCUCCGGUCGCAGCGCGCCCGUGGACUCCACCGUGAAGUGAAACGCGUCCUCCUUGGCGCGGAUGUCCACCAGUCCCGGCUUCCCGAGUUCCUCCGCCUUCUUCAGACACUCGCCGUCGUACCCGUACUGAGGGUCGAGCGAACGUCGGGGUGGGUGGAGUUGAAAGGCGUCAGAAGCGGAGUUGAAAGGCGUCGCGGCGUGUCGGGAGGGAUUGAAAGCGAGGGACCCUGGGCGGAGAGAAACGACGGGCAAAGUCCUUCAGCAGAAACGGCGCGCGCGACGCGAACGCGGUCGUAUGGGGACCGGUGCGGUAACAGAACGCGCCUGAUCCGGCGCGUCGACGACGACGCGCCUCGUCGCCUCGUCGUAGCGGAACAACGCCGUCGGCGACGACUCCACGAACGCCAUCUUCUCCUCCUCCGUGAGCGUCGCCAUCAGCUCCUCGUUGAUGGUGAUCUCGGGCUCGAACCGAUACGUCGCCGUCGCGACGGGCUGCCACUUCGCGUGGUCUCGCCCCACGCCUUUCCUUGCCACGCACCGCAUGUUGAUCUGCUGCCCUCUCCGCAACUUCACGAUCACGACGCCGGGGAUGUCCGGUCCGUCGUCGGGACCGCGCGCCGCCGCCUGCGCUUCGAACUCCAUCGCGCCGCCUUUACCCUUGAUGGACUCUCCCGGGUGGUAAUUCACCGGCGCGACUCUCGGGUCGUAGCACACGAGAUCGUUCGACGUCACGUCCACCGUCUCCGCGCUCGCGCAUAUCCCCGUGUUCAGCUCGAAGUGCACGUCCGUCACGCUCUCGUCGUCGCCCGCGUAGUCGUACGGGAACUCCAUCUCCACCGCCUUCUCGCUCAGCAGAGGGAUCAGCCCGAGGCGAUGCGCGAUGAACUCGUCGCACAGGCAACUCGUGUUCUCGAUCACGUCCACGAGGUCGAUCGCGAGCGUCGGGACCUCCGCGAUGAUGACGCGCCGCAGCGCGUUCGCGACGGAGGUGUCCGUGUGCAGUAGCGCGAAGCGGAUCUUCUCGUGCGUGAGCUCCUGGACGACGAUCGACGGCGAACGCUGCUUCGGCUCCGUCGUCGGCGCCAUGACGACGGAUUCUUAUACACGACGACGACGGCUGGAAAACUCUUUCUUCCUCGAGGGCCGAUCGCGCGCGUGAUCGACGCGCGCGAAGACCGGGUUCGAUCGAGCGCGGGGUGGGCGCGCGUCCUGGGGUCCCCGCGGAGAGUCGCGCCGCGACGGAUCGGUCGAUCGGCGUGGUGCGCGCGCGAGCGAGUGCGGCGAGCGCGCGCGCGGAGAGGGUUUCACGUGAGAAUCGGCGCCGCGGCAAACUCAGGUGCGUUCUAUACAAAAGUUUUUCACCCAUACUCGUAGCAUAGACCGGUUUCAACACUUGAUCGCGUCUACUUUCAACUGACCGGUGAACUUCAUGGAACGACCCUGAACGUGAACGUGAUCGCGAGCGCCCCGGCGAGCGCGCGCGAGCGGCCGCGGCCUCGCGACAUUUCCAGUCCUUCUCGCGAGGCCGCUCGGCCACUCCGCGCCGCGCGAACGCGCCGAGUCACGGUCCCGCGCCGCCGCCGCGGACGCGCGCCGACGCCCGCCCGCGCGGAAUGGCGUUAGGCUCCGGGAAGCUCCGAGCGGCGACGAACCGCGUGAGGUGCGCGCGCGGGGACCGAGAUCGACGCCCGCGACUCCAGGAUGGAUGCCCACUCCGUCUCGUCAUCGUUCGAACGUUCGGUCUUUCACGCCUUAAAUACCCGUCUGACGCGCGCGUCCCUCGCGUCCCUCGCCUCCCGCGCCCUCGCCCUUCCCCCCCAUGGCGUGGCCCCCACCCCAGGACGUCGCUCGCGAACAACACGAACGAGAUAUGGACGGACCUGAUCGGCAUACAGCAGAGCAAAGACGCGGGGACGAACAGCGCGAUCGAGGCGUCGAUCAAGGUUCCAGGACGCAUCGGCGGCGCGGGCGUCGGCACGGGCAGGAGACGUCAACGCGACGACGCGAUCAUUCACCCCACGGAGGCGCUCGUCGCGCUCGCGCGUUUGCAGAGCGCGCGGAAUUCGGCCGCGGGCGCGGUCGUGGAGGGCGACCGCGGCGUGUGCCGCGUGUGCGGCGGCACCGGACACCUGACGUCGAUGUGUAAGAACGAGUACGCGAUGUUAAAAGACGACGACGACGCGGCGGAGGACUCGGUCACGGACCUGAGCAGCGACAGCGACAGCGACAGCGGCGACGGGGGAGGGAGGAAGCGGAAGCGGAAGAGCGGCGGCAAGAAGAAGAAGCGCAAGAAGAGCCACCGCAAGAAGAAGUCGAGCGGCAAGGGGAGAAAGAAGAGCUCGAAGAGGAAAAAGAAAAAGAGGCGGCGGGACAGCUCGAGCGACUCGGACUCGGACUCGGACUCGGACUCGAGCUCGAGCUCGAGCUCGUCGUCGAGUUAAGGUUAAGGUUAGUAAAACGGUGCAACAAGACGUACGUAGGGACUAGUAGUGGCAUCGCGUCGUCCUUCACGCCUCCGCGGCGUCGGCGUCGGCUUCCUCUCCGCCUCCGCCGCCGCCCUCGCUCCCCUCGCCGUCCUCGCUCCCCUCGCCCCCGCCCGGUCGUUGGUUCUCCUUCCCGAGCUUCUUCAGCCCAAUCUUCGUGAGGUACGACGGCGCGUCGUGCUGCGCGAGCGCCUCCACGUUCGCGGUGUCCCCCGAGAUGUUCCACAGCGCCGCCUGCGCGUGCCACCGCGUCUGCGAAUCUUUCGUCUCCAACAGCGGAAGGAGCAACGUCAACGCGCCGUGGGACGACGCGAUGCGCGCGGCCCAGUCGCCGCGCGUCGUCAUCCGUCGCAGGACCCCGGCGGCGAAGGAUCGCGCCUCGAUCAUCGCGGGCGUCAGCGUGGGUUUCUUCGGCGCGGCUUUUUUCUUCUUUCCUCCCUUCUUGCCGCCCUUCUUUUUGCCGCCUUUUUUCUUUCCCUUCUUCUUCUUCUUGCCGCCGCCGGCGUCGUCCUCCGCCUCCGCCUCGGUCGCGCCCGCGUCUUCGGUCUCUCCCGCGUCGUCGCCUCCUUCGCCGUCGUCGUCGCCACCCUCGCCGUCGUCGUCGCCGCCGCCUUCGCCGUCGUCGCCGCCUUCGCCCUCGCCGCCGGACCCUUCCCCGCCGUCGCCGUCGCCGUCGUCGUCGUCGUCGCCGGAACCCUGUUCUUCGUCGUCCUCCUCCUCCUCCUCUACCAACCCGUCGCCGUCGUCCGCGAGCUUCUUCUUCUUCUUCUUCGGCUUCUCCGGGGUCGGCUCCGCCUCCUCCGGGACCGGGUCCUCGGGCGGCUCCUCGCGGACGAACCCCUCCGGUAGCCCCGCGGCUCCCGCGCACAACAUCACCAGCGGAUGAAUGCCCCCCUCGUCGAUCACCAUCUCCAUGCGACGCAUCUCUUCUUCGCUCGGCGUCACCAUCAUCGCGACGGACACGUUCAGGCUCUCGCCCAGGUUGUGCGUCAGCACGGACGACUCCGCGCGCGAGUUCAUCGUCGGCAGGGCGAGCGCGUCGAGCUUCGCGGGCGCGGCGAUGGUCUUGAGCGGACUCGCCGCCGCCGCCGCCGCGUCCGCCCCAGGGUCCUCGCCCGCGCCGCCCGCUUUGGCUCGCUCGCCAGGAGCUCCCGCGUCGCUGCCCCCGCCGCCGUCGCUGCCUCUGUCGUCGUCGUCGUCGUCGUCGUCGUCGUCCAAGCUCGCGCCCGCCAUCGCCCUCGCGGCGGCGGCGGCGGGGUUAUUCUUUUCCUCGUGCGCGCGCAUCUCCUCCUCGUACUUUCGCCGCGACUGCGUGCACACGUUGAAGAUGGUCGCGCACGCGUUCGCGCGGCACUGCAGCGUCGCGGUCUCUUUCUCCUCCCACAUCACGCGCACGAGACCUCUUAUGAUCUCCCUCGUGGAGAUGGCGUCCUUGACCUCGUCGAGCUCGGACAUCUCCCGCACCACCGCGGACGCGGCUUCUCGUAAAUUCAUAUUCGCGCCGUCGUCGCGCCUGUCCGUCGCGUGAUCGACGCAGUACUCCAGCGCCUGCGAGCGCUUGAACACGUCCAGCUUCACCGCGUCCGGCCCGUUCUUCUUCGCGUUGUCGCCGUACCCGUGCGCGACGCACUUUGCGAGAACGAUCACCGCGUCUUCCUUGGCGUCAAACGCCGGGUUGAACGGAUCUCGAACCACCUCCACGACGUCGUCGUAUCCCGCCUUGACGAUGUCUUUGAUCGUCUGCCGCCGCGUGCUCUCGCACUCUACCAGCUUCCGCAGCGUCCCCACCGCGCUCCGCUGCCCGCUCGUCGAGCGCGUGCGCGAGCUGAGGCACGCCAGCGCCGCGCGGUGCCCCUGUGCGGCGGCCACAGCCUCGCACAUCGCGACGUCGCCCUGAGGGUCGAGGGUCCAUCCACACGAGCGAUGAUAUCGGGGUGGAGUUCAAAGGCGUCAGAAGCGGAGUUGAAAGGCGUCGAGGUGUGUCGGGAUUGUGAGCGAGUUGCGGGCGCAGAGACACGCCGGGAAGUAAAGUCCUUAAGGAUCGGCGUUCACGACGCCGACGCGGUCGUAUGGGAACCAGUGUGAAGGAGAACGCGCCUGCGCGAAGCAAUACACGAGUCCCAUCCCCGCGCCCUGCGCGGCGGCGUCCUCGCUCUGCUUCGCGGCCGCGACGCCGGCGAGGAGCGCUCCCGCGUCCAUGAUGGACUGCUUCGUCCCGACCGGGGAGUCUUUCGUCAGGCAGUGGCUCCACAGGUGCCCGAGCGCGGCGGCGCGCGGCAUCGGCACGGGGGGCUUGGCGUUCGCGCGUCCGCCCACCUCGCACAGCACCGCGAGGUCCAUCGACUGCUUGAAGUACUCCGGGGUCAUGUGCGGCGGGCACGGGAGCUCCUUGGGCUCGUUCUCGUCGCCGUCGCCGUCGUCGUCCGCCUUCUUCUUCUUGCCUUUCUUCGCCAUGACGACGGGAGAGGAUGAGGAGGAGGAGGAGGCGCUUCACCCGCUUCUUCUGCGCGCGGCGCGCGGACGAAUCGAUCGACCGAUCCGAGAAAUCCAAAUCGAGAAGCGUCCGCGACCGACGCGCGCUCCGCUCGGGUCCUCCUCUCCCGCGACGGACGUCCGCGCCCGCGGCGGUCGUGUCGUGUCGCGCCGCCCGGCGAACGCGACCGCGACCGUCCCGAGGCGUUUCGCGCUCGAGCGCGCGGUCCGCGCGCCUCGCCGAGUGACGCGUCGUCGAGGGAGGGGGAAAUCGCGACUCGUGACGGGACCGGACGAAGAACGCGAACGUCAGCGUCAUCGUCAUCGUCGCGCCGAGCGCGACGAGUCGCGCCCUCGUGCCCUGCGCGAGGGCGCGAGCCGCGUCGCGCGCGGGUCACAACGCUACACACGCGCGCACGACCAUCAUGAGCCAACAGGCGAGGAUCGACGAGAUGACCAUGCGGAUCGAGGUGCGUCCGCGCGCCCCGCUCGGCGCGGUCCCCGCGCGCGCGAUCGAUCGCCGCGCCCGCUCGCCUCCGCGCGCGUCGAGGGGUCCUUUUUUUGUCCUCGCGCGCGAUCGACCCCUCGAUCGCGCGCGUCCGUCGUCUCUCCCCGUCGCGACGGGACGUCCGCCUGACCGCUUCUUCGCUUCUUUCCCCUCCCCUCGCGUCGCAGAACCCGAACCGCGUGGUCGGGUCGGGGUACAUCCAGUUCCCUCCGCAGCGGCCGUUCGCUGGGCCGCUGUUGACGCAGCCGCCCACGGUGUCGGUGCGCGCGAACGAAUCCUCCUCCCUCGCGAUCCCGCGCGCCGAUCGAUCGUCCGCGUCGCGUCGACGACGCCGGACCCGCGUCGGCCGCGACGCGCGCGCGAGAUCGCCGCCACCGCGCGCCUCGCGCGUCUUAAUUUCGCGUCCGCGCGUCGCGCGCGCGCGUCGACCGCGCGGCGCGCGCGGCGGCGUCCGACGCGCGCGCCGCGCCGCGCCGAUCUCGCGCGCGCGCUGACGCGGCACCGCGCGGACCCCGCCGAGUUUCUUUCGUCUUCCUUCUCGCCGCUUCUUCCCUCUCGAGCUUCUGACCGACGAUCCGUCCCAUAUCGCCCCUCGCCGCGCGCGACGAUCGACGCGCGCCCCUCGCCCGCCGCAGCAAAACGACUACCCGGACGAGUGGAAGAAACCCGCCGCGCCGCCGCCGCAGCGACCGCCGCCGCAGCAGCAGCAGUACCAGCAGCAGCAGUACCAGCAGCAGCAGCAGUACCAGCAGCAGCCGUACCAACAGCAGCCGCCGCAGCAGCAGUACGGACAGUACGGUCAGCAGCAGUCGUACGGAGGGUACGGCCAGCAGCAGGCGCCGCCGGUCAACAACUCGUAUCAGCAGUCGCUGCCGACGCAGUACCAGAACAGGGCGCCGCCGCCGCGGCAACAGCAGGCGGGUGGGCAGCAGCGGGCGAUGCCGCAGCCGGGGGGACGGCCGGGGCAGCGACCGGGCGCGCCCGCGCCGCGCGGCGGUCGCGGCGGCGGACGAGGACAAGGACAAGGACAACGGCCGCCUCCGCCGCAGCAGCAGCAGCAGCAGCAUCAAAACGGGCGUCCGGGCGGCGGCCAGGCGCCCCCGCGGAAGAUGCUCCCGGGCGCCGUCGUGGGGUCGCUGGUGGCGGCGGGGCCCGAGCCGGCGAAGGUGCGUUCUAUACACUGGUCCCCGUACGACCCCGUUCGCGUGGUGAACGCCGAUCCUUAAGGACUUUGCCCGGCGCUUCUCUCCGCCCACCCCUCGGUUUCAAUCCCCGCCAUCGACGCCUUUCAACUCCACCUGACGCCUUUCAACUCCACCCCGACGUUCGCUCUAUGGAACGACCCUAAGCCGCGGACGCCUCCGAUUCGAUCCGCGGCGCCGGCGGCGGCGGCGGCGCCCGCGGCGGGCGGACCGCCGGGGGAUAAGCUGUCCAAGUCCGCGGCGAAGCGCAACCGGAAGAAGUUGCGCGAGGGGGGCGCGGCGGCGUGAUGAUCGCGAUCGACGUGACGACAUCGCCGACGCGCUCUUCGUCGCUUCGUUUCAAGGGUGGAUCGGUUGUUGAGAUUUUUUUUCCAUCUUUCCGUCCGUCCCCGUCCGGUCCGUCGUCGUCCGUCGACCGACCGCCGAGGGCGCUCGAGAGGUCGCCGUCGACGCGUAGCGAUGUCGCGGUGGCUCGAUUGAUUAUGUGAAUGAAGAGGAGAUUCCGUCGAGAACGCGCCUUAUCUCGUCGACGCUCUCCGCCGCUCGUCCCGUUCUAUCAGAUCUGACUCGUCACCUGUGGAGUGUAGUUGUAGUAAGUACGAAAGUAGCUCGCGUUCUGUUCAUACAGUACAACGGCGUCAUCACGCCGUCUCGCUCAUGAACUUGGCACCCCCUCGUCACUCGUCGGCCGCGAGAGGCGCGCACCUCGCGUCGUCUCCGCGCGCGCGCGAGCACGACGCGCGCCGCGCGCCGCGCGCGUUCGAUCGGCCGCGGCGCGAGCGAGAGAGCGACCGGCCCGGCCGCGUCGUUGUUAGUUAGAUCUUACCUUUAGAUCUGAGCGAGCGACCGCGCGAACGAGGACGAAGCCGCGCCGCGAUGCCUCCUCUGUCCGCCGCCGCGGCCGAGGCGGCGAAGAAGCUGAAGGAAGCGCGCGACCGGGCGGAGGCGAACGCGAACCGCGCGCCGGCGAAGCGCCCCAGAAGACAAGCGCCCCGGCGCGCGCGCGGCGGCGACGCGCCCGCGCCCUGGGGCGACGCGGAUUCCUCGGGCUCCGAGGUCGACGGAUUCUACCGCGCCGCGCUCGGAUGGCUCCUCUGGCGUCGCCCCGAGGAGGGCGAGCUCCCGGAGAUACCCACGUCGUUCGCCGACGCGCGCGAGUACGUCCGCGCGUUCGAGCCCGCGCUCGUGGAGGAGACGCGAGAGCAAGUCCGCAAGGAGUGGUUGGAGAGCGUCGCGGAGAAGCGCCAGUAUCAGGCGCGUUCUGGUUACACUGGUCCCCAUACGACCCCGUUCGCGUGGUGAACGCCGAUCCUUAAGGACUUUUGCCGGCGUGUCUCUCCGCCCAGGGUCCCUCGCUUUUAAUCCCGACACGCCUCGGCGCCUUUCAACUUCAACUGACGCCUUUCAACUCCACCCCGACGUUCGCUCGUUGGAACGACCCUCAGACCACGCUUAUCGGGCUGGGGACGAGCGGCGCGUGGCGCGUCGCGACGCUUCGGUGCGCGAACCGUCGCGAAGCGGAAGCCAUAGGCGCGCUCUGCCCGUCCAACUCCGUCGCGGUGCUGUGCGAGCGACGCGUGGAGGAGAGCGAUCCGUGGUCGAGGCACGCGGAGGGGUCGUCGCUGCCGCUCGCGUGCGCGGGGUUCGUCGAGAGCGUCGACGCGAAGGAAAAGGACGGCGACGGCGUCGUCAGGUUUCACUUUUUCAUAAGCGACGAGGCGCACGUGCGGACGGAUUCGAGCUGUCCGAACUGGAGGGAGUGGCACGAGAGGUAUCGACAGCGCGAACGCGACGUCUUGGAGCUGUUCGAGGGCGCGAAGAGGCAGGUCGUGGACGCGAAAGGACGGUCCAUGCACGUGUUCGAACGUCCGCCCGAAAAAGGAGACGACGAGGAAGAAGAGGAUGGCGAGAUCGCCCCCGCGGCCGUCGACGUCGACGGCGCGAAGAGAGAACGCGAGAAGAGCGUUUCCGGCAUCGGAAGAAAGUUCACGCUGUCCCCCGCGGGCAAGCUCCACAGCGCGGUGCAGCGGUUCGAGGCGCUCCAUCACUUCGCGGCGAGGCUGUACGGGCCGAUGCGCGCGGCGAUGCUGUCGCCGCCGCCGGAUCGCAUGCCGAAGACGCGAGACGUGGCGCCGCCGCCGCUCGCGCUCGAAGUGGAGUCCCAGCCUGAGCUCGCGGGGUUUCUGAGGAAGACGUUCAACGCGCCGCAACUCGCGGCGAUCAAGUGGGCGGCGGCGCACACGCUGCGGAAUUACGACGGGGACAACGCGCUGACCGCGACCGACGUCGACGCCGCCGCGGGGCGGGAAUCCGCGUUUCCGUUUACUCUGGUGCAAGGCCCGCCCGGGACGGGGAAGACGCACACGGUGUGGGGCAUGCUGAACAUCAUCCACUUCGUGCUGUACCAGAGGUAUUACCAGAGCUUGCACCGCAAGGUGGAGCUGGACGCCGCGCGCGCGUCUGGGGACCUACGCUUCGCGCGGCAACUUUCGGAGGCAAUCUCAAGAAACGGCGGCGACGCAGGCGACGACGACGACGACGACGACGACACGACCGUCCGCGAGCUCUUCGACUAUCUCGCGCGCGAGACGGGCGUGCAACUCGGCGCCAACCUCGGCGUCCGGAAACCUCGCGUCCUCGUGUGCGCGCCGUCGAACGCGGCGAUCGAUAACCUUCUCGAGCGCGUCGUGAAGAAAGGGUUCAUCCGCGGCGACGGUACCGCGUACCGACCGAACAUCAUUCGCGUCGGCGCCGACGACGCCAUGGGCGCGGACGCCGUGAGCCCACUCUACGCGGGAGAACGCGUCGAGAUGCUGAUUCGCAUGGGCCCGGAGAAGUGGGACGCCGCGUAUCGGAAACAGGCGGCGUUCGUGGAAGCGGCGGGGAAGGACAUCGAGUUCCUCUGCGCCGCGCACAACAAGGCGGCGAGAGUAGCGAGAACCGGCGGCAUCUCCGGCUCGCUUGGCGGGCUCGUGGACGAGGAGGUCAUUCCAGCGGACCCCGCGGAGGCGGCGGCGGCGAAGGACGCGCGCGACGCCGCGGCGACCGCGCGCGUCGUCGAGCUGUGUCGCCUGUACGAGGAACGGAACCGCGGCGUGAUGGACAUGGCGCGAUUCGCGUGCCUUCUCUCGAAGCUCGGGAAGCUGGGCAAUCAGUGGAAGAGGGAGGCGAAGAACAAAGGCAAGAUGGGUCGAAGGCUACGAAACGUGCUCGAGGCGUCGUUCGUGGACGAGGCGGAGAUCGUGUUCACGACGCUCACGAGCGCGAGUCGUCGGGUGUUUCAAAAGCUCACGCACGGGUUCGACACCGUGUUCGUGGACGAAGCCGCGCAGGUGCGUUCGAUGCGCGCGUUUCGUUUCGUUUCGUUUUUCACCCGUCCCUCGGUCUCGGUUUCAAUGCUGUAUCCGAUCGCGUCGAUCCCUUUCGACUGACCGAUGCACUUUUUUCGCGUACCUCUGGAACCGCCCGCAGUCGUCCGAGGUGGAGACGUUGAUUCCGUUUCUUCACGGCGCGCGGCGGUGCGUCCUCGUCGGGGAUCCGCAGCAGCUCCCGUCGACGGUGCUGUCCACGGCGGCGCAGGGGGUGUCGUUUCAACGGUCAUUGUUCGAGCGUUUCACGUCCCUCGGCGCGGAGGCGGUCCUCCUGAGCGUUCAGUACCGCAUGCAUCCGGAGAUUCGCGCGUUUCCGUCGAGAGCGUUUUACGAGGGGCGCCUUCGCGACUCCGAGUCGGUGAUCGCGGCGCCGCCGGAGAGCUAUCACGCGUCGUGGCCGCUGCGGCCGUACGUGCUCUUCGACGCGAGCCAGGGCAAAGAGAAGAGGUCCACGGUCGGGUCGGUCUCGAACCCGUACGAGGCGCUCAUCGUCGUGUCGCUCGUGCGGCGGUUGGAGCGGACGUUGUGGCGAAAAAACGGCGAAACCGUCGACGGCCGCUGCGCGAUAAUCACCCCGUACAAGGCGCAGCGGAGCAAAAUCCGCGACGCGUUCGCGCGCGUGUACGGCGACGAGUCCGCGAUGCAUCGCCUCGGGAUCGUCGUCAGCACCGUGGACGGGUUCCAAGGCCAAGAGGCGGACGUCAUCAUCUUCAGCACCGUCCGCGGCGGCGCCGGCCGCGGCGGCAUCGGGUUUUUACAGGACGUCAAGCGGAUGAACGUCGCGCUGACUCGCGCGAGAAGGUCGCUGUGGAUCGUCGGCAGAGUCGACGCGCUCGAGGGGAACCCGAUGUGGAAGGACUUGGUCGACGACGCGCGCGAGCGAGGGUGCGUCGUCCCGGACUCGGAGCUCGGGGACGUGUUGGAGGUCGCGGGGGAAGACUACGACGGCGGCGGCGGCGGCGGCGGCGGGGGCGGCGGCGGCGCUCGAGGCGAGUGGAUCGGAGGCGACCGCGGCGUGGACGCGCCGCGCGCGUCCGCGACCGCGUACGCGCUGCCCCCUCCGCCGCAUUAGCGUUUUCAUCGCGCGAGUGAGUAGCUUUCGUCGCCGCCGCCGCCCGCGACGCCGUAUCUCGCUGCUCCAGCACAGACACUACGCGGUUCGCGUGUAGUUGUACUCUCGCGCUCGUACGACCAGCCUGAUCUGCAGUGCGACUCGAAAAACCUGCAGCCUCGCCGACUGGCAUUAGAAGGAGUGCGGACGCGGCUCUUCGCGGCGAGAUGGCCGGCGGGGGACGGCCGCAGCGGGAGCGACCGCAGCCCGCGAGGUGCGCGCUCGAUCGCGACGCGCGAUCGAUCGACCCUCGCGCGCGAUCCGCCGCCCCAUUCGUGUCCCUCGAGGCGCUCGGCUUUGUUGUUUUUUUCGUUUUCGAUUUCAGCCUCCUCGACGCGCGCGAUCGUUCGAUCGUCGCGCGGUCCGCCCCCGUCCCGCGCUCGAUCCGAUCCUCACGCGUCCAUCACCCUCCGUCGUCGCCGCCGCGCCGCUCGCCAGGUUCGAAGCGGGACCGGCGCCGCCGCCGUCGGUGCUCGCCGCGCGCGCGAGGGGCGACGCGAGCGCGUCGCACCCCGCGGGGCCCGCCUCGGCGGCCGUCGCCAGCGGCGGACGCGAUGGAGUGACGAAGCGCGCGUCCAAGCCGCCGGAGACGUUCGAGGCCGGCCCCGCGCCGCCGCCGUCGGAGCUCCGCAAGCGCGCGGCGGCGAUCGCCGACGGCGACGCCGCCGCCGGCGGCGGCGGCGGCGCGAAGACCGAGCCGACCGCGCCGGGCGGCGCGGCCGUCGCCGCCGCGACGCGCGGCGCCGACGACGCCGACGCCGACGACGCCGACGACGACGCGACGACGUCCACGCGCGCGCUGAGCGCGGAGCCGUCCGACGCGCACGACGCGGACGACGCGGAGUUCGUGAUGGACGCCACGAUGGAGGACGCCGCGGCGGACGACAUGGAGACGUUCGAGGAGGAGCUCGAGCGCGCGCCUCUCGACGCGGACCUCGUGCGAGCGGAGGUGUCCGCGCUGACGCGAGAGAACGACCUGCCGAUCGGCGACGUGCUGCGAUCGUACGGCGCGCCCGUCGCGGGGUCGAUCGUCGACGGCGGCGGCGGCGGCGACGACGACGAUGACGACGACGACGACGACGACGACGACGAUUACGGCAGCGACGACGGCGACGACGCCACGGACGACGACGACGCGCGGGCGUUCGCGGACGGCGCGGAGGUCGAUCUCGUCGUCGGCGCGCCCGACUCGCGUCGGCAAUCGCUCACGGUGGCUGGGAUGACGCGCCCGCCGCCGCCGGCGCUGCCGCCCGGGCACGAGCCGAUCGUGUACGCUACGCGCGAGGAAGCCAGGGAGGCGGCGCUCGCGGAGGCGCGGAGGAUACACUACGAAGAGGAGGUGCUGGAUCGAUCGUACGACAUCGUGACGCGGCCGCCGCGGACGAAACCGAUGCCGUCGUUCCCGGAGCCCUCGAGGAACAAGACGCACUGGGACCACCUCCUCGAGGAGAUGAAGUGGCUCGCGGGGGAUUUCGUUCGCGAGAGGAAGUUUCGAAUGAAGCUCGCGAAGAAGGCGGCGCACGCGGUCGCGCGGUCGAACCUCGACCUCGAGUCCAGGGUGAUCAAGCGACGACUGGACGAAGCCGCGGCGGCGAGAAAAAAAGCGAGACGCGUCGCGAGCGAGGUGAUGCAGUUCUGGAUCAAGAUCGAGAAAGUCGUCCGGUUCAAAGCCCAGAGCGCGAUCGACUCCAAGCGCAAAGAGGUCAUGGACAAGCACCUGGACUUCAUGAUGCAGCAGACGGAGAGGUACUCCACGAUGCUCGCGACAAAACUCGGCGGCGACGCCGACGCCGACGCCGCGAACGCGAACGCGAACGCGAACGCGAACGCGCCGCCGAAACGCCUUCCGGCGCCGCCGACCAAGGACGCGCCGGACAGCGGCCACAGCGACAGGACCGCGAUCGUCAAAGGAGAGGGAGACGACGACGCGGACGCGGAGGAGUACCGCGCGGACGCGAGCGAGCUCGAGGAAGAGGACGACGAGGCGACGCUGGAGGAGGAAGAGCGGCGAGCACGCGCGGCUGGGGAGGACGAGGACGCCGACGAAGAGAUGGCGGACCUGAAAGCGGAGGCGGAGGUUCCGAUCGAGGAGCUCCUGCGGCGGUACCGCGAGAUGGAGGAGGCGGCCGCGAAGGAAGAGGAGGGCGGCGGCGACGGCGUCAAAGAAGAGAUCGCGGGCGCCGAGGUCAAGUCCGAGAUCGAGCCCGCGACGGAGGCGCCCGAGGACGACGAGGAGGAGGACGACGGCGAGGAGGCCACCUUCGCGGACAUCGUGGACGAUGUCCCCGCGGCGGCGGCUCGACGCUCCAGGCGCGGAGGCGACGACGACGCUCGCGCUCCCGCUCCCGCUCCCGCUCCCGCCGCCGCCGCCGCGACGAACGACGCGGACGCGGACGAAUACGUCGCCCCGGAGGGAGGAUCCGACGACGAGGACGACGAGGCGACGCUGGAGGAGGAGGAGCGGCGGGCGCGCGCGGCGGGGGAAGAGAUGGACCACGACGAGGAGAUGGCGGAUCUGAAAGCGGAGGCGGAGGUUCCGAUCGAGGAGCUCAUGCGACGGUACCAGGAGAUGGAGGCUGCGCACGCCGCGGCGGACGCCGGCGCCGCCGCCGCGGAAGAGGAGGAGGAGGAGGAAGAAGAGGAGGAAGUAGAGGAGGAGGAGGAAGAGGAGGAGGAGGAGGAAGAAGAAGAAGUCGGCGUCGACGCGCUCGGGGACGAAGAGCCGGAGAUGACCGAGGAAGAGAAGGCCGCGUCCGCGGCGCGUCGGUCCGCGCUCGACGCCAUCGCCGGCGACGCCGCGACGCUGCGGCCGCAGGGGAACACGCUCGCAACCGCGGGACAGCUGUGCCGCGUCCCGUUUCUUCUGAAGCACACUCUCCGCGAGUACCAACACGUCGGCCUCAACUGGCUCGUGAGCUGCUACGACAAAGCCCUGAACGGCAUCCUCGCGGACGAGAUGGGGUUGGGGAAGACGAUCCAGACCAUCUCUCUUCUCGCGUACCUCGCGUGCGAGUGCGGGAUCUGGGGCCCGCACCUCAUCGUCGUCCCGACGUCCGUGAUGCUGAAUUGGGAGGUUGAGUUCAAAAAGUGGUGCCCGGCGUUUAAGCUGCUGACGUAUUUCGGCACGGCGAAGGAGCGGAAGCUGAAGAGGCAAGGCUGGAGCAAGCCGAACUCGUUUCACGUGUGCAUCACGACGUACCGCUUGAUCACGCAAGACCAGAAAGUGUUCCGCAGGAAGAAGUGGAAGUACCUCAUCUUGGACGAGGCGCACAUGAUAAAAAACUGGCGGUCGCAGCGGUGGCAGACGCUCCUCAACUUCAACAGCAAGCGAAGACUGCUGAUCACCGGGACGCCGUUACAGAACGACCUCAUGGAGCUCUGGUCUCUGAUGCACUUCCUGAUGCCGCACGUGUUUCAGUCGCACAGCGAGUUUAAGAACUGGUUCUCGCAGCCGCUGACGGGGAUGGUCGAAGGCGGCGAGGGCGUCAGCGCGGAUCUCGUCUCGCGGCUCCACGGCGUGUUGCGACCGUUUUUACUGCGGCGGCUCAAGUCGGAAGUCGAGAAGAACCUCCCGGGGAAGACCGAGCACGUCGUGCACUGCGGUCUCUCUAAGCGUCAACGUCGGCUGUACGAGGAGUACAUGGCGAGCUCGGACACGUCCACGACGUUGUCCUCCGGGAACCUUCUGGGGAUCAUCAACUGUCUGAUGCAGCUUCGAAAGGUGUGCAACCACCCGGAUUUAUUCGCGGGACGACCGAUCGUGUCCGCGUUUGAUAUGCUCCCGGGAGUGACGCUUCGCGUCCCCUCGAUCGUCGCGAACGACGCGCGCGAACGAGAAGAGGACCCGCGCCGCGCGCGCUUCUUCGCCCCGCGCGGGUUACACUUGCUGACGAUCGAGGACCUCAACGCGGGAUCCCCCGCGACGGCGUCGGACCCGCGCGACGUCGAGGAGUGCUUAGCCCUCGGCGGCGCGUACGCGCGCGCGAUGGAACCCCCGGAGAAGCUCGGAAGGACGACCGCCGCCGCGGACGCGGCGGUGCGCUUGUUCGCGGAGGUUCGAGCGGUCAGGGCGAGGGAGGAGCGACGCGCGGUGGCGCGGCGCAUCGCGCUCGCCGCCGCCGCCGCAAUGCGCAGCGUGCCGAUGUACGGCGCGGACCUCCGAGCCGCGGCGACGAUCCCGCAUCCCGCGCACGCGUGCCACGAGAUGGCGGCGACGCACGGCGCCGGGCCGUUUGCCGUCGCGCCCGCGCUGCUGGAGCUCGUCAAGUCUCCCGCGCGAAGAGCGCUCGAGUGCGCCGAUCUCGUCGCGCAGUUUAUGUUUGCCAUUCCGAAAGCGCGAGCGCCGCCGCCGUCGAUGACGUGCGGCGCGCCGUCGGCCUCGAUCAACGCCGCGGUCGCGGAACGCGCGGCGUGGUCGCAGAAGGUGGGCGCGCCCGCGUUGACGCCGUUGCGCGCCGCCGCGGUUCGACAGCAGCUCUUCUUCCCGGACCGAAGGCUCGUGCAGUUCGACUGCGGGAAGCUCCAGGCGUUGGCGCAGCUCCUCCGGACGCUCAAGUCCGGCGGGCACAAGGCGCUCAUCUUCACGCAGAUGACGAAGAUGCUCGACAUCCUCGAGGCGUUCUUAAACUUGUACGGGUACCCGUACUGCCGCCUCGACGGCAGCACGCGACCGGAACAGAGGCAGAUCUUGAUGCAGCGGUACAACACGGACCCGCGUCUCUUCGUCUUCAUCCUCAGCACGCGAUCCGGCGGGUUCGGGAUUAACCUCACCGGCGCGGACACGGUCAUCUUCUACGACUCGGACUGGAACCCCGCGAUGGAUCAGCAGGCGCAGGACCGCGCGCACAGGAUCGGGCAGACGCGCCCGGUGCGGAUUUACAGGAUGGUGUGCAAGGGCACGAUCGAGGAGAACAUCUUGAAGAAGUCGAUGCAAAAGCGCGAGCUCGAUCACUUCGCGAUUCAGGCGGGGAACUUCAACACGGAGCACUUCAGCAAGCUCAACGCGGAGAAGGGGAGGCGCGGCGGCGGCGGAGCGAGCGGCGACGGAGACGACGACGACGGCGCGGGCGCGACCGCCGUCGUCGGCGGCGAGGCUGGGUUCGCGGCGAUGAACAUUUUCGACAAGGCGAUGUCGCGGACGACGGCGCGGCCGGCGGACGCCGGCGGCGGAGAGAAAAAAGGCAACGGCGGCGGCGGCGGCGGCGACGACGACGAGGUCGUGCGUCUCAUGGAAGAAGCCCAGGACGACCAAGACAAGGCGACCGCGGCGCAGCGGAACAACGAGGACAACGACGAGGCGCACGACUUUGACGACGACGUCAAGGAGUCGAACGACCCUGACCGCGACGACGACGAGACGGGUCGAACGCCGAAGGGCGCCAAGCCGGCGAGGUCGGGCGCGAGCGGCGGCGGGGGCGCGAGCGGCGGCGAGGGCGCGAGCGGCGAGCCGCCCGGGACGCCCGCGGCGACGACGUCCGGCGCCGGCGGCGACCUCGCGAUGGAGAAGAUCAACACGAGUUUGGAAGGCGACGACGCGUUCGCGAAGGAGAUGCUCCAGAAGGUGCGGCAGAGCGCGCAAAAGGGGGAAGGCUUCGAAGCGCGGCUCGCGCCCGUGGAGCGGUACGCCGUGCGUUACCUCGAAGAGACGGUCAAGAUCUUGGACGACGUCGACGCCGCCGCGGACGCGAUCGCGGCGUACGAGGAGAAGGAGUGGGAGCUCGAGCAGAUGGAGAAGCAGAAGGCGGCGGCGGAAGCCGCGGGAGAAGACGAGGAGGACCAGCUCGUCAUCGAGGGGUGGGACACGGGCGCCGCGGACGAGGAGUACAGAGCGAAAGUGUCCGCCGCGGAGGCGGAGGCGCAGGCCGCGAUCGAGUGGGAGCGUCAGGAGCAGGAGCGCAUCGAGGCGUACUACGCGUCGUUGGCCGCGCCGCCGCCCGCGCCGGCGCCCGCGCCGCCGGCGGAGGAGGAGGCGGAGGAGGCGGAGCCAAAGGCGGCGCCGUUGAAGGUGAAAUUCACGCUGAGGGCGCGGGAUCCGUUCGACGCGGUGGCCGAGGCGGCGGCGUCCACGGGCAGCGGCGGGACCGGGACCGGAACCGCGCAGCAGCAGCGGCAGCGGCUGCAGCCGCCGAACGCGGACGACGCGGCGAAGGCGGCGGCGAAGAAGGAGAAGAAGGAGAAGCGCAAGCGCGACGACCCCGAGCGCGAGGAGCGUCGUCGGCUACGCAAGCUCGAGAAGGCCUCCGCCGCCACCGCUGCCGCCGCCGCGGGGGGAUGUGGAGGGGGAUCGUCGGGGCCCGGCGCCGGCGCCGCGGGCGUGAUGACCAUCUCCCCCGGCGCCUCCGCGGACCCCUCCAAACCUGCGGCGGCGGCGGCUGUCGCCGCGGCGUCGCGGUCCGUCGCCCACCCGUGGUAGGGAUCCCCUCACUUUCCCGUAUCUUCGUUCGUUUUCGUUACAUAUCAUGGUCUACACGUUCGUUUCCGCCGGUUCCGUCAGAUUGUCGACGCUAUCUCGCGACAUCGUCGCGAUUUACUCUGCCUAUUUCAUCGCUUCGUCUUGCGUUUCUUCUUUGGCUGCGUCAAGGCGAUCUCGUCUUCAUCCCGAGCACCCUCGGCAUCAUCUCCAUCUCCCUCCGCACCGCCCGCGGGCACUGUCGCUGUCGCCGUCGCCGUCGCUGUCGCUGUCGCUGUCCACUCAAACUGCUCCGCGAUCUCCGGCUGGUACUUGGUGAGCGAGUCCUUGAACUUCUGCGCGUUCUCCGGUUGGUUAGCGAUGAUCCACCUGAUGGCGCUGUUCAGGUCCCGGGUCUCCUUCUUGACAGUGCCGGUGCCGGGAUCGGUGUAGAUGAAGUAGGUUCUUGCCUUGUUGCUGCUGGCUGGGCGUCUCAACUCUCUGCUCCAACCCUGGAGCUUCACGAUCAGCGCGCGCACCUCGAGCUUCUCCUCGAGCAGUGGCGCGAAUUGCACUUUGAGCUGUGCAUCGGUGCGGCGAGGGAGGAGCUCCGGCGCAGUGAACUUGCCGUUCUCGACGCAGCCUGUGUGGUACCGUUGCUGGGCGUCUAACACCUCCUGCGUGAGCAGCUUGGUGGUGUCCCGGUCGAUCGUGCCCCCGGGGAAGAUGCACAGCCCUUGCUUGGCGUCGAAGAUGUACCCGUACUCCUCGUACAUGGCGCCGCGCAUCUUGAUGAAAUGCUUGACGGAAUCUUCACCGCCGCAAGCCAAGCCGCCGUGCAGUACCGCGUGUUCGUGUCCCUUGCGAACGAUGCCGAUGAUCACGUUCGCCGCGUUCACGUCGUGCAUCGUGUGCUUGACGUGGUCCGCGUUCCCGGUCUUGUCGCACGUCCGCCGCGGUGGGAAGGGCAAACCCAAGCCAUGAUGCUUUCCGAGCUCUUUCUUUCUUCCCGAACUUUCGCCCGGGGGGAGCAGUGGCUUCGAGAUGAUCCCGAAGAGGUCGGCAGCCGUGAAGUUCAACCCCGUCGCACGCAGAAGUUCGGCUUGCAACUCCUCGAGGCUGAAUCCGCGGAUGACCCCGUCGACGAUGAUCUGGGUGAACGACUCGCCGCGGGAUCGCCACGCGCCCGCGGCACUGCAGAGGUCGUUGUCGGGAAAGAAGACGCCUUUGUGCGGGUACGCGCGGGUUACCGGAAGAGCCGCGGUGUAGAUGAACUCCUUCACGCGGAUGCCGUGCGUGCGGAUGCCGCAGCCGAAGCGCGGCGCGUACUCAGCGUCUUUGAGAGACUUUUCGGUCAUGUCGAGCGUGUACUGGCCUUUCCGCUCUUUCUUCUUCCUCGCCACCGGGAACGCGCCGUGGACGACUGCACCGGUGCCGUCUCUCCAUCUCGGGCGGGCGAGGAUGUUGAUGAACCAGUCCAGCUCGCUAGACGUGAAGUCGCAGAACGCGAGGGAGAAAAUUCCUUCACCCAGCGACCCGUCGCCGGCGACUGUCGCGUCCAUCCACGACGGCGUGGCGGUAAGCGCGAGCGGGAACAGCGGGUCGUCCUCGAGGUCCUUGGGGAGGAUGACCUUUUUGCCGCGACGAUUCGUGUAGAACUUCUCCUGGAGCUUCUUGUCGCCGACGGGCGUGGUCGUGAUGGCGUACUUCCAAGACUUUGCUCCGUUCGAACACGUGGCUUCGAAUUUCUCGAUGAAGUCGGACUCCAUCUCGGCGCCAGGUCUGGGUACGGUCUUCCACUGCACGUUGUGGAGGUUGGCGCGUUGAAGAUCGGCGUAAUCGCGAUUUGUCGUCUGAAGCGUAAAGCGGCCAGAUUUAGCAUCGAAGGAUGCGUCGCUGCACAUCGCGCCGAACCAGUGCCCGAGCUCGUCCAUGGUGUCGAUUUCGUACUGUUCGACGAUGAGCUCGAGCGUCUCGUUGCCCUGCGCGAGCGCGCCGGCGGAGAACCAGAACGGCAGCGGCCAGUCGUGCUCGAGGUACGCCUUCGCGACGCCGCGCCACGGCGCGUCGAUCUUGUCGACGCGGGCGCGCUCCUCGGGCGUGAGUAUGCGUCUCUUCAGUUCUGCGGGCUUGGGAACCGAUCGGGAGGCUUCAUCCUUGGCCUCGUCAGCCGCGCGUUUCUUCGCGGCGGCGACCAUCGCGUCGUGCUCUGCUUUGAUGUCUCUGACGCACUCGUCAUCGGACAGCGGGUCCGCUUCGAACGCCGCGCGCAGUUCGUCGAUGGUUUCGUAUCUCAGCUUGAACGCCUCCUGCUCCUCGGCAUCUCGCGCGGCAUUCGCCGCGCGAGAUGCCGCGGCGGCAGCAUCGUCACGCCUGCGUUCAUCGGGGGAUUUACGCUUCUGCCGAGCCACCUUGCCCGCGUCGUAGUUGCGAGUUUCGACGCUGUGCAUGUCCUGAACCACCGAGUGGGCACCGCGCGUCACUGCCUUUCUCGCCGCGGACGGCGUCCUCGCUACGGACGGCCGCGGCGUCGCGGACGUCAUCGGCGCCGCGGGUGUGACGACGAGCGCGGACGGCUGCAGUCGCGGCGACGAUCUCCGCGGCAGAGGAGGAAGCUCGCUCAGCGACUCGACCGCGAGGCGCCUCUUCGCGGGCGGAGGAGGCGCGGAGUCGUCGCGACCGACGUCACCGUCGCGUAGGCGGGUCAAGGCGGCGUUGAACGCGGGAGUCAUGUACUCUACCGGGUCCGCGUCGAAACCAGCGCCUCCGCCUCCGCCGCGACCCCCCGAUCGCGUGCGCGAGGAGACGGGCUGCUGCGCGACCGCGCGCGUCGCCGCAGGCGUCGCCGCGGGCGUCGCCGCGGGCGUCGCCGACGUAGACGUCUGCGUUCUCGUCGACGCGCGGAGGAUGUACCGGGGCGUCGGCGCAGGCGUCGGCGCGGGCGUCGGCGCGAGCGUCGGCGCGGGCGUCGCCGACGUCGACGUCGGAGUUCUCUUCGGCGCGCGGAGGAUGCACGGGGACGGCUUGACAGCCGUCGCCUUCUGAGCUCGGCUCGAGCCCAUGCGCGUGAAGUCACGAGCGGCGUUCAUCGCGGUGUCACGGAGCGCCGCUCCGAGACGUCGACUGAGACGACCGGCUGCUCGAGCGGCCGCCAUCGCGCGUCGGGAGAUGCCAGCUGUGCGAACUCGAACUCGGGUGCCUAACUUUCACCGCGGGCGGGCUCCUGCCUGUCCGCGCCGUCCACACCGUCCACGCCGUCCACGGGCAGGUGCUAAUGGAAGCUCACGAACGUCCGCGAGGUGCGCGUCUUCGUCGUGCACGUCGCCGCGACGCGCGCGCGGUCGUCCCUUGUCGCGGAGCGAGGAUCUGAGAGAGGACGAACGCAGGAGGAAAAACUUUCUCAAGUUCCGGACUCGCGGAAGGCUCCGGACUGCGCCCGUCGCGAGCCCACGCGAGCGGUUAAAAACGCCUGAAACGUGUCGCGGGACCGAAACACGUCGCGCAGAAAUCGAAACACGCGCGAGCGAGGGCGAUGUGGAUGUUCCCGAGCGAGCCCGGAGUCGGCCGUGCGUCGUCGCGCCCGAACCAUCGGCAUCUCGCGAAAAGUGCGCUGCCGCGAGAGAUGCGAUUGCUCAUUUUCCGCGAGCGAGGGAACGAACCGGACACGAGCGCGCGCGUGUCGAGCGAAACGCGCUCUGAAGCCGUGUGCGCACCUUCGGAGUCCCAGUCUUCGCUGCCUUGAGAAUCUCUACUCAGCGCGUGCGGUGGGGUGGCGCGCGCGGAGUGCUGAUGGACGCUCGCGUGAGACGGCUCAGAAAGCGUUUCCCUGCCGUGUCGGUCCGAAAAUCACGAGAUCGCGAGCGACAGCUGUCAGUCAGGUCGACCGAAACUUCCCUGUCUCCUUCCCUGAAUCGUCGCACCGGUUGCGUCGCCCUCGGGAUCGACUGGGCCCAGAACUUCGAUCAUCAGUCUGUUCCGUCUGCAUCACUCAAAUUACACCGUUCCACCUCUUAUCUACCGCGUCGGGCUCCCCACGUCUUAUAUCGCUCGCGUUAUGACUUGACAAACUACUCGGGCGUGUGCGUGUCUGAUUGUUUUUUUGUGCGGGUGACUCUAACAAGUGGAAAGGCGGCGAGGACGUCGUCCUCUGCGCGCUCGUGAACGAAUUCGGCGGCGGCGCGUGGAACGUCGCGUCCUCCGCGCUGUCCGCCGCGCGGUCGAUCGAUAACGUCCACCGCGCGCCGAUCGCGUGCAAGGAUCGGUUCAGGAGGCUCCUCGCGACGCACGGCAGGGCGCUGGGCGGGGUGGACGCCGGCGGCGUGGGGGCGGCUCCCGGGACGUUACGCGUGACGCCGGAGCUGACGCGCGCGCUGUUGAGGAAAGUCGCGCGCGAAUCGUUGGGACCGGGACCGGGACCGGGCCCCGGCCCCGGCCCCGGCCCCGAGGGCGCGGCGGCGUCCGAGGAGGAGCCGCCGGCGACGCCGCCCGCGGUGGUUCGGUUGCGGGGCGCGGUGCAAGCCGUGCGCGCGCGCGCGGGCCCGGGCGGGGCGAUGACCGCGGAGCUCACGAGCGAGGUGGUGGCCGAGAUUCGAGCGCUGUUCGAAGCGACGGGCGGCGCGUGAUGGAUCGAUCGAUGGAUCGAUCGCGCGCGCGUCGGGGGAACGACGCGGCGCGCUCGCGGGAGAGGACGAGAGGGGGAGGGAGCGUCUUCUGUAUUUUAGCGAACCGAGAUAAUACACCGUAUUUGAUGACGAGAAAAACGCAUCGGCCGACGAAUGCGAUACGACGGGUCCGUCCGCGUCCUAUCCGCGGCGGUCCCCUCAGGUCACACCUCGGCGCCCGGCGGCUCGGAACCGCUCGGAACCUCCGCUCGCGCGCCGCCCGCGCGCGCUCGCGGGACCCGUCGUCGCGCCGAGCAGAGCCUUCGCCGCGCGCGCGUCCUCUCGAGCGCCCGCCGCGUCCGCGAUACGCCGCGCGUCGUCGAGCGGCGAGCGCGCGCGCGACCGCGUCGAUACGACAUCGCAUCGUCGGACGCGUCCCGGACGCGCACAUCAGAUCGAUCGAGAUCGAUCGUUCGCCGCGGUCUUCGCGUCCGCCGCCAUAGCGCCGCGGCGAUCGCACCCGCAAGGGGGGGCGGACACGUCCCCCGGGUCGCUCUCCCCCGUCGCGAGGCUCCUCCACGUCGCCUCGACCGCUGGAGCCGGCUUCGAUCCAGCUGGCAACAUGGCGGCAGCGAACACCGCGCACAGCGUCGGCAUGAUCGCGGCGUGGUAUUUUUCAAACAUCGGCGUGAUCCUCCUGAACAAGUACCUCCUCUCCGUGUACGGGUUCCGUUUCCCGGUGUUCUUGACCACGUGCCACAUGGCGAUGUGCGCGCUGCUCUCGCUCAUCGUCCGCGCGUCCGGGAUCGCGCCGAGGCAGAGCGUGAAGAACCGAGCGCACCUUCGAAAGAUCGGCGUGCUGGGGGUCAUCUUCGUCGCCUCAGUCGUCGCGGGCAACGUCUCCCUGCAGCACAUCCCGGUGUCGUUCAACCAGGCGAUCGGCGCGACGACGCCCUUCUUCACCGCGGUGUUAUCGCUGUGCAUCAUGCGACAGAAGGAGACGAUGCAGGUGUACGCGACGCUGGUGCCGAUCGUGUUGGGCAUCGUCGUCGCGUCACGCGCCGAGCCGCUGUUUCAUCUCUUCGGGUUUCUCGCGUGCGUCACCGCGACCUUCUGUCGCGCGCUCAAGUCCGUGAUCCAGGGGAUGCUGCUGUCGAACGAGAGCGAGCGGAUGGAUUCCAUCAACUUGCUGCUGUACAUGUCGCCGAUCGCGCUGUCCGUGUUGUCCGUGGCGUCCACGGUGAUGGAACCCGAAGCCUUCGGCGUGUUUUACGACAACUGCGCGGAAUCGCCGCGGUUCUUCUUCAUCAUCACCCUGAACUGCGUCCUCGCGUUCAGCGUCAACCUGACCAACUUCCUCGUCACGAAGUGCACGUCCCCGCUGACGUUGCAGGUGCUCGGGAACGCGAAGGGCGCGGUGGCGGUCGUCGUGUCCAUCUUGUUGUUUAAGAAUCCCGUCAGCGUCGUCGGCAUGUUCGGGUACGCGGUCACCAUCGUCGGCGUCGCGUGGUACAGCAGCGCGAAGAAGAAGGCGCCGGGGGACCGACGCGGGAAGCGGGAGGGCGUCGGGAAUUCGGCGCUGGGGGGUGGGAGGAUGAGCGAGAAGGUGUGAUGGAGGACGCGCGAACGAGCCCGGCCCCUUUUAAACAAAAAACCUAGGUUAGCGGAGGACGAUUUAUUUUCGAGCGAAGAAACUUCAACUUCAUUCGAACGAUCGUUCGCCGCCCGCGCGCACGUCGCGACGUUCGUUCUCGCGUUACGUGCUGCAUUACAUUCUUCGUCUCUAGCGCCGCGCUCGACGUGUGAUCGGUCGGUCAUCGAGGCGCGUCGAUCGAAACUCGAUGCUUAAAACGCGCCUCGUCCUCCCCCCGGGUACAACCCUGCCUCGCCCGGCAUCCGCUCGUUCUCCUUCCCCGACGCCCACUUGAUGUAAUCCGGGCUCUCGCACGCGGCGUACUCCUCCGCGAGCCCCUCCACGACCUCGCGCGCGUCGUCGAACUCCUCUAACCCGUCCGCGAAGAUCGCGUGUUGCUCGUAUUGGUCCAGAAACGCCUUGCGACGCAUCAGCUUAUCGUACUGCGUCAGACACUUCGUGAAGAGGUGCCUGAUCGACGUGUGGUUCGCGAGCAUCAGCCCGCUGACGCGGUGCGCGGUCUGGACGUACGGCGAUUUCCGAGACAGCGCGACCUGGAUCGACGCGGGCCCCCACUCGAUGAAGUUGGCGAGCUUGCGCUCUCGGAUCCUCUGCAGAGACUUGUGCACUUGCGUCGGGUCCACGUCCCCUUGGAUGAUGUUCAAGAUGGAGAUGUACUUGGACUGCGAGAAGUCCUUCCCUCGAGAGUGCGACGACACCAUGAUGUUCUUCGUCUGCAGCAGCCGUCGCAUGACGUCGAGCACGGUCGUCUUUCGCACCGCCGGCUGCGCGUUCGUCUCCGUCAGCGUCAACGGCGUGUACCCCGUCAUCAAAAAGUGGCACCGCGGCGUCGGGAUCAAGCUCGCGACCAAGCCGACGAGGUCGUUGUUCAUGUACCCCGGGUACCGCAGCGUCGUCGUGGACGCCGCCAUGACCGUGGAGACGAGCGAGUUGGUCUGCGCGAACGUCGGGUUUUGAAUGUGCAGUCGAUCCACCGCGAUACGGUUCAGCGCGGUGUUAUCCAACACCACGACGCAAUCCGCGUUCAGCGUGAGGCGCUUCAGCGUCAGCAGCGAGUUGUACGGUUGCACGACGACGUCCGAGGUCUCGUGCUGGUUCGGGAACACGGAGUACGUCUGCACGAGCUUCUUCCCGUAGCGAUCGUUGAGCGCUUCCAGGAGGUACGAUCCCAUCCCCGAGCCGGUGCCGCCCGCGAUGGAGUGGCACAACACGAACCCCUCCAGGGAGUCCGACCCGUCCGCCUCGCGGUCGAUCAUGUCCAUGAUCUCCUCCUGCACCGCCUCGGCCUGGGAGUAACCGGACGCCCAGUUAUUCCCGGCGCCGCCGCCGUGCGAGGAGAUGAAGACGUUCUCCGCGUUGUACAAGUUUCUGUGGUCGCUGUUUUGAAUCGCGUUGAUGACCCUCGGCUCGAGGUCGAGCAGGAGCGCCCUCGGGACGUAGUGCUCGUCGUCGGCUUGGUAGAAGAAGACAUCCUUGCGAUCGCCCGCCUGGUUGUUCGCGGCGUACUCCUCGAGGAUGCCGUCCUUGCCGAUCCCGUGCUCCGCGCAGAGCUGCUUCCAAAACUCCGUGCCGAUCUGGUUGCCGCACUGCCCCACUUGGAGCGUGAUGACCUCGCGAGGCAUGGCGCGCGAUGAUCUCUCUCGCGGUCGUCCCUCCUAUAGCGUUCUUCUCCUCCUCCUGCGACGCGGACGCCGCCCGCCCGCCUCCUCGAGCCGCGCCCCCCGCCGCGACGAAAGCGCGCGCGUCUCCUUCCGAUGAGCCGACCGCUCGCGCGCCUCGUUCGUCGCGCUUCUUUUCCCGCCCCUCCUGCGCUGUUGCGUGGAGAGAGCGCGCGACGAGAUGCCGAGAUGCGGGGAGGAGCCGAGAUGCGGCGCGCGAACCGCGUGCGCGCGUCGCGUCGCCGAGGACGUGCGCGCGAUGCGCGCGACGGACGCGCGGCGCGAGACGGUGGCGUGCGGCGCGGUCUCGUCCGCGCGCCUCGGCGUGUGCGGACCCCGGGGGAUGUCAAGUCGAUUUUGAACUUCUGUUCGAGAAGAACGAUGGAGGCAAAAAGAAGAGCAGGUUAUGGGCACGACGACGCGACCGCCACUCACCGCGCACGGGAGUUCACACACACACUCACACACACGGCGAGGAUGGCGACGGCGUCGCUCGGUCGCCCGCGGCGAUCGGUCUUCUCCCUCUCGCUCCUCUUCCUCCUCGUCGCGCUGACGUCGUCGCUCCCGCGAGCGACGCGCGCGGACGACGAGUGGGACUCCGACGACGCCUCCGCGUCCGCGUCGCUCGACGACGACCUCGCUCCGAGCGAGGACGUCCCGCUGCAUCGGUUCGAGAUCGAGGUCGUGACGACCGGGAAGGCGUCCGGGAAGGAGAAGCGCGUGGACAAGCCCGCGUUCUUCUUGCGCGGGGACGACGCGAGCGCGGCCGCGGCGAGGUUCGUGUACCUUCACGCGCUUCCCUUGGAACACGUCGCGCACUUCGCGGAGGUGUUUCGAUCGGAGUGGGAAGGGAACGUCCCGGACGAUCGGAAACCGCGCGUCCGCGCGUCGAGGUCGAAGCCUCCGGGACCCGCGGCGCUGCUGGCGCGCGGGAAAGCGGCCGCGGAAGAGAAGGACCACGAGAGCGCGUACGUCGACUACGUCCGCGCGAUCGUCGGCGAGGGCGUGGACGCGGAAGAUCCCGCGCGCAUCGCGCUCGACGGCGAUGAGAUGGACGAAGCGAAAGAGCUGUUGCGGGCGCAUCACGCGUUGCACUCCCGCGCGCUCGUCGCCGCGGACAAGACGCGAGAGCAGCGCGCGGUCGCGCACGAGCGCGAGGUUGACGUCUUGCGCGCGAGACGCGCGCGCAGGGACCGCGAGAGGGAGGAUCUGGAGGACCUCGUGACGAUGCUGGGAUCGGAAUUGGAAUCGUCAGAAUCGUCGGCGUCGCCGUUCGACGCCGCGACGCGCGACGCCGUCGUGCGAUCGAUCGAAGCCGGAGACUGGGACGCCGUGAUCGCGGCCGUCUCCGCAGCGGACGCCGCCGCCGCGCGCGCGGGCCACCCAGUGGACGCGCUGCGCAAGGCGACCCUCGCGUACGCGCACUACGCGACGGGAGCGUCGACGGGUACGUUCUAUACACUGGUUCCCAUACGACCCCGUUCGCGUGGUGAACGCCGAUCCUUAAGGACUUUGCCCGUCGUCUCUCUCCGCCCAGGGUCCCUCGCUUUCAAUCCCCGACACACCUCGACGCCUUUCAACUCCAACUGACGCCUUUCAACUCCACCCCGACGUCGCUUCGUAUGGAACGACGCUCAGCCGCGGAGCGCGCGGCGGAUCGAUCGAUAGCCGCGGGGAAGACGCACGGCGACUGGCGCCGCGGGCAGACGCGCGCGCUCGCGGCGCGCGUCGGCGCGAACGCGGCGAUCAGGCGCGGCGACGUCGAGACCGCGCUGCGGUUCGUCGCGCUGCCGGUUCGCGCCGACCCCGACGGCGCGAUGUUCAAAGGCGCGUACGAGGCGCUGAGGGGCGUCCAGAAGGAGUUGCGAGACGCGGACGCGAAGCUCGACCGCGGCGAGUCGAGGCUGGCGCUGGACGCGGUGGAGCGCGCGUCCGCGACGAUCCGCGGGCUCGGGGUGCGAGACGGCGUCGGAAACGUCUUCGCGGACGUGGAGAGCCGCCGGUGCGUCGCGCACGCGCAGAUGCGAGCGUUCGAUCUCGCGCUCGCGGCGUGCGAGAAGGCGUUCGCCGCCGUCGGCUGCGGCGCCGGCGCCGCGUCGCCGGAAGCGGCGAAGCCGGAGGACUCCCGAGAGACGCGGCGGUCGUGCGACGAUGCGGACGCGAGGGCGCGCGCGAGGGCGCACGUCGCGCGCGCGGAGGUGCACUCGCGGGAUAAGUACCCGGAGGGUGCGCUCGCGGAUCUUCACGCCGCGGAGGAGCUGCUGGCCCCGGACGCGCGCAGAGGGUCGACGGACGCGGCGAAGGCGCUGAGGGACGUCGGGGAGAAGCUCGCCGCCGCGAACCGCGCGAAGCACGAGCACGAUAACUCGCGGGAUCACUCGAAGAUGCUGGACUUGCCGGAGAACUUGCACGAGCUCGAGAAAGAGCGCCGGUGCGAGUUCGUGAAGAAGGCGUACAAGCGAGCGGCUUUGAAGUGGCACCCGGAUAAGGCGACGGAGGCGGGGAAGUCGAGGGCGGCGCGGAAGAUGAACGAGAUGACGGAAGCGAGGGAUCACGUGAACAAACGGUUAGGGUGCGUCGCGCCGAAGCGCGACCCCGCGGAGGAGGCGCACAGGGCGGCGCAGCAGCAGUGGCAGCAGCAGCAGCGCGCGCGGCACUUUCAGCAGUUCCAGCAGCGCGGCCGACGGACGCACUUUGAGUUUUGAGCGCGGCGUCGCGAACGCGCGCAUCUUUACGGCGAUUUUUUUUCUCUCACUUCUUCACAGUCUCUUUCGUCGUAUGUACAUCGUCUCACCCUGUUCAUCAUCUCUUUCGUCUUAUGUACAUCGUCUCACUCCGUUCAUCAUCUCUUUCGUCGUACUGUAACCUGUAGUACGUCGUCUCACUCCGUUCAUCAUCUCAUUCGUAUUUAAUUCUCCCACUCGUUCGACUCGUGGUUCGCGCACAUGCAGUUCACGCUCGUCCAGAUGCUUCGCUGGUAGUUGCCGUCGACUUUGCUGAUGUGCGCGUCGCUGCCGCACGCGCCGCCGCCGCGAGCCUCGGGCGCGACCUUGAGCGUCCACGUGACGUCCUCGUAGUUCGGAUACGCCUUACGGCUGGACGACGUUCCGGACAUGAUGCACCCGGCGGGAGCGACUUUAAACGCGCCGAGAUUAGUCCAGUCAGAGGCCUGAUCGAACCCGCCUUGGUACCUGGGCGGCGCGUUCUUGCCCACGAUGUCGACGCCCGCGUGUAUCGCGGCGCGCAGACACAUCUCCUGCGUCGUGAUGGUGCUGAAUCCGUGAGCUUCGCACGUCAUCGUGUCGAUCUUCACGAAAGGUUGCUCGGCCUCGAGCGACGGCCGCGCCGGCGGCGCCGGCAUCGCCGGCGGCAGAUGCGGCGCGCCGACGACAAAGUUGCCGUUCGCCUGCCCUCUCGAGGUCGAGUCCACGUGCGGCCAGUCCUCCUUCGACUUGAACUCGUGUCGAAUCGCGGGGAGAACGGUGAUCGGCUGCAUGAUGACGGAAUUCUUUUCGAUGACUUCCACGGUGCCGCCUUCCCACCCGCCGCCGGUCCAGUGAUCCACGAGCGUGAUGGAAUGCAACCCGGGUUGGAGGCACAUCUUCUGUUCGUACGUCGUGUCCGGACCGUAAAACGGCAGCGAGUCCACGCCCGCGGGGAGGAUCGCGCCGGGGGCGAUGUGAUCGGAGUGGUGCGUCUUGUCGGGCGUGUCGUCCACGUACCAGUACAUGUUUUUCGCCGCGUGGUAGUUGGUCGUCUUCGUCUUCACGACGACGUCGACGCAACCGGACGACUCCGCGGUCGGCGGCGCCACCGGCGCGGGCGGCGCCGCGUCCGGGGGAGCGCUCGCGUCCUUGCAGACGCACUCGAUGUCCGUUUUUAUCGUGUCUUCGAUGCCCGCGCCUCCGCACUCCGUGAUGUUGCCUCGCUGGUCUUCCGUGACGUGAAUCGAGUACUUCCACCCGUUUGGCUGCGGAAACACCGUUCCGUAUCCGACGCAACCCGCGGGCUUGUCCUUGAACAUCGGAGGAUCGAAGUCGAUCCAGCCUCGGCCGUUGUACAGGUCCAUGCCCACGGACUUGGCGCCGAGGACGCACUCUUCCUUGUCGGUGACGAUCGAGUACCCGUUGGAUUCGCACGUCCCUUUGGUGACUUUGAAAAACUUCUUCGACGGCGUCGGCGGCGCCGCGGGCGGGGGCGGCGACGGGGGAUCCGGGCCCGCGACGUGUCCGGGGGUGAACACGUCGUUCACGUCGAUCUGGACGUCGUAGCAUCCGCCGUUGUGAAGAAUCAGAUUCUCGGACGGGUGCGUCAUCGACUCGUACCCGGGCUUGAGAGUCGAGCCGUAUUUUUCGUCGCUGUUCUCGAGGCCUAGCUUGUCGACGCCGCGCUGGAUCCAAAACUCGCCUCUGCCGCUCGCGCCCCACGUGCCCCACGAGUUCAAGCACUUCCAGUACUUCAUCCCGGACGGCGUCGUGCCCCAGCCGUAGCACGCGAUGGCGUGCGAUCCCGCCUUAUCCUCCGGGUUGUUCGGAACGUCCACGAAGACGCCCUCGUCCGUCCAACCGUCGCCGCCGUAAUCGGUGAACGACUUCGGGACCGAGAUGGAGCAUCCGAGCGCGCCGUAUUGCUUCAUCGCGCGCAUGAUGUUGUCCUCGCCUCGGAAGUUUCGCACGGCUUUGCCUUCGGUGUCUCCGGUGGAGAACCACGUGUCUCCGAGCUCGUGUUGAAUCGCUUUCACGACCCUGCGCGUGUGACCCUUCGCCGCGGCGUCGGGGUGGCACUCGGCGCGACACACCGGAUCGCGAACUUGGAUGCCCUUCGCGCGAAUGCACGCCGGGCAGCCUCCGAUGUCGCCCGCGGUGUACGGAUCGCACGCCUCGGUCGGGACGCCGUAAUACAUCGGGAACUCGAAGAUCCGCGUCGAAGAUCCGCAGCAGC
rnacentral:lncRNA from 1 species